AGUAGCGAGAGCUUGUGACCCGAGCGGGGGCAUCAAGGUGGUGGGACGUGGGCUCGAAUCCAUUGGGCCGGGUCUGCAGAGGCUUCUUUCUGGCCCGCCCGUUCCAAGCCGAGAGCUGAUUCAUGUGGUUCGGGCGAAGGCUCGGGCCACGUGUGUCCUAAAGUGGAGGGCACCACGUGAGGCUGGUUUCACAGAGCAGCGAAAACCUCCCGCUCCCGGCAGUGGAAGGAUAACGGGCCGGUGCUGAUCAGUACCCACCAUGGCCCAAUGGGCUGAGUCCUACUGGACCAUCACCUUUUUUCUUUUUCGUUUUCUUGGACCGACUUUGUGAAUCUUCUUCAAGUUGCAUGACUCGAAUUUUAUAUUUAAAUUGCCUUCGUAAAUCUCGGUUCUUUGUUCAACAUGAUUUUUUUUUUAAAAUUAAAACUGAUUUAUGACAUUGGCGUAUUAUAUAGAGAGGUGUAAGCUAAAUUUUAAAAAAAUGACCUUACCUUUACAUGAACACAUGGCGAAGAUUGGUUCUUUUCCAUGAUGCCAUCUACUAGUACAGCUAAGGAAGAAUCAACUGAACUAUUGCUGAUAAGAAUUGAAUUCGUGAUUUUAUUCAUGAUGGGAUUUGUUGUGUACAUUACACAGUGAGAAUGAAGUAUAUAGUCAAUGCAAAUUUCAAUGGGACCUUUUGUAUAGCUUCUAGAUCGCUCAUUAUAAUUCAAAGCCGAAAAUCCAUGGUGCAACAUUUUUCAUAAAUGAUGUUUACAUGAAACGUGAUUAAAUAAUAGACCCAUCAAAUGGGUGGGUUUGGUUGAAAAUAAUCUGAUCCAAAUUGACCUAUUUAUCAGUGAUACAAUUGCAGAGACUUGGAAUCGACCUAACUUAAACUUUGACCCAACCCAGGCUCCAUUCUUAGCAAUUUUUCUAAUUAAAUUGUUAAUUUGAAGUAGACACAUCAAACGUGUGGGUCGGGUUGGGUUGAAAAUGAUCCAACUCAUAUUGAUUCAUAUUUAUGUAGUGUAGAUUUAGUGAUUCAUACCCGAUCGACCCGUAUCUAAAUUGACUUGUAUUAUUAAAACCCAUUAAUAUUCUAAAAAAACACACACCCACUUUAAGCUCUAUGCUAAUUAGAUAAAACAUUCAAAUAAAACAAUUAAAUAAAAUAAAAAAUAUAAAAAACCUAUAAAUUGAAAUAUUUAAUAAAAAAUCCAUGGUGCAACAUUUUUCAUAAAUGAUGUUUACAUGAAACGUGAUUAAAUAAUAGACCCAUCAAAAUGGGUGGGUUUGGUUGAAAAUAAUCUGAUCUAAAUUGACCUAUUUAUCAGUGAUACAAUUGCAGAGACUUGGAAUCGACUUUGUCGCGACCAAUUUUUUCGGGGUAUGAACCACCUAGGGUUUUGCUAAUGGAUUGUUAAGCCUAGACUUAACUUGGGCUCUCCCAAGCCCAUACCAAUUCGCGACUUUCGGUUCAAGUUCUUAACAUGCAAUUGAUUUUCAAUUAGGAGUCGCCACUAAUCUAUUUUUGGUGGGUCGAUUAGAAACCCAAGUAAAGUAAUGGGAAAUUUACUUUACUCCUACAAACCAGAGAUUAUGGGUACGGGGACUUGGUUACACUAGAUUUCUCUAAUGCCCUUUCGGUACCUUUAUCUUUUAUUUUGAAAAAAUUGUUUGGCAAGCGACUUGAAUUGAUUUUAAUUCAUUAACAUGUGAGGUGACCAUGCAGGUGCGCAAACCAUUAAUUUAACACUCAAGAAAGCAAAUGAAUAAGUUGCAGGACUUACCUCAUAGUAACGAAAGCAUUGCGUUAUUAGUUUAGAAUUCACAUUAGCAGUCCUAAAUAUGAUUUCUAAUUAACACGCAAUUUUUGUUUUGUUUUCACUUAAUUAAUGAAAAUCAUGCAAUAUGCAAUGCAUGCCACUAAUUUAACAUGAAAUGAUAUGACAUAGCAACAUAACUUAGCUAUAUGACCUAAGCAAUAUGACAUAACUAAGCAUGUGAUCUAUCCUAAGCAUGAGAUGAUUUAUUCUAAAUAAUUUUUUUGUAUUUUCUAUGAGAUUCGAAAUUAAAAAAAUGCAACACUUAAAUAUGCAAUCUAAAUUAAUCUAAUGACCUAAUUCUAAUGACGGGCAAUUUCUAAUUGAAUGCAUCUAACAAAAAUCACUAAAUGACGUGCAUUGUAUGAAACUAAUUCUAUAUGACGUGAACAUGACUUUUUUUGUGUUUUUUUUUUAAUUAAUUUCGAAACUAAAGUUUUCACAUGCAAUUCAAAUAAUUAUAAAAACUAACAUCCUAAAUGAAUGUGCUUUUUCUUUUGGAUUUUUUUAUUUAAAAAUAAAAUUCUUAUUUUAAAUAUAAAAGAUAAUAGCCAAACCUAAUCUUAAUUCAACAUUUUUUGGAUUUUCUUGUUUAAAACUCGAAAUAAGAUUGCAAUUUUAACCCUAAAACAGCAAAUCUAAUCCUAACUCAAAUAUUUUUUUGGAUUUUUCUUUUACGAAAAUAAAACUGACUCAACCAACAGCAAAUCAAACAAGAUAAGAUUGAUAUCUAAAAAUUGACGAACCAUAUUUCGCGCAUGAGAUCGGGUUGGCCAAUUUUAAAUUAAAUCGCAAAUCAAAUUUCGGGCUUGAGAUUGGAUUGUCGAUUUUUAUAAGGGAUUGCGAGUCGGAUUUCGGGCGCGAAAAUCGGACUGUCAAUCCCUAGCUUGAGGGACUAUUUCAUAUUGGAAUAUCAGUCACAUAUUUAAGGAACAAUUCCACUAAAAACAAGAUAUAGGAGAAAAUAAAUAAAUAAAUAAAAGGACUACCUAAUCUUUUUUUUUUUUUUCUGCUUUCUUCGCUCACGGCUUGCUCGUGCGGCUUAUCUCUGGGCAGUGGAUUCUGAUCGUUGGAGGGCGUCACAAUCGGAGCUCCGGGCUGGCGAGGGGAAUCGGCGGCAAGCAGACUGGCGGGUAGAGGCGUCACAGCUGGAGCUGGGCAGAGGAGCAGGCCCUGGGACGGUGAUGCGAGCGCGGUUGGUUGUCACUCGGGCGUGUGGGAGCUCGGACCUGAUCUUGGCGUCAUGGGUCGGCAGCAAGUCGGGCUCUGAACGGGUGCGGUUCGGUGGCGUCGGGUUGCGCGGAUCGGGAACAGCGGGGCUCCGGUGUCGUCGUUCGGGCAGAGCUGCAGGAGACAGUGGCUGGCGAUGUCGCGGGCGUCGGCGGUGAACUCGCGGGUGCAGAGACGCAGCGGCGUCAGUUGCUGCAGGGACGGAGUCGCGCUGGCUGAGGCGCGGCGAGUGCCGGGCAGUCUGAGACCCGGUUGUCGGACUGCUGGCGUCGGGUUCGCAGAUCACGGUGGUGCUCGUGCGGAGGUGCGGUGGGCUUCGGAACGAGGCGGAUCUGGUGCGGCGUCGGUGGGGCGAGGCGGCAGCGUUGCUGCUCGGAGACCGUCGGCGCAGGAACCGACGGUACAGGAGUCGGAUGCACAGAACUUCUGGAGAAGAUAAACAGUAGGUCUUUUCUCUGAUUUCACCUGUCACUCUCUCUCUCACGACAAUGCUCUCUCUGACUUUUCCUUUUCCCUGCAGUUUGUCAGGAAAAAAGAAAAGAGAAAAAGCCUUCUUUUCGCUGAAGAUGGACGAGGAAGAAAACCUUUCUCUCUCUUUUUACUUGAUUUUUUUUUACGAAGAGAAGCCACCUUUGGUCAUCGUACACGGUUGCUUUUAUAGGGGGUAAGAGAUAAGCUUUCAAUUUCCCUUUCAAAUCUACAUCCGCGAUACAUUUUCACCAACUGAUCACUAUUGAUAAAAAUUUAAGAUUACGAUAAAUAUUUUCUCGAAAUCCAAAUCUCGCAAAGAUAAAUCGCAAUAUUUUUUCACACAUGUGCUUUUAUCCAAAAUAUUCAUAUCCCGGAAAAAUUUCAAAAUUUUUAUUUUUCACGAGAUAAUUAAAAAACAUGGGCUUGAGCCAACCAGCUCGCUUUGUGGGCUUAGUCCAACUAAUUUGAACCCGUUCGCACUGGUCCAAUAAAUAAAAUGCCAAUAACAAAAUAAAUGGAAAUAUAAAUCUAUAUGCUAUGCAAUUAAUAAAAUUAACCCCUAAUUUCCUAUGUAAUAAAUAAAUAAACUAAAUCGUCAAAAUUUAGGUGUCAACAGACCUAACUUAAACUUUGACCCAACCCAGGCUCCAUUCUUAGCAAUUUUUCUCAUUAAAUUGUUAAUUUCAAGUAGACACAUCAAAUGUGUGGGUCGGGUUGGGUUGAAAAUGAUCCGACUCAUAUUGAUCCAUAUUUAUGUAGUGUAGAUCAUAUCCGAUCGACCCAUAUCUAAAUUGACUUGUAUUGCUAAAACCCAUUAAUAUUCCAGAAAAACACACACCCACUUUAAGCUCUAUGCUAAUUAGAUACAAAAUUCAAAUAAAAAAAUAAAAUAAAAUAAAAAUAUAAAAAACCUAUAAAUUGAAAUAUUUAUAAAAAUCUUAGGGUGGAUAAAUCCAUUUUGCAACUUGGAUUUAAUGAGCCCAAUUUCAUGUGGGUAAUUAUUUUAUUUUUAAAUGGUUUACAAAUGAUUUAAGAAAAAAUACUCAAAAAAAUAGAUUAUUAGUAACCAAUAAUUUAACCAAUUUUUAGAAACCAACACUCACUCACGAUACCACCGCUCUCAGUGGUGCAGCUGGCUUGAACUCUCUCCCUCUCACGAAGGGGAAUAGUUCGAAUCCUAGAAGCGUUGUUAGGGAUUUUUACUUGGAGUACUGUGGUGGUGGAUCCUGCAGUCGCUCCCCCAGGGUUUGCUCACCGGCUGCCAACUUACGGGGUUUCUUGGGUUACAAAAAAAAAAAAAAAACACCCACUCACGAUGUGGUCUAAUUCUACGAACAUUUUGGAGGUCUUCAGGGAUCAAAUUGAUGUUCAUAAGAUCCUAUGAAAGCUAUUGUAUGCGAGUGCAUGAGAUUAGGGGCAAGCAUAAAGAAAAAGACCUUGAAUUCAAACACAAUACAUUAGGGGUGUGCAACUGGACUGGGUAUAUUGGGUUCCCGGACCGGCCCACACGGAAAAUAGGGUCAAGAACCGGUUCCCAAAAUUCGGAACUGGUUUAAACUGGUCCGGGAACAGGUUCCGAAAGCCGGUUCUUGGACUAGUUUUAGAACCAGUUUCUGGAUCGGUUUUGUAAGUAGAAGUCUAAAACCCCCUUUUUUUUUUCCCGAUUUCUAUUCUUACUCUCGCAAUCACACGACAUUUUUCUUCUUGACUCUUUCAAACACGCACAUCACUCUUCCUUUGUCAUUCCUCUUCCUCACUUGCUUCCCUCCCUCACCGGCUCCCUCUUGCACCGUCCAAUGGACGGAUGGUGUUUGCCGCCGCCAAUUUUUUUGUAUCACAUGGAUUGACUCACAUAAUUUCUCUUUUGUAGGAGGGGUUAUACUUGCAUAAAUGAGUAGUUUCAUGUAGUAGUUGUGGGAAUAAGACUAAUAUUAGACCCAUGUUUGUUGUUAAUUCUUUGCCUUAUGAUUUUAUUUAUUAUGAUUAGCAUUGCGGAUUCUUAAUUUUUCAUUUAGUCAAAAAGUUAAUGUAUUUAUUUAUUAUAAGUGCUUAAUGUUUCAAUACAAAUUAGGAGGAUUACGUUAUUUUCUCGCGUAUUAAUAUAAAAUUCAAAGUUGUAUAGGAUAUCGGGAGAUUGCAAAACAGGUUCCAGUGGAAACAGUGUUGACCGUGGAAUUGGAUCUAAAAAACAGGGUAGGUUAGGUAUACGGUCCAAUACAAAUAGGGUCGGGCAUAGGGUCCGGAUCUAGAUCCUAUCCACCCUGGACCCGAUCACCCCUACAAUUCAUGAUAUACGAUGCAACUAGAAAGUAUAACAGUAAAAAUGGAUCUCCAAUAUUUGAUGUCAUAUCUGUAUAUUCCAUUUUAAUGAAAUCUUGAACUUCUAAAACUAAAGCACAAUACAAAGCAGAAGAAAUCUAGAUUGGGGAGAAGCUACUUGCUCUGCUAUGCGAAAAGCAGAACACCGACAAUUACAAAGCUUUAACAUCGUAGGCGUUCGGCAGCAAAAUAGGAAAUCAAUCAAGACACGUUUCGGUUAUGUGCAUCAAAUCAAGUAAAACACAAAAACUCAAAACCCACAUUGGGUGCAAAACAGCACAAAAGUCCACUGAACAAGAAACCAAUGGAUUACCUCGAGAAAUUACCUAAGCUUCAAAUAGUGAAUGACACGCGGGGAGAGAAUAUUAGGGUUCGUAAGCAAGAGCUGGAAGGCCCGGAACCGCACUAGAGCUCGACAUUGGAUCAACAAGACUACAAGAACCGCGAACUAACGAAAUUCAGGGAGAUGACGACAACAGCAGGAUGAUGGAUGAGGGUCGAUCACACGCUCGUAGAGUCAGCUUUGACUACGCUGUUGAGGCAAAUAUCGAUGCCCACGAGCUAGAUUUUCAUGGAGUGAGGCCAAAGCUCAUCGACCUUUUGGGGAGCAGCAGAGGCGGCUCGGAGGCUAGUCACGGAGGCGGCUUGGAGGCAAGUGGCGGAGGCGAGCGGCAGAGGUGAGCGAAGGAGGCAAGUAGUUGAGGCAGGCAAGUAUAUGAGGAAACUUUGUGUUUUAGCCUUUUAGGUUACCUAUUUGAAUAACUUAAUGUCGAAAAUGCGUCAAAAAUGAGUAAGACGUUCCGACCCAUUUUCCACUGAUAUAAAUUCAGCUUAAAAUUUAAUGGACCCAUUUUAAGUGGGCAUCUAUAUUUCUAUAAUCCAAAUACAAUCCAUUAACACAAACUAUGAGUUGGAAAGUGAAUUUUAGACCAUUUUAUCACUCCUGCUUUGAAGAAUGAAUGACUCCGUGGACCAACUUAUCGAGUCAAUGGGGGUGCUCAAGCAUCAAGUUAUGGAUGAAAGCAUGAAAAUGUCGAUGAGACAAAGGCUAUUUCACAUUUAAUAAGACCUCUCUUGAUACUGUAAUGUCUCAUUGUAUUACUUUUAAGACAUUGCGGUUUUAGAUCAGGCGUUAUCAAAUUCAUGCACAAGACCACAAGACGAUGAUUCUAACAAAAUUAACUACAAAGGCGUCCAGUUACAGCUUUCAUUAAAUUUUCAGCAUGUCAUGCUGAAUUUGAAUGAAUUAUGCAAAGUAAUUUAGUCGUAGAUCUAAUGAAAACCUCUCUCGCUGCUUUCAACUUAAGCCCGUACCAUACCAACUACCGACCGUAGCAGUUCGACAAUGGAGGGUGAUGCCCUUCCAGAAAAUCGACGGUACCUUCCAAAGUAUAUUCCACAAGGCUCGUAGAACACGUUCACAAAUUUUCCUGCGUUUCCAUUAGUCAGGAUUUUGACAAGACCAUUGUAGUUAACGAGAUUUUUGUACUGCAAGCGAAGGUGGCGGGCAAGUAUAUGAGGAAACUUUAUGUUUUAGCUUUUUAUGUUACCUAUUCGGGUAACUUAAUGUCGAAAAUGCAUCAAAAAUGAGUCAGACGUUCCGACCCAUUUUUCACCAAUAUAAAUUCAGCUUAAAAUUUAAUGGACCCAUUUUAACUGGCUCUCUAUAUUUAUAUAAUCCACAUACAAUCCAUUAACACAAAUUAUGAGUCGGAAAGUGAAUUUUAGACCAUUUUACCACUCCUGCUUUGAAGAAUGAAUGACUUCGUGGACCAAACAUAUGAGUCAAUGGGGUGCUCAAGCAUCAAGUUAUGGAUGAAAGCAUGAAAAUGUCGAUAAGGCAAAGGGGCUAUUUAUCAUUUAAUAAGGCAUCUCUCGAUACUGUAAUGUCUCAUUGUAUUACUUUAGGACAUUAUAGUUUUCUAACAAAAUUAACUACAAAGGUGUCCAGUUACAGCUUUCGUUGAAUUUUCAGCAUGUCGCCUGUACUGUACCAACUACCGACCGUAGCAGUUCGACAAUGGAGGGUGAUGCCCUUCCAGAAAAUCGAUAGUACCUUCCAAAGUAUAUUCCACAACGCCCGUAGAACACGUUCACAGAUUUUCCUGUGUUUCCAUUAGUCAGGAUUUUGACAAGACCAUUGUAGUUAACGAGAUUUUUGUACUGCAAAAAGAACAGUAGCGUGUGAUAAGAUUGACAGAAACAAAUAAAGCAAAUUCCGUGCUGAUCGAUCAAGUACCAUCUCGAAAGAUGCCUUAUGAACCUUCAAAUGUUGGCAAUGGAUCACCCGUGGUGCGGUAAGCCCCAGCCGACGACUGUCAUUCAAAUUGGCAAACCCAUCAAGUAGUGAACAUAGCGCUGCUCGACGGUUUCCGCACAAGCUGAUGUCAUCAUUAAUUUGCAGAAGUGAAAGCUUACACCAUAAAGACUUGUCCAAAGGUUUUCGCUAUCGAAACAAUUUACAUACCUUCACUUGCAAGUAGCUUAAUGUCGUUUCACAACCAAAAAGAAGUCCGCUAGGAGGGCCAUCAUGCGAUUCAUCUAAAAAAUGGAUGCACUACCUCUUUUUCAAUUGUAGCUACUUGUCCACAGAAGAAGCUAAUAUUCAUACAAUCUACAAAUUGAAAAGAAAAGGGGAAACUAAUGGAGAAAAAUAACCAAAAAGGCACAGAAUUACUGAGGAUUGACAUACUUUAUGCACAAGGGCCGCAUCCAGAUUGCCCUAUAUUACAAGUAGACUUCCUCGAGACUCACAUAGGAGUCUCCUUUCGCAGUUUCAACUCUUCCUUCCCAUAAAUUCUCUGAAGCUCACGAGUUGCAGCUCGGUAAGAUUCUGGAAAACAGAAUAAUGAACUUAUCGGAAGGUACAAUUCGCCAAAACAACAAAAAUUCUUCAACUUGACAUAAAAACUCGUGGUGUCUUAAUGAGAAGUUUCCAUGGUAAAGUAUGGCAAAACUACCCAAUUCUUAAAAAAAGUCGAGAAAAAGCAAACUUGUAGUUAUUGAAUAGAGUGCCUCCAUCCUGAGAUUGUCAGGAAAGAUAAGGAGAAUAUUAUACAAGCGAGGGGGGAUACUCAUCUCAUCCAGGUAAAAGGUCGAACGUUAAUCUAUAAAAUUCAUCUGCUUAUCCACAUUACCAAUUCCAGAAUUUCUACAACAUAUCUCUAUGACCUGAACGGAAGCAAUAAUUUUCUCGACUUUACACCUGAUCAGUCCCAAAAAAUUAUCGUUCUGCUAGGCAAAAAACGGAUCGUUACAUAACACAUAGUGUGACAUCCCGAUUUUCCGAUUCUAUUUUCAAUAAAUUGGGACGGGCAUUUCGUUGGCACGCAUAUAGUUCUUUUCCUUGAGCCGGCCACUCAUGUGAAAACUAGUCUAUCGGGUAAAGCUGUUAAGAGUUUCUAAUGCAUCAGACUCGAGAAUUUGGCCAGGAAGCGACCUUUCGACCGAGCUAAUCUGCAAGGGUCAUUACGACACAAAUAAAAAUCGAUUAGAGACCGGAGAUAGGUCGACUUGACAGAGGAAUGUGAUCGAGUGUGGGUGAUUCCACCGGAUCGCACAAUUCUUGUCGAUCGGCACUGGACCGACUUUUCUAUCGAUUGGGUACCCUGUGUUCGUAUUUGAAACCUUGAGAUUACCCCGACAACCGAAAGUCGCCAAUGUUUCAAAGAUGUACAUUGUGGCUUGAGAUGAUCAACCACAGGUCAAAUGCGUGAAAAUUUCUAAAGGCUACCCGGUAGGUUGGGCCGCGCUAGUAUCGUGCCAAAGUGAAAUUAACCGUGGAAUUGAGAUCGAAUUCAGAAAUUGGAAGUCUGGGUGUGUCACAAAUCAUUUUAGGAUCAUUGACUUAUCUUUGGAAGAUUUUUCAUGCAAUUAGAGUUCUUUGACAAAUUAAAUCCAAGAAUGGCUAUUUUAGCUCGAGAAAUUAGUAGGCCGCAUUUGGUUGCGCUUUUGGGACUUAAGUUGGUUCUAUGGACAAGUGAGUAUGUGAAUUGAAGUGUGGUGACAUUGGAUUAAUUUUAUGGACUUCAAUUUGGACUCAAUUGGAAGUGGAUUGAUUAUAAUUGAAGAAUUUCAUGCACAAGAAUUGGACCCCGGCGGAAAAAUAAAAUGGACCCAUUGGAAGAUGUCGUGGAGGAUUGGGUGAGUGGAUUAUGAGGUCAUCCUAGGUCAUGGUGGGCCACCUUGAUUGGAUGAGGGAAAAAGAGAAAAAGAAAAGGGAAAAGAAAAUGAAAUGGCUCCCCUUCUCUCUCCUUCCUUCUCUCUCCCGUUGCCUCUCUUCUCCACUUCCAUGGUGCGAAGACCAGAAAAAUGCAGAGAAGAAGAAGCUGCAGCCAUGGCCGGCCACCCGCUCGCACAUCGUCGUCGCCACCGCCGCCGUGCGUCCGUCCCGCGCCGCCCGCGCGCACUCGCCGGCCUGCCGUCGCACCGUCUCCGCUCCGCCUCAGCCCGCGUCCCCAGCAGAUCUGAGGAGGCGUCGAAGCUGGAGCAGCCAUGGCCGUCCCUCCGCUCGCUCGCCGUCGCAGCCCCGCGAGCUGCUCCGCCCGGCCGUCCUCGUCGUCCCUGCUGUUCCGCGAGUCCAGCAGCGAUUCCAGAUCUGGGGAAGCUCAGCCGGAGCCGUCCAGCUCACCUCCGGCCACCGUGAGGCCCCGCCGUUGGCCGUGCGGCACCGCCGCAGCUCCUCCGCCCGUUUUCGACCCAAGCCGGCGCCGGAUCUGCCCUCUCUCAGCCUCAAACCGCCAUGGACAGCAGCUGCAGAAAAUGGGUAUGGCAGCCCCUUCUUGGCCCGUUUCGGCCGCCUUCCCGAGUCCGGAUGCUCGGCCCGCUUUGAGGAAAGUCGAUCCUCGCGUCGUCCUCGUCGUUUUGGUUCGCUCGGCUCGCUAAUCCGCUAAUCCGGUGAGUUUAACUCACUAAACCUCGCUUAGAGGGUUAAUGAUGCUUUAGGUGUGUUUAGUUUAUGUUAAGUGUUAUUAGGUGGUUAGUUUAAUUUAUUUAAGUGUAGAUUAUAUUAAUGUGCUUGAUUAACUUAAAUUGUGUUUAAUUUAAGGUUAAGUGAGUGUUUAUAUUAGUAUAAACCUUGAUGUGACAAAAAGGAAUUUACUUUUGAUUUAUUUAAAUAUCUCGAAAUUAUUGAAUAAUUAAAUAAUAUUUUAAUAUUCGAAAUUAUUAAAAUAUUAUUAUUUAAUUAUUUUUGGGAAUAAAUUUAAUUAUUUAUUAAAUUCCGAAAAUUUUGUCGAGACCUUAAAUUCUCAGAAUUUCGUGCCGGUCGUUGCGGUGUAGUCGGAUUUUGAAAUUGAUGAUUGGAUGUUAUAAAUUGAGCGUGGAAAGUGAAAUAUAUGGAUAUUAUUAUUUAAUUAUUUUUGGGAAUAAAUUUAACUAUUUAUUAAAUUCCGAAAAUUUUCACUGGGACCUUAUUUGCUCAGAAUUCCGUGCCGAUCGUUGCUGUGCAUUUAGAAUUUGAGAUUGAUGAUUGGUUGUGAUGAAUUGAGUGUGAUUGUGAUUUAUAGGGAUUCUUUAUGAAAUCCUAAGUGUAGAAACUGAUGGGAGAUUGGCUGUGAAAUACCACCUAUUAGAGGUCGUGCCCGAUGAGGCCGUUAUAUGCCACCUGAUAAAGGUCGCGCCCGAUGGGGCCGUUAUAUGCCACCUAUUAGAGGUCGCGCCCGAUGGGGCCGUGAUAUGCCACCUGUUAAAGGUCGCGCCGAGUGGGGCCGUGAUGCCACUGAUUCUAAUUUUGCCGAGUAUGCUUUGACUGUGUGAUAACUAAGAGGAAUCGUCCUGGGCUGCUGAGCCGGACUUGCCCCUAUAUGGGUUGCCCACGCGGUGGAUGCCGAUCGCAGUAGAGGCUGGGCCGACUGGAUCGAUGCUCCUUCGGGAAUGCCGUCGACGUAGUGACGAAGCCGUGCUCCAAGGGGGGAGACGAUGCUCCUUCGGGAAUGCCGUCGACGUACUGACGAAGCCGCGCUCCAUGGGGGGAGGCGAUGCCUGGCAUUAGUGUCAGUAGAUAGCCGAACUGCGAGUAGGCUAUGCCCUUGUGUGGCAGUGAAUAACAAUUGGAAUGCAUGUUGAGUGUUGUUGAUGUGUCGGAUUAUGGGACGGAAUUGUGUGGCAUGGAAUGGGACGUGUCAUAACGAUUUAGUCUUAUAAUCAGGACCCCCGCGGUUGUUGGAUAUAUGAAAGUGAAUACGUUCCGAUUGUUUAAGUUCCUCUUACUAUCUGUGAUUGAGUGAUUUGAAUUGCGCUAACCUGCAGGAAGGAACUGAGGCGAGGUAAGUCUUCUGUGUGAUGUGGCUAGGCCACCUUUGGGCGUAUUUUCUUUCUAAUAGGGGUUUAGGGGGUUGAACUUGCUGAGACGUUGUCUUAGUGGUUAUUGAAUAACCAUUUCAGGUCCCUGGUGGACGGAGCGGCCGGAUAGCUUUGGUUGGCCUUGAGGAGUUGCAGAAGUGAAGUCAUAAGAUUGGAGAACGUGUCCGACCUGUAGGUCGUAGGACAAUUCAUUUUUAAGAGCCGGCCUUUUGUAGACUUUUGGCCGUAGACCUCUGUUUGUAAUUCUGAUGAAUUAUGGAAGCGUUAUGUUGUGGUUUUGAUUCCUGCUUUUCUAUCCCGUAGUUUAUUGUCAGGGGAUUUGUUUCGCUUCCGCAUGCGUAAUAAAAUAAAUGGGUCGGCGACAUAUCCUGGGAUGUCGCAUUUUUGGUCGACCGUAGUGGGAUGUGCGCGCGCUCGGGGUUCGGGGCGUGACACAUAGUAUAGGAGACGUAAGGAAGAAAGGAGUUGUUCCACAAUUUCUGACAUGAAAAUAACAUGCAAAUCCUCAUAUAUAAUACGUAGGGUUGAAGGACAUUUUGCAGUAAUAAAUAUAGAUCAAAGGAUUCCUUUUUUUUUUUUGGGGUCAGAAUCAAAGGAUUCCUUGAACAUGUGUCAGGAGGUGAUUUUAUUAUUUCUUGACCUUGUUCGUAAAUGCUCUCCAUAUAUAAGUAAAACUCCUGAUUUCUUGAAUGAUUAACGAUUAGAGAUAUCUAGCAGAUGCACAAUCACCUUUUAGUCUGAGUUCGAGAUGCACGGAUUUAUUUGCACAUCCACAUUAUCAAUACGCACACAAAUUCUUGGAUUCAUGUGUGAGUGUGCAUGCGUGUGCGUGUGCAUGCGUGUGUGGUGGGUUGGAGAGAGAGAGAUGAAUGAUCUUUCUCCAAUAGAUUGCAUAUAAUACUGAGAAAGAUAUCUAUUUUACCUUUCCAAAUGCGAAAAGAUUUCUGAUUAAUUGGUGCACCAAACACAGUCUGAAUUGUAUCAAACAGCAAGCUCUUAGGAGUGCUCCGUAGUUCUUGAACUAUUUGAUAGAUGGUCUUCCCAUUCUCAAAGUAUAUAAUGAUUGUUUGGAUGCUUUGUCUUGCAACCGGCAUGUCGCUCGAAUUCAUACGCAUUAAGCACCUUGGGUACCACCUUUUCUUCACAUCCAUCGUCACGCUCGCGUAGAGGAAAACCGGUAUGCGAUGGCCCUCAUCGUCGUGCGUCUCCUUGAGCUGGCGACACGGUCACGCUCUCGUGAUGUUCUGCGAUUCGUCGAAGGAAGCGGUCGAAGAAGCUCAGCUUGUCCCACAUCGCAAACACUCGCGGAUUAGAAAGAGUUAAUAAGCCCCGCGCACGUGAGAGAAAAUCGCCGAGCUCAGUAGCGAGAGCUUGUGACCCGAGCGGGGGCAUCAAGGUGGUGGGACAUGGGCUCGAAUCCUUUGGGCCGGGUCUGCAGAGGCUUCUUUCUGGCCCGCCCGUUCCAAGCCGAGAGCUGAUUCAUGUGGUUCGGGCGAAGGCUCGGGCCACGCGUGUCCUAAAGUGGAGGGCACCACGUGAGGCUGGUUUCACAGAGCAGCGGAAACCUCCCGCUCCCGGCAGUGGAAGGAUAACGGGCCGGUGCCGAUCAGAACCCACCAUGGCCCAAUGGGCCGAGUCCUACUGGACCACCACCUUUUUUCUUUUUCGGCCUUUUGGACUUAUUCUCUGAAUCUUCUUCUUUAAGUUGCAUAACUCGAAUUUUAUAUUUAAAUUGCCUUUGUAAAUCUAGGUUCUUCGUUCAACAUGAUUUUUUAUGAAAAAAAAUUAUUUAAAUCAAAACUGAUUCGAUUUGUAUGACAUCGGCGUAUUAUAUAGAGAGGUGUAAGCUAAAUUUUAAAAAAAUGACCUUACCUUUACAUGAACACGUGGCGACGAUCGGUUCUUUUCCAUGAUGCCAUCUACUAGUAUAGCUAAUGAAGACUCAACUGAACUAUUGUUGAUAGAAUUGAAUCCGUGAUUUUAUUCAUGAUGGGAUUUGUUGUGUACAUUACACAAUGAGAAUGAAGUAUAUAGUCAAUGCAAAUUUCAAUGGGACCUUUUGUAUAGCUUCUAGAUCGCUCAUUAUAAUUCAAAGCCGAAAAUCCAUGGUGCAACCCUUUUCAUAAAUGACGUUUUCAUGAAACGUGAUUAAAUAAUAAACUUAUCAAAUGGGUGGGUUUGGUUGAAAAUAAUUCGAUUCAAAUUGACCUAUUUAUUAGUAAUACAAUUGCAGAGACUUGAAAUCAACCCAACUUAAACUUGACCCAACCCAAGCUCCAUUCUUAGCAAUUUUUUUCAUUAAAUUGUUACUUUGAAGUAGACACAUCAAAUGUAUGGGUCGGGUUGAAAAUGAUCCAACUCCUAUUGAUCCAAUUUCAUGUAGUGUAGAUUUAGUGAUCCAUACUCGACCCGAUCAAUAUCCAAACUGACUCGUAUUGCUAAAAUCCAUUAAUAUUCUAGAAAAACACACACCCACUUUAAGCUCUAGAUAAAAACUUCAAAUAAAAAUAAAUAAAUAAAUAAAUAAAUAAAUAAAUAAAUAAAUAAAUAAUAGCAAACAAAUAAAAAAUAUAUAAAAAACCUAUAAAUUGAAAUAAAUGUUAAGCUCAAAUGUGUGGGUCAAGUCAGGUUGAAAAUGAUCCAACUUAUAUUGGCGCAUAUUCAUGUAGUGUAGAUUUAGUGAUCCAUACUCGAUCCGACCAGUACUCAAACUGACUCAUAUUGCUAAAAUUCAUUAAUAUUCUAGAAAAACACACACCAACUUUAAGCUCUAUGUUAAUUAGAUAAAAACUUCAAAUAAAAAAAAUAAUAGCAAAAAAAUAAAAAAAUAAAAAAAUAUAAAAAACCUAUAAAUUGAAAUAUUUAUAAAGAAUCUGACCAACAAAAUAUAUAUAUUUAUAAAAACCUUAGGGUGGAUAAAUCCAAUUUGAAACUUGGAUUUAAUGAGCCCAAUUUCAUGUGGGUAGUUAUUUUAUUUUUAAAUGGUUUACAAAUGAGUUAAGAAAAAAAAAAACUCAAAAAAAUAGAUUAUUAGUAACCAAUAAUUUAACCCAUUUUUAGAAACCAACGCCCGCUCACGAUGUGGUCUAAUUCUACGAACAUUUUGGAGGUCUUCAGGGAUCAAAUUGAUGUUCAUUCUUUACCAAAAAAAAAAAAAGUUGAUGUUCAUAAGAUCCUAUGAAAGCUAUUGUAUGCAAGUGCAUGAGAUUAGGGGCAAGCGCAAAGAAAAAGACCUUGGAUUCAAACAGAAUACAUGUGGAAUUAGAAUAAUACAUGAUAUACGAUGCGACUAGAAAGUAUAACAGUAAAAAUGGAUCUCCUAUAUUUGAUGUCAUAUCUUUAUAUUCCAUUUUAAUGAAAUCUUGAACUUCUAAAACUAAGCACAAUACAAAGCAGAAGAAAUCUAGAUUGGGGAGAAGCUACUUGCUCUGCUAUGCGAAAAGCAGAACACCAACAAUUACAAAGCUUUAACAUCGUAGGCGUUCGGCAGCAAAAUAGGAAAUCAAUCAAGACAGGUUUCACUUAUGUGCAUCAAAUCAAGUAAAACACAAAAAAUCGAAACCCACAUUGGGUGCAAAACAGCACAAAAGUCCACUGAACAAGAAACCGAUGGAUUACCUAAGCUUCAAAGAGUGAAUGACACGCGGGGAGAGAAUAUUAGGGUUCGUAAGCAAGAGCUGGAAGGCCCGGAAUCGCACUAGAGCUCGACAUUGGAUCAACAAGACUCUACAAGAACCGCGAACUAACGAAAUUCAGGGAGAUGACGACGACAACGGGAUGAUGGAUAAGGGUCGAUCACACGCUCGUAGAGUCAGCUUUGACUAAGCUGUUGAGGCAAACAUCGAUGCCCAGGAGCUAGACUUUCACGGAGUGAGGCCAAAGCUCAUCGACCUUUCGGGGAGCAGCAGAGGCGGCUCGGAGGCUAGUCGCGGAGGCAGUUUGGAGGCAAGUGGCGGAGGCAAGCGGCAAAGGCGAGUGAAGGAGGCAAGCAGUCGAGGCAGGCAAGUAUAUGAGGAAACUUUGCAUUUUAGCCUUUUAGGUUACCUAUUUGGGCAACUUAAUGUCGAAAAUGCGUUUAAAAUGAGUCAAACGUUCCGACCCAUUUUCUACCAAUAUAAAUUCAGCUUAAAAUUUAUUGGAUCCAUCUUAAUUACCCUUUUUACUGGGCCUCUAUAUUUUUAUAAUCCACGUACAAUCUAUUGACAUAAAAUAUGAGUCGGAAAGUCGAUUUUACACUCAUUUUAUUAAUCCUACUCUGAAAAAUGAAUGACUCCGUGGACCAACUUAUUGAGUCAAUGGGGUGCUCAGGCAUGUCAUGUGAAUAGAAUCUUUUUCGGGCCUUUACCUGAACCAAACGGGAACCCACGCCGUUGGCUACGAUCUGAUUGUGCAGGCAACAUUGAAAGCAAUCAAAUACCUGAAAACUCUCCCCGCCCCCCCAGUUCAUCAUGAAACGCACUCAUCCGUUUCCUACGCAUAACGAGUUGGAACACGAGAACGGAACCGAGUUAUAGAUAUAAGACCAAAAUCAAAAUGAGAGCGUAAAAGUCCACAGGAUGGGUGGCGUCUCCAGUCCAGAAUUAGACCUUGAAUAGCUGCUGCUGCUGCUCUCCUCCAAUAUAUACCACAGAGCUUCUUUGCUCAAAGCUUUUUCACUAGACAAAUUCUCACCCCGGCACCACCUUGUUUUCACAUCCAUCAUCACGCUCGCGUAGAGGAAAACCCGUAUGCGAUGGCCCUCAUCGUCGUGCAUCUCCUUGAGCUGGCGACACGGUCAAUCUCUCGUGAUGUUCUGCGCUUCGUCGAAGGAAGAAGCUCAGCUUGUCCCACAUCGCAAACAGCCGCGGAUUAAAAAGAGUUAAUAAGCCUCGCCCGCGUGAGAGGAGAUCGCCGAGCUCAGUAGCGAGAGCUUGUAACCCGAGCGGGGGCACUAAGGUGGUGGGACGUAAGCUCGAAUCCUUUGGGCUGGGUCUGCAGAGGCUUCUUUCUGGCCCGCCCGUUCCAAGCCGAGAGCUGAUUCAUGUGGUUCGGGCGAAUGCCCGGGCCACGUGUGUCCUAAAGCGGAGGGCACCACGUGAGGCUGGUUUCACAGAGCAGCGAAAACCUCCCGCUCCCGGCAGUGGAAGGAUAACGGGCCGGUGCCGAUCAGCACCCGCUGUGGUCCAACGGGCCGAGUCCUACUGGACCACCACCUUUUUCUUUUUCGGCUUUUUGGACUUAUUCUCAGAAUCUUCUUUAAGUUGCAUGACUCGAAUUUUAUAUUUAAAUUGCCUUUGUAAAUCUAGCUUCUUUGUUCAACAUGAUUUUUUAUAAAUAUAUAUAGAAUCUAUGAUUUUAUUCAUGAUGGGAUUUUUUGUGUACAUUAAGAUAGUAAGAAUGAAGUAUAUAGUCAAUGCAAAUUUCAAUGGGACCUUUUGUAUAGCUUCUAGAUCGCCUAGUAUAAUUCAAAGCCGAAAAUCCAUGGUGCAACCCUUUUCAUAAAUGACAUUUACAUGAAACGUGAUUAAAUAAUAAACCCAUCAAAUGGGUGGGUUUGGUUAAAAAUAAUCCAAUCCAAAUUGACCUAUGUAUUAGUAAUACAAUUGCAGAGACUUGGAAUCGACUCAACUUAAACUUGACCCAACUUAGGCUCCAUUCUUAGCAAUUUUUCUCAUUAAAUUGUUACUUUAAAAUAGACCCAUCAAAUGUGUGGGUCGGAUCAAGUCGAAAAUGAUCUAAUUCAUAUGACCUAUAUUCAUGUAGUGUAAAUUUAGUGAUCCAUAUUAGACCCAACCUGUACCCAAAUCGACUAGUAUUGCUAAAACCCAUUGAUAUUUUAGAAAAACACACACACCCACUUUAAACUCUAUGCUAAUUAGAUAAAAGCUUCAAAUAAAAAUAAAAAAAGAAAAUAAAAAAUAUUUAUAAAAAACGUAGGGCGGAUAAAUCCAUUUUGCAACUUGGAUUUAAUGAGCCCAAUUUCAUGUGGGUAGUUGCAAGCAAUCGAGGCAGGCAAGUAUCAGGAAACUUUGCGUUUUAGCCUUUUAGGUUACCUAUUGGGCAACUUAACAUCGAAAAUGCAUCUAAAAUGAGUCAAACGUUCCGACCCAUUUUCCACCAAUAUAAAUUCAGCUUAAAACUUAUUGGACCCAUUUUAACUACCCUUUUUACUGGGCCUCUAUAUUUUUAUAAUCCACGUACAAUCUAUUAACACAAAAUAUGAGUUGGAAAGUGGAUUUUACACUCAUUUUACCAAUCCUAUUAUGAAGAAUGAAUGACUCCGUGGACCAACUUAUUGAGUCAAUGGGAUGCUCAGGCAUCAAGUUAUGGACAAAAACAUGAAAAUGUCGAUGAGGCAAAGGCUAUUUCUCAUUUAAUAAGACCUCUCUCGAUAUUGUAAUGUCUUAUUGUAUUACUUUUAAGACAUUGCGAUUUUAGAUCAGGCGUUAUCAAAUUCAUGCACAAGUCACAAGACGAUGAUUCUAACAAAAUUAACUACAAAGGCGUCCAGUUACAGCUUUCAUUGAAUUUUCAGCAUGUCAUGCCGAAUUUGAAUGAAUUAUUCAAAGUAAUUCAGUCGACAAUGGAGGGUGAUGCCCUUCCAGAAAGUCAACGGCGCCUUCCAAAGUAUAUUCCACAACGCGCGUAGAACACGUUCACAGAUUUUCCUGCGUUUCCAUUAGUCAGGAUUUUGACAAGAUCAUUGUAGUUAACGAGAUUUUUGUACUACAAAAAGAACAGUAGCGUGUGAUAAGAUUGACAGAAACAAAUAAAGCAAAUUCCGUGCUGAUCGACCAAGUACCAUCCCGAAAGAUGCCUUAUGAACCUUCAAAUGUUGGCAACGGAUCACCUGUAGUGCGACAAGCCCCAGCCUCGUUCAAAUUGGGCAGAGACCCAUCAAGUAGUGAACAUAGCGCUGCUCGACAGUUUCCGCACAGGCUGAUGUCAUCAUUAAUUUGCAGAAAUGAAAGGUUACACCAUAAAGACUUGUCCAAAGGUUUUCGUUAUCAAAACAAUUUACAUACCUUCACUUGCAAGUAGCUUAAUGUCGUUUCACAACAGAAGAAGCUAAUAUUUAUACAAUCUACAAAUUGAAAAGAAAAGGGGAAACUAAUGGAGAAAAAUAACAAAAAGGCACAGAAUUACUGGAGUUUGACAUACUUUAUGCACAAGGGCCGCAUCCAGAUUGCACUAUAUUACAAGUAGACUUCCUCGAGACUCACAUAGGAGUCUCCUUUCGCAGUUUCAACUCUUCCUUCCCAUAAAUUCGUUGAAGCUCACGAGUUGCGGCUUGGUAAGAUUCUGGAAAACAGAAUAAUGAACUUAUCGGAAGGUACAAUUUGCCAAAACAACAAAAGUUCUUCAACUUGACACAAAAACUUGUGGUGUCUUAAUAAGAAGUUUCCAUGGUAAAGUAUGGCAAAACUAUCCAAUUUUCAAAAAAUUUAAGAAAAAGCAAACUUGUAGUUAUUGAAUAGAGUGCCUCCAUCCUGAGAUUGUCAGGAAAGAUAAGGAGAAUAUUAUACAAGCGAGGGGGUAUACUCUAUCAUCCAGGUAAAAGGUCGGACGUUAAUCUAUAAAAUUCAUCUGCUUAUCCACAUUACCUAUUCCAGAAUUUCUACAACAUAUCUCUAUGACCUGAACGGAAGCAAUAAUUUUUUCGACUUUACACCUGACCAGUCACGAAAAAUUAUCGUUCCGCUAGGCAAAAAACGGAGUGUUACAUAACAUAUUUAUAGGAUAGGAGACGUAAGGAAGAAAGGAGUUGUUCCAUAAUUUCUGACAUGAAAAUAACAUGCAAAUCCUCAUAUAUAAUACGUAGUGUUGAAGGACAUUUUGCAGUAAUAAAUAUAGAUCAAAGGAUUCCCUUUUUUUUGGGUCAGAAUCAAAGGAUUCCUUGAACAUGUGUCAGGAGGUGAUUUUAUUAUUUCUUGACCUUGUUGGUAAAUGCUCUCCACAUAUAAGUAAAACUCCUGAUUUCUUGAAUGAUUAACGAUUAGAGAUAUCUAGCAGAUGCACAAUCACCUUUUAGUCUGAGUUCGAGAUGCACGGAUUUAUUUGCACAUCCACAUUAUCAAUACGCACACAAAUUCUUGGAUUCAUGUGUGCGUGUGCAUGCGUGUGUGGUGGGUUGGAGAGAGAGAGAGAGAGAGAGAUGAAUGAUCUUUCUCCAAUAAACUGCAUAUAAUACCGAGAAAGAUAUCUAUUUUACCUUUCCAGAUGCGAAAAGAUUUCUGAUUAAUUGGUGCACCAAACACAGUCUGAAUUGUAUCAAACAGCAAGCUCUCAGGAGUGCUCCGUAGUUCUUGAACUAUUUGAUAGAUGGUCUUCCCAUUCUCAAAGUAUAUAUGAUUGUUUGGAUGCUUUGUCUUGCAACCGGCAUGUCGCUCGAAUUCAUAUGCAUUAAGCACCUUACAGCAAAAAUUGACAAAGUAUAAGCUCUCUAUAGAGCAUGACUCCACCACGAUCUCCUUAAGCAGCAGUAAAAGGUCUUACCUUCGAAUAAUUGCAUGAUUGACAGCCACAAAGAUAGCCAGAAUCCUUUAUGAUUCCCCGAAGCUCCUUAUUGGAGUAUUAUGACUAUAAGUCACUCAGCAGCAAUGAAUGGAAAGGAAUGAAUGGAAAUAAUCUAAGGCAGGUUACCUCACAUGACACAGAAACAUACUUUACUGGGAUGCCGUCAAGCAUGCCAGUAGAUAUCAGGCUUCUGACAUUUGAAGGGAAGCUAUUAGGGGCUUCUUUUCUAGAUGGUUUUGACUCUGGCUUAUUCUUGGAAACAAAAUCACUUCUAGACUUGACCACCCUCAUGACAUUCGCAUUUGAAGUGGCCACCUGCUUCCUACCAUCUUCUUUUGAUAUUUGAAGUGAAGAUUGACUGUCUGGCUCAUCUAAGCCACCAACUGAUCUUCCUACAGGGAUAAUGUCCCGUUCAUCAUUAAAACCAUCAAAGGAGAUAAUGUUGCCUUCCUCCUUAUAUGCAUCAGCUACGGAGACAGCAGUAGGAUCUUCCUUGUAAUAUGCAAAGUCCCUUGAUUUGAUUUGACCACAUUCCUCAUAUGUGUGCCUCAUUAAAUUGACAUUCUCGAUGUCCUUAUUGUAGUCCUGUCCCACUGGUAUAAUGACCAUGUCGUUUUGUCUGUCAUAAGCCAGAGCACUAUGCAUAUCAAUAUGAUUUUCCCUGUCAAAGCUAUUCAUCUUCAGACUGUAGAUUCCAGUUUCAGAAUCCUUAACCCGAUUGGCCUUAACUUUUCCAAUUCCAUUGUAGCUGAGACACAUCUCUGGGUCCUCCGUGGAUUGAGAUAUGGACAAACCUACAGAUAUGUCAUCCUCAUACUGAUCCUCUGAAUCCUUUUCACUCAAAUUUGCCCCACCUGCUUCUACAAGAGAAAUACUCCUUUCAGUGAAGUCAACAGGCCUUGUAGUUUCGGAUCCAAACAACCUGUCAACAAAUUGGUUGGAUGUCGGCUGAAAACUGGCUAGACUCUCCCAUGCAGGAAUGUUGGAAUGUGAAAUUCUGGAAAUUGACUGGGCACUUGGAGAUUGUACUGCAUGCUUCUUGCUAGAGAAAAAAUCCGCCUCGCCAGAAUCUGCUAACCAUCGAUGAGUCCGUUUUGUUUCAAUUCUGGAGGGGUUAUCAAAUGUUGGACCUCUUUCAGCACCUUUGGCCAUCCAUAAACUGUUAUCCUGAAAUGACCAGCCAAACAACACAAUCACCAAUGAUGGUUUAAUCUUAAAUUUUUAAUAUGCCCUCACAUUCCCUUGCAAGUAUGGGUGGCGAGAGAUGAGAAAGGAUGGCAAUCUUCAGCUUUCAUGACUGAGUGCACACAUAGGCACACGGCACGAAUCUAAAAGCUAAAGCCAGCACAAUUUCUAAUAAGUUAUACCAACUGAUCCCUAUAGCCUCUAACAGGAAAUACAAUCAUGUGCUAGCUCCCUCUUUAAUCUAAAUGACACUAAAAAGAAAGUAUAUAAACACUAGAAAUGCGCCUCCCUCCCUCUGGGGGGAACUAAUCAACACUCCCCCACUCUCCCCCACACACAGAAAAAGAAGAAGUUAAAAAGAACAGAAAAAAGAGAAGGAAAAGAACAAAAAAGAAAAAGCUUUCCAUAGAAACUCUCAUGCAUUGGUUAUCACUCAUCAUGUCUACAUUCCACUCACCAUGGCUCGAUAAAACUCAAAAGAUUGCUUAUGCUUUGUUUCUUUCUAAUAUCCAGUAUCCCAAUCGUUACCAAUAUUGCUAUGAGUACGAAGCUCUCAUGUUUCUAGCUAAAUAUCCACAGUUCAAUUUGUACACAAUACUUGAGAUCUUCCUUGAUCUUACAGAAACAUUAGCACCUAACUAUCUUUUUCACCAGUUGAUAUUCAAUGCCAAACAGCAAACAGAAAUGAGAAACCUAGCCAAUGUUACCAUUUCGCUUCUCCAAGUCUAAUGAGGAAACAGCAUCAUGCGAUACCACUCCAGCUGUCGUCCCCGCUGCUGCAAAGCCUUCCUUCCUUGCUUCCUUCCUUCCUUCCUUCUAUCCACGAGUAUGCGCGCGAACCGGCGACGUCCGAAUCCACGUCAAAACCUCUGCAACGGCCCAAAAAGAAGCUCGUUCAGCGCACAGUAAACACAAACAACAACCGACGCGCAUUGACCUGCAAACAAUCAAUAAACUACUCCACUUCUGCACAAGCGCCACGCACGAAAUUGAUCCCACAUUCCGCCAAAACAGCGAAAGAAAUCCGACGCAAGCACCUCGUUCGCGGCCAAUAGCACUUCUCAAGACGACGCAAUACAUUCUCAAAGUCAUUCCUCGAGGUUUUCGGGAAAUCGAAAGCCAAGCCGAACAAUGCCCUAGGCCUCCAGACACGUGGCGAAUCACGGAACGCGAAAAUCGACGAGAGCCGUAGCUUACGGUGAUCGUCGACGAAACGGAGACGACCGGAAACACGAUCGCCGGUCACGGAGUCGACUCGCUCGUCGCCGGCGACGGAACAGCCGGCGCCUGCUCGGAGGACAUGGGGCUGCGUCGGAGAGAGAAGCGGUUGACGUUGGAGUGGGCGAGUCACACCGGAUGGUAGCUCGCGCGGAGGAGCAUCGUAAGCAGGGUGCGUCCGCAUGGCCACGGUGGCGGGCGACGCGCAUCUCUACCGUACACGUCUCGUGUCAAGCUGUGGAAAUGAAUUCACGCCGUCCGUUGCAAAUACUCGAUAUAUUUAUGUAGUUUCCAUUUUUUUUUUCCAUUUUUGGUUUUUCUUUUCUUUUUUUGGCCGGACCGUUUUUGGUUCUUACGUGAUGCAUUUUCCUACAUCUUUCCCUUCCUUCCAACUCUUUAAAAAGUUCCCUAAAAUAUUUCAAAUUAUUCUACUUUUACCAAAUUACCGAAAUAAUUUCCAUGGCUUAAAAACGUUAAUAUUGAUGUAAUGUAUUUUGGAAAAGUCGAGACAUUUAACACCGAUGGUGCAUUUAUUUAGCUGAAAAUGAAAGAUUUGGAAAAAAUAUAUAUUUUUUAAAUAAAAAAUUAAAUUGCUUACAAAAAAUGAAUGAAUAGAAAAUAUUUUUAUACUUCACAAAAAAGCGUAAACAUAAAUUAUUGUUGAUAAUAAAAACAUUGUUUAUUGACCUAUCAUUUCAAGUGAUAUAAGUGAAUACUUUUUAAAAAAAUAUUCUUCAAGUCACUCAUUUUUGGUGAAAUAAAUGAAACUCAAAUAAAAAUUAAAUUUCAAAAAUGAACAUUAUAGGGUGUUAUCUUGACAUCUUGUAUUAGUGCCCUGAGGCACAAAUAAAAUAUCUACAUUGAGAUCAGGUCCGUUUAGUAUCAUUUAUGACAUGUGACGUGCCAUGUCGUAUCGUUAUGGCCAUUUUCAUAUCGCAACAUGAGUCCAUCCCUUGUAAUAUAACAAUCAAGUCAGGUACUAUAUUGUGCUGAUACUGAGUCUCCAGGAUCUUACAAUUAUGGUGUGACGCACCUCAUGCUUCCUUCGACCUUCCCCCGGGAUUGGCGUAUGGUUGUUGCCCGGGUUUCGCAAUGCCUCGAGUCCUACCUUUUGUCGAGGUUCAUUCUCCGGCAAAGUGUUCAAAGACAGGCUAACUUGCUGCUGAGUUUGCGCGCGCAAGCGGUCGUUCGACUUAACUCAAAAAGAAAGUUCCAGUUUUGGAUAGUAACGUGACAACCAGUGAUGACUGAUGAGGUUAUGCAGAUGCGAUGUAGUUGUUUCCGAUGCUUCUAUAUGCGAUUCCAGCGAACGAGAUACUCGCAAAGUUUCUUCACCAACAAACCGAGGCCCGAGUCUUCGGACAGCUUGGUCGGUCCGGUCGGGACUUGGGACGUUUAGCAGCAGAAAUAAAGGGCAAGAUGCUUGUGCUCAGAAGAGUUCAAGAGGAAGGAAAGCGAAGAACCGAAACAUGUCCAUUUGAUAGCGCGAAUAUGUUCAGAAACUUGUAUGAAGUUCAAUCCCUUGUAGUAAUAUUGGUUGGUCUGAGAAAGAAGAUGCAAGGCAGUGUGUUUGGACGCAUUGCUUAUCCAGACAUGUUGCAAGUGGGUUGAAAGUUCUCUUCGUGCAUAUCAGCUUGAUAUGGUUAAAAGUCGGUGCUAUGGAUUCAACAAGGCAAGUUCCAAAUACCAUCGUUUGCUUCACAUUCGCAUGUACUGUCGAAGAAUGUGGAGCCGUUUUACUUUGCUAGCAGUGAAAAAUCAUGGUCCUAGUCGAGAGAGCAAACAGCAUUGAAGAAAGAAUCGACGGCAAGAGCUACCUCUUGGGAUGACAUUUCUUGCUGGAGUACCAACCGGCACUCUCAAAGCACAUUUAGUUAGCUCAUUUACCUGGUGCGCUCUAAUGAAAUAUGCAGCAACAUUCUUCCCUUCGUUUUUCUUUGAAGGACUCCUCUUGACCCUGGAUGCUCCCUUCGUGCUCGGUGAGCUCAUCACCUCUCGCACAAUGUACGGUAGUUCAACUGGGUUUACUUCAGUACAAGUUCUUGGACUGACAAAAAAACAAUCAUUCCCAGAGAUGAAAACAGCGAUCAAUCAAGCAUAUAUCUGAUUUUAUCUCCAUAAUGUCAGUUUAAAAGUGAUCCUGCUUCAAUCCUUCGAACUUACAAUAUCAAAACCGGCAACCAGCAACUUGGAACUAGGGGGAAUCGGCCUCAUGGAUUGAGCUAAAAUAUUUAAGGUGGAGGGCCUCCAGUCAGGUGAAAACAGAGUCUAUCUCUCAGAGAUGCAUCUUUAAUGUCGCCUACUCCACAUGUUUGCUGGGGCCAUCCUGACUCACGAUGGUGAGACACUGUCGUCAUGUCCUGAACUUCAUCUUCCUUGUCGAUGACGAUAUUGUGAAGAAGGCAACAAACCAGAAUAAUCCUCGGCAACCUGUGUCUGUCGGGUCUCCACAUGACUCCACGGAUGAUCCUCCAAGAGUCCUUCAACCUUGCGAGUGCGCUCUCUGCCACCCCUGCAGCUGCAAUGAGCCGCCUGUUGAACUCGGAUCUUGGUUCAGAAAAUUCUUUCCCUUCAUAUGGCGUGAUGAGAUAAGGAAGCAACUGAUAGCCUGAGCCCCCGACAACAUAUUCCCUCACCUUUGAUCCAUCCAAAAGCUCGAAUGUGUUCCCAUUCAAUCUCUGUCCCUGGUUGCACAGUUGAUAGAAGCCUGAAUUCUGAAAGACUGACCAUCUGUUCAUUUUACCCCCUGGCCAUCCAGUGACUACGUCUUGAAAUCUCAUAUCUGGGUCCACUAUUGCUUGCAAGACCAUACUGUAAUGCUUCUCGUGGUCGAGCCACAAGGUACUAUUGGGGUCCGAUGUGGACAAGUUCAUCAAGAUGUGAGUAAAAGCAAUGGCACCGCAGCAAUUAGGCAAGCCGCACAUCUUCUCGAACUUGGCUUUUGUGUUUGCUGUUUCCGUUGUAGUGGAGGGCCAACGUAGGUGAUGACUUGCCCUCUCUUCCAUGGCUUCAAUAAAACGCCAAGUAGCUUGGGACACAGUUGAGUGGUUCAGGCCAAAUGAAUCUCCUACGGUUAUGAGUGACUCUCCAGAGCUCAGCCUUCUCAAAGCUAUGGCUACUUGGUCAUGUAAAGAUAAAGGCCUGCCAUUUCUGAAUACUAAGUUCGCCGGCUUGGCUGUAAUAUCUUCCUUUACAAGUGAACAUAUGUAAUCAAAGGUUCUCUUGGAAAUUCCAAAAACGGAUUUGAACUCAUCCAGUCCAUUCUUUGAAGGAAGAUGACCUGCAAAGAAUUGGGUUAAAAAAGAUAAAGUUGAAACUGUCAAACCACAUCAGGCUUUUAUUCUGCUAAUAGCAUUAGUUUCACUGUUGCUGCAGCAAACAUCAUCAAAAUACAAGGAUAAGAUCGUGAAGCGAGAGGAAAGUUUCUUUAUAUAUAUACAAUGGAAAAAAAGUAUCUGAAAAGAAGGAAACAGGAGGUCCUUAUUUUCUGUCAGGAAGAUGAGACCAAAUCCAGACAUAUGUGCACCAAAUUCAGAGAUCAAGCAGUAUACUUUUGUUUGCUACAAAACAUGCUGACAGAAACUAAGAAAUGCUUUCAUUGACUAUCAAUCUCACUGAACUCAAGAGGGUGGUUUUGAGAUGUAUGUAUCACCCCAGAAGCUCUAAUCGAUUUGAUCUGACCAAAUAACAGUAUCGACAUUUUUGAUGGAACCUGAUUUAUAAAUUACCACCUCAAGCUGAUGAUGCCACUCUGUAUACUUCACACAUCAGACGGUCACAUAUCUCAUUACAACAAUGACAACCCUUGUUUUAUCAUCCCCCGACAUACUUUAGGGAAUGGAGCAGGCGCUAUUCAAGAAAAUAUGGAGAUUUUGAUGAAUUUUUAAUUGUCGGAACUACGAUUUUCUCUCCAUGCUACCAUUUGACUAAAUCAUCAUGUCUUUUUGAAUGCUUUAUCCCAGAAUAAAACAUGAGCUGCUGCCAAAAUCUUUUAAGAAAAACUGGUAUCAAAUCCUUUUUCAUCAUCUGGAUUCAUAUAUAACCUAGGUUAUCCUUAACCUUUACCCAAUCAAUUUACAAAGAAUGGGAAAUGUUUGUGAACCUUCAAGCUAUGUUUUCUUCUUUUUCUGCUGAGAAACAUUUAGGCAUAUUAAAGACAGAAAUUAACACAACUGUAAGCCUAACUGUAGUAGGAAUGAGGUGAUUCAAAUAAGCUAAAGAAAAACAUCCUGCUGAGUUACUUCCUAAUCAAUAACGAUUUCAAAAAUGAAUGGGGAGCGUUCUCGGGAAAUAUUAAGUGCCUAGACCAAGACUUGAGCUAAGAAAUAGUACACAGCAUAUUGAAAUUGAAGAGCUAAUAAUUGACUACUGAACCAAGCACAAUGGAGGAUGCAGAAUCGUAAGUUAGGAAAAGAUAUAGUAGCAUCUUGGUGAAAGUUUAAAAAACAUCUACAUCAUAUGCAAGGAUGGCUACAUGUGCAACACCAUUCUUAAUAUAUAGAAAUCGGAAAGUGGAGCCGAAGCAAAGCACCCAAAACCAAAUCCAUGAUUCAUUUUGACAACUUCAAGCAAGAUAUCUCCAGGAUGUCUUGAUGCAUACUCGAACAAAAGUUGAGUUUGGCCAGCUCUUUUUCUAGAUCAAUGGCAAAAAUAGCUUCCACAAGUAUUGGUUAUCAAAGACAAAUAGAUGGAUGACAUUUCUGCUUGAACCGGCCAAUGGCCAGUUAUAUUAAAUUUUGAGAACUUGCAUGGGAUGAAAAAAGGACAGAUUUAAGAGCAAUAAUCAUGAUGAUGAAGAGCCCUACAUUCUAAUUCAAUUGAUAUAUUUGGGCAUCAAACAUAGGGAUCUAAAAGCAGAUAUCCUAAAAAGAGUAAGAAGCAGCAUGUCCCAGAGAGUGCAACAUUCAUUAAUUGGCGAGAACCAUAGGACAGUCUGUGCACUGUUUCUCUUUCUGUUUUUUGUCAUGAAAUUAUAGACCUUUUAUUCAUUUGACAGUGAACUAGUGCUCAAAAAACUACUGACCAAAACAGAAAAUUUUCUAUUAGAUUAUUCUCGGAUGGAGGUAUCAUUAAAGACCAUUGUAGAGCACUUGUUCAGCUCUGUGAAGUUCACACAGUUACUUUGUUUAUAACAGGAAAAGAAAGGAGUUCUAAGCAACAGAUAUGAUAUAACAACCGAGAUCUUCUUCUUGAGCGACUAUUUGACUUGCAGUUGACUCCAGAACACAACAAAAUCCAAUGAUUUUACAAAUGAAAUGCAGAAUUUCUCUUUACAUCAUACUCUUAUUCACUUUACCUUACACUCCCCCAGAGUUCACCUGAAAAGGGUACCGAGAUAGUAAUAUGACUUUAUUAUGCUUAAAUAAGCUGCUACUGAAUUUAUGAACUCAGAACUGUCACAUUUCUACAGACCUCCUACGUUCCCUCUCUUUUGCAGAGCGACAUCCGUAUGAAUGAAUAUGAUGUAAAUUUCUCCAGAGUCAUCUUAUUAUCUGACAUUUUUUCAGGCUUUUUCCCUUGUUUAAAGAAGUUAAUUCAGACUUAAUCAAUGGCAUUGCAGAAAAGGACGGCUCAGAUUGCAAUAUAAUUCAAUGCAGAGCCUGAUCAGUGGUUUUUCCUUGCAUUUGAAAGAUCAAGCAUCUCACUUUCAGUCACGUGUGAAUGUUCAAAAGAGAGAUAGAUAGAUAGUCAAGCAGAAACGUCUGCUGAAGAAAAAGGUUUUUUUAAAAAAAAAAAAAAAAUCUUUUUAUGUUUAUUUUUUCAAGAUCAAGAAAUGUGGCAUUGACCGAGUUGGAUACAAUGACAGUCGAUUCGUUAAAUUGAUUUCCACAUAAAAGGAGCAUGUCAAUCCCAUUACAAAAUCUCCGCGAGAGCAGAAUGAAGAUAUCAUCAUGUACAGCGAACGUAACAAAGAAAACUAAGACAGCCAAAGGCAUCGUCCUAGCAAACAAUAACCGAAAAUAAAAAAUAAAAAAAUCAGAAAGAAAGAAACAGCCAGAAGACACAUGCGAUGGAGCAAUAACAGUAGAUAGAGAAUACCAUUGCUUCUUCUGCAGAACUCGCCAAACCAAUCUGCAGACUCCUCCUUCUGAGAAGACCCAGAAGCAGAAACAUCCGCUUCACUCCUCUUCUUCAUACUCUCUCUCUUCCUCUUCUUCCUCAGGUUUCUGCCAGGACCCAUGAUCUGACAGACACCCAAUUCAGCCCAAGACUCGAAAUUUAAUGACUUCCCGAUAAAUCAUAAUCAUUGACGAAACAAAAGAGAGACUCAUGUCACGCCACGACGAAUACCCAUCACACACGACACCGGGUGGGACUCAGAAUCCAUUACCUUUCAAUGCACAAACUUCAUGGGGCGACGGGGGCACUAACAGCGAGGCGCAUCAUGCAAGGGGAGGGAACUUUUUUCUAUGGUAAUCAAUGAGGCGCGAGUGCUUCGUGCCCCGUGUGUUUCGAGCAUGCAAGAGUAGAGGGAGGGAGGCAACAAGGAAAAGAAAAACCAAAAAACGGAACUGCAGAGAGGAGAAAAGAAACAAGGACUGGGAUAGAUAGAGAGAGAAAGAGAGAGAGCUUUCUUAUAUAUCGGGGCAACCGGGAGCAAUCUAAGCAAAGCACGCACAGGUUGGUUCGCAUUUGUUUAGGACAAUGCGGCAGGAGCUUCUUUCCUGAAAAUUAAAAAAGCGAUCUUUAACGGUGACUUUCAGAAAAAGAAUCGCUUUUUGUUUGCCUUAUAAACUUUUUUCUACUGCGUAUGGAAGGGGAGAUGGGAGAAAAAAAAAGUGAAAUACUCAACAAGACAAAUCUGAGGAAAGCAAAUUCCAAGCUCGCUUCAGUUAAUUAAUUGAAAAAAGUAUUAAAAAGCAUACUCUUUUUUUCUUUUUUUUCCUCUUUUUGUGAAAAGCAUACUUCGCUACUUACAUAUCUUUAUUUCUUGCAAAUGACCGUGUUAACAACACGAGCGCCUCUUCAGCACUGGUUAAGCAUAGUUAAUGAGGGAUUAUUUAAUUUUGAAAAUACUGAUUUUGUAUAUCAUGAGAGCAGCACUGAAAAUUGCAACAUUUUCUUAUUUGGCUGUUUACCAAGGGCUUCUAUCCACUUUCUAACAAAAUCCUUUUGGAAAUACCAUUCGCAUACCUCUUAAAGGAACCCUCGACUAGGGGUGUGCAUGGUCCGGGCGGGCGGUUCCCAACCUAGAAUCGGGCCGAAAAAUUGGAAUCGGGAUCCACCCGUUUGUUGCAUGGAUUCACCUGGGAACUGGACCGCCGAUCUGGUCCGGUUCCCGGGUGGAUCGGAACCGAUCUUAACAUGAAACAAUUUUGGUUUUCAAUAUAGAACGACUAUGUGACAUCAAAGCAAGUCAAAGAAAGAAAAACCAAAUUUAAGUACGUGAAGAUGCGGACGGUAGGAGAAGUAAACGCAACGAAUUUACAAAUACGGUCCAGGCGGUUCCCGGGUACUUUGCACACCUCUAGAAGGAAGUGAGAUAAGAUCUAAGGUUUCUUUUAGUAAUUUUUUUUUUUAAUAUUAAAAAGGUUCCGGUCGGGUUCGAGUGGGCGGGUGGUUGGAUCCGCCCAUGGAACUGGGAACAAAACCGGUUCCCUCAAGAACCGCCGGCUCCGGGCGGUUUCGGUCCGGUUCUGGGUAGUCCGGGCGGUUCCUAGGUAUUUUGCACACCCCUACCCUCGACUGAAAAGACUAAAUUGCUCGCCCCUCUUCAGGGUUUGGGCAAUUGGGUUUUAAGUUGAUUUUGAGUGUUUUGGAUUGGUGUGAUUGUUUAAGAUUUCAUAAUUGCCGAUUUUGGCAAGAAAAUUGUGUUUUCGUAAAUAGGAGCACAAAAAUAAUUGAUAUGAAUGUGCAAAUCGGUCUUCAAAGUUAAAACUGGGGUAUGAAAUUCUCGUUUUUAAAAAUAGAGAUACGCAAGUGAUCCUUGAAUGAAAGACGAGGCAUGUUCUCCAAUCAAAUUGUCAAGAUAUGGGCGAUUUUCCUAAAGAAAAUGCGAUGAAAUAAUUCAGAUUUCACCUUGGAGUAGAUGAUGAGAUCCUGAGGGACUUUUGAUACCAGAAGAACAAGAGAAGCUAAACCCACAAAGAUAUACAAUGGUAAGAAUACCUCGAGUCUCGGUUCUUAAUAUAUGAUGACUUUGUGUUUGGGGAAUAGGCCAUUUAUAAUCGAGAAUGUGUGUGCAGCUUGAAUUUUGUCUUUCCAGGCAUUAAUUAUAUUACUGGCUUGUUGUUUGCCAUUAAUGGGCAUGUCAACUCCAAAGCUCAUUUUCAGAUUGGAUUGUAGAGUAUAUAUGAUUGGAUCUAUUUAAUUUUUCAGAUUUUUUCGACAAUACCUAUGCCAUAAUUGAAAAUGACUAUCUUUUUCUUAUUUUCAUAAAUGAGAAAACCGAAUCGCACGAGACAAAAGAAUAAAGGCAUCUUUUUUAAUGUAGUUCCCUCGGUACGAUUGUUCUUUCUAGAAGAGUUUUCAAAUAAUUUCGUCAAUACAAAAUUUUUUGAAUGGCGAUUCAUCUUGAAUCUUUGAAAUAAUUCACAUGGACCUUGCUUUCUAAUGUUCACGAAUCUGGUCGUGACAUUUCACUCUAGGACAAUAACAGUGAUGUAAUUAUGUUAGGCUUAAAGUGGUCAACAAAAGCAGCAUUUGGUAAUGAGAUCGGUUCUUAACCUCCAUGUUCUUUCUGUUGAACUGAUGAGCGCCAAUGUAAGUAAAUAAAUAGAGCAGGCCCGUACGCUCUCAAGCCUUUUCUUGGAGACUCCAGCUCUAGGUCAGUAUUGGGAACGUGUUUGGGCUUGGGCUUGGGCUUGGGCCGAUCCGUCAAGGCCAUUAUUAGGUCCGAUAUGCCACUGAUCUCGAAGUGCGCUAGAUAAACAAAUUGAAAAACGCGUCAUGGAUCGAUAGACUCCGUUCGCGUGAAUCAAAUCGGGUUAAGCAAGGAUUUUAGCUAAUGUUUGGAGACAAAGUUAACGUGUCGCCUUUAGGUUAAAUGGAAAGAAGCCGUUCUCUCUUUCCUUUGUUCUUUUGUGCAGCACGGUUAGGUGCUGUCCUGGCCAACUCGCGCAAAUCUAUUACCAUCCAAACCGACAUUCGACGAGGCCCCGUGAUGCAUGGCUGGGAAGUCUAGUGCUUGAAUCAUGGAAGACUCGAUUUGUAUGCGUGAGCUUGGCUCGGCCAGAUCGUUACGGCUUCAUUGACAAACUUGUAUGCAUUGUACGCUUUCCCGAUCGAGCACGUGGCGAAGACGACUGUGAGAGCGCAAUUUGGCGACAGAAGAAGAAGAAGAAGCCGACCACAUCGAUUCUCGAUGCUCCUCUACGAAGUUAUUCACUUGAUAGUCGAUGAUUCCCCCAUUUUCAAAGAGGAUUGACAACCUAGCCAAAAUUUCGACAGUUUUCCAAGAAAAUGUAUAUUUCUCAUUUUAAUAUGAGCAUAUAGUUAGAAACUAGAGGCGGUUAUUGAACCCGACUCAACUCGGAUAGCUAAUCGAGCCUAACUUGAGUAUCCAAACUCGUCCACAUAAAAAAAUUCAAAAAUUGAAAACAACAACGUAGAGUUCGUCGGCUGGGUUGGGCCCGUGUCAAAAAUGAGUGGGCUGAGCUUCAAUGUAAGAAUCUUGACCCUGCCACCGUGGGCCGAGCGAGCUUGGGUGAGCUGAACGGUUCGCCCAGCUUGAUAUCAUCUCUAUUAAGAAGUGCUUUGGGCGCCGGUUAGAACGCGAGGAGAUUACACUUUACUAAUUGCGAUAUUUUAAAAAUGGAAGAUGUAGAUUACAAGAUAGAUCAUAUUUCCAAGAUUAUAAUAUAAUGUGGCUUGAUAAGUGCACUAAGACCGUUUAUCGAUAUUUCCUAAAUUUGUAAUGAAAAAUCCCACAUUAAGUUAACAUAUAUAUUAAUACGUUGAGACUCAAUAAAUAAGAAAUUAAAAUUUUCGAUUUUGUGUGUGUGCGUGCGCGCGCUUUUAGUUAGCUUUGUAAUUUUUUAACUUUGAAGUAGCUUGGUUUUCAAACGAUCGGCUAUUUUAAGCUGAAUAAAUACAUUCAGCAUGUAUAAAGAUGGGCCCAAAAAUGGCCUUCAUGUACGAGCAAUUGAUUCGGCCCAUGGGCCUAGUAAUCGCAACUGGUGCUUCAUGGUGCAGCUACUGAGUGGUAAUAAUACGGGGAUAUAAUAAAUCAACACUCAAACAUCCUUUCCUUUCUUAAAAGUAAGGACAUCGGGGUGGGGAACGGACCAUCCAAAGGCUCAUGAAAUGUCUUGCAAACCCCAUUAACUGAUUAGGUUCGGGACUUUGGUUUGUGCAACUAGGUCUGACACGAAGCAAUUUGCACUCAAUUUGUGGAAUUUCAACGAAUGGCAUUGAUUUCCUCAUCCCAUGCCAUUUGCGCAAUUGGUACGUAGGGCCUGACAAGAGGUCAACAUGUGAAUAUCUCGCACUCCAAAUACGAAUUAUAUAUUUGGAUGUGAAAUUAUUGUCCAUAUAGGAAUAAAAAGGUGUGGGGGACCUCAACUCUUUUCUCCUCCAUCUUGGAAACCUCAAAUUUUAUACUCUAUUCAUAUAUAGUAGAUAUAUUGUCAAGCUUAUCACAACUGGAAAUAUUUUUUUCCCUAAAUUUGGGUUUAGUGGACUGAAUUAAUCACAAUCAAUGAUUACAUUAUUUUCAUGUGGGCCCCUCUUAUGGGUGUCACAAAACCAACUGCUGUAAUUAUAUCUAAUUCACGGAUCUCAAUUUAAAUAAUACUGUUUCCAUGCUGUUCGACAUGGUAAUCAAUAAUUAUUGCGUUGGGGCGCAACUCCUUAAAAAUGCAUCCCCUUUUGUCUCAUCUUGCGACCAAUCGAGAUAACUUGCGUCAUAAAGAGGUUCUUCUUUGAUCUAUGGACCGACGUUUCGGUUCAGUUCUAGUAAACAAAGAAUGGUUAUCUCCCGCAUGUCUCCUACUUCUUUAAGUUUCUAGCAAUAUGAACUCGAAUUAUAAAUGGUAAAUUAUUACCAGAAACCCUAAGGUUGGCAUAGUUGGUCAGGCAUCGAAUGCUUUCCACUUUAAGAAAGGGAGGUUACAUGUUUGGAUUCCACAAACUGCGUGCAAACUGCUACGCAUCGAGCGACCUGCUUAGGCCAAAAUAAUUGAACUUAACCGAUUCUUGAGGUUGAUAUCAUGCUUCACGAAUCUCUGAACAGGCUGAUCUCCGAGCCCAUUUCCCCGAAUUAUAAAAGCGAAAUUAUAGUGACAGGUCUUCACACGCUUGACAAAUGUCGAUAACAAUGCCACAUGAUCUGGAUAAAGCGAAAAAGUCGAGCUCGAAGCUUCGUGCCAACCGGGCCGCAACGAACCUUUUUACCCGCUCUUUUGAAACCAGUAAAGCGCUCUUUCCUCGCGCCCGCCAAUCUUCGCCAUGCAUCCUCCUCUCCUGCCCAAGCAAAAGGCUCUCUCCUAACGAGUCAAGUCAAAAUUUCGUCCAUCAAAAUCUACCGGAUCUUCCUCUUCGGUGGCGUACAAGAAACAAACUUGGCUAAUGCCAAAAUCAUAAUGACAAACUAGACUGCUUUUCACCCUACUUUCUCAUCCUGCCUUUUCACCCCUUUUUGCUAGGAAUACGAAAUGAUGUCCGUCACUCAUGGAUUUCCCUAUUGUUGUCCUGUUUCUGGGACCCUUUGUCAAACAAUGAAGCGGUAAAAUCAAGCUUUUAGCCUGCAUAGAUUGAUUUAACCCAUAAUAGUUUGCACGCAAUUAAGGACUUUCGAAUCCAUAAUCUUUGAUUUUUGAGCUGAAUUUUUUUGGAAGUCCAAACCAAUUGUGCCGAUCUGAGGGCUAUAAACACUAAAUACAUAAUUGUAAGGCCGAUUUACCACGAUUGUUUCACACGAAUGUUGAUAUGGAUUCGGAAGUUGGUGUUUCAAACUAGUGCCUUCUCACGGACAUCCUCUCUAUCCACCAGCCUUAGCAUGUCAAGUUAGAAUCAGGAAUUGAGCACAGCGUGAUCUAUAAUUUGGAUAGGAGAUAUGUUUUAACAUCCUUUGGAAAUGUCGGAAGGCAAUGAAUUAUACUAAUUUGGUUGGUCAAGGAUAGGUAAUUUCACUAAAUCACGAGAUUUGAGCGUGUUUCCAUUGGUCUUUUUUCCUCUCUCUUGGAGACUUCAAAUUUAAGCUCAUCCUAUGCAUGAUCGAGACACUUCCAAGCCUCUCACAAUUUGGAAUUCUUCUUCACCUAUUGGACACCUUUUCUUAGAUUCAGUAGAGUGGAUUAAUCAUAAACAUCAAUCACACUAUUCCCAUGGGAGUUCCACAAAGACCACAACUCGUGAAUCCUGGUCCAUACAAUAAUUUCCCCCUCUCCAUUUCGCUAGACAAUUAUUGCGCAGUGACGGAAAAUCGACCAUGAAUAUCCAGAUUCGAGGAAUUCAACUCUUCGCGCACUUCUCCCCUCUAAUCUCCUCUCUUGUGAGGGGAGUCGUGAUAGACUCGCAACAUUGAGAGGUCUCGCUUGAUCUAUGAACCCAAGGUUCAGUGCAAUCCUAAUAAGCAUAAAAUGGUCCUCUUGCGCAUGAUCCUUGCAACUCUGACGUUCUAGAAGUAAAAACUAGAACUACAUAUGGUAACUUAUUACUCCAAGGUUGGCACGGUUGAUUAGAGCAUCGGCGGAGUUCCAGCUCAAGAAAUGAAUGUCACACACUCAAAUCCUACGAAUGCUUGCAAAUUGCACUGGAAUAAGGCCACCUACACUAGCCAAAGACACGAUGAAUUUAACCUUAUUCACAGGGCUUGCACAACGUUCCAUAGGCCUCAAGGUAACUAAACUCCUUUGUCUUAGCGCCAUGCAUCCUCCAUCCCAAGCAAGGCUCUCUCAACGGGUCUAACCCAAUUUCGUCCAUCAAGAUCUUCCUGAUCUUAUCUGGUGGAGGAGAAAAUAAACAAACUUUGACUUACCCAAAAAGCAUAAUGACAAAUUGGACCGUUGAUUCCGCUCUUUUCACCCUUACUUUCUCAUCCUGCUUUUUCUUAACCCAUCUUUACUAGGAUCGCAGCAAAGACAAUGAUCCUCCAUCGAUUUCACUAUUGUUGUCUCGACCCUGAAACCCCCUCGUCAGAAAAGAUCUUAUUAAGGCCGGAUAAGAUCAAGAGUAAUCGGUGCUUCGUAUAUAAACCAUAAAUGCGUUUGGCAAUCCCUACUUGACUACUCGACGCAUAUAAAGAAUGGCCGCGGUUUUCCAAUAUACCGCUUUUCUCACGCUUACAUGAUCGACACUUGGAAUUUCGAAACUUUCCCCAUUAUAUAUGCUUAAUAGUGUCUCCAUGAUAACAACUUAGAAAAUUAUCCAACCAAUUCUAGAUUUAUUGUACAUGUAAAUUCAAUCUUAAACUUUUGAGUUUUGUUGAUUAGGAAUCUUUGUGCGAAAUUGGGAAAAGUACAAAAAAAGUCAUAAACUUUUUGUAUUGGUACUAAUUCAGUCGUAAACUUUUUAAUUGGACCAAUUUAGUCCUAAACCUUUUUACAUUGAUACUAAUUCAGUGAUUUAAGCUGGGAAUUGCUGACAUGGCCACCAACGGUCUUAUGUGAUGCCAUGUGGACAAAUUUUAUAAUUUUUUAAAUUAUUUAUUUUCUUUUUUUUUUCUUUUCUCCUUACCCCUUGGUCGGCGACCUUCGUGUCCUCGCCUGUGGCUAAGGAGGGCGUGGAGGCCCUCGCCCUUGGUCAGCGAGGGUUUGGGUUUUCGCUUGGAUUUGGGUGGGGGCUGACGCCCUCACCUGUGCUCGGUGAGGGUGUGGCAGCCCCCCUUGCCAGUGGUUGGCAAGGGCCUGGGGGCCCUUGCCUCGACUAGCUUGUGGUCAGUGAUGGUCAAUCGGCGACCUCAUUGGCCAAGGGGUAAGGAGACAGGAAAAAGUUAUUAAAAAAAAAGAGAAAAAAGGAAAAAAAUAAUUUAAAAAAUCUGAAAAAAUAUGAAAAAUUAUAAAAUUUGUCCAAGUGGUGCCACAUAAGACUACCGACAGCCAAGUCAGCAAUUUUCGGCUUAAAUUUGCCGGAAGGACUAAAUUGGUAAUGAUGUGAAAAUAUUUAGGACUAAAUUGGUCUAAUUAAAAAGUUUAGGGCUGAGUUGGUACUAAUAGAAAAUGUUUAAGACUAUUUUGGUAUUUUUCCCUGCGAAAUUUUAAUGCAACCCCUUGCAAUCGAUUUGACAAGACGAUCUAGUCAUUGUUGGUUUUUCUAUGUGACACCUUGCUAGGCCGACGCUUUUCGACGAAAGUUGAUCAGAUCAUAUCGAAAUUUCAUGUGAAGAUUUAAAAUUAAAUUGACAAAAAUUUAAAAAAUUUAAAACUUAACUGGCAUUUAUAUAAUAUAUUUCGGAUCGGUCGAGUCAUUUCCCCCCUUAACAAGAAGCUUGGCAUAAUUCAGUCGUCACAUGGCGUUCAUCCUACGACCCCAAGAUUUCCACGCACUAAGCUCAAUCUUGACGGCGGCGAAAGGGGGACCAAUUAGGGAUUUAACAGCAAAUUGGGCAUUAAGAGUGGGGGGGAGGGGGUGGGAUUAAAAAAAUAGGGGAAGGGGCCAAGCAGCAUUACGAAAGAUUUUGCCGUGAAUUGACCUACGGGAGAUAAGGUCUCGCACUCUUGCGCACCAUCUUAGUGCAUGGGAUAAGCUUACGUAGGCCUCUAGAUAAUGUCGCUCCACUAAGGGUUUUGAGAAGAAGAAUAUAAAAAAAAGAAUCUCUGCAAAUUUGUCGGAUGCUCCUUUCAAUGAUCUCAUCAUUGUGAGUUACGUCCCGGCGAGUUCUUUGAAUCCUGAAAGUAGUAAGUCUUAUUUUAAUCGAAUUAGAAAGACAAGACUGAACCUUAAAAACUUAUAUCAGUGAUCUCGAUUUUUGGAACAAAAUUGGAUUCUUGAUUUUCAAACACUGGAAAAGAAAUCUUCAACUUCAAGUUUAGCCCCUCUACUAAUUUUUUUUGGUUUUUUUAAUUAAGUAUAGGUGUGGAGACUCGACUAUUUGAAAAUCCAUGAGUACCCUAUAAGCUCAUGAAACAGUUAAACUUGGACAUUUGGCCUUUGCAGUUUGCUUAAACAUAAAAUAAUUUGCAUGCAAUUCAUGAAAUUCAAGCAAGUCACCUCUAGUUCCUGAGUUGGGAAUCUCCUCGCUUCCCUCUCUUAAUUUGGGUUCUGUCCUAUAAUAUUUUCUCCAAACUUGUGCUUGGAAUAUGUUCAUAGACUAGAUUUUUUAUUAGCUUGAAGAUGGGAAACCUAAUUUCUUUUACAAUGAAAUCUCAUUUAUUUAAAUUUUGUUUUAUGACAUUAUCUCGUCAAGAUAUGGUGGCAUCUCCUUGCAGCAUAACAUUAAAGUUUCUAGAGGAGAUUUUUAGGACCCCCUGAUGAGAUUUCUUUAGCCUCCAAUGGAAUUUGGCAUUGAAGGUUAAUCACUCGAGGCUUUUCAUAACUUCAAAUUUCAGCUCAUGAGUCGCUUGCUUGCACUUCGAUUUAUUCACUUAAGCUUCUCGUUCGUUACAAACGAUCAAUCGAAUGCUCUCGAAUUUCAGUACUUUUAACAUGUAAUUCGAGAGUCAUGAUAAAAUGAAGAGAUAAAUUCUUGAUAUCAAGUAGAUCACUAAGUCGAUUUCGUACCAUUUUAUGAUUCAAGGACUCAAAAUGGAACCCUGCCUCAAAUCUCAAUGGUCCUUUCACGAUCCUCGCUCAAAGAAGUAACUCGGGAAGUGUCACCAGAUUGCAUAAGCUAAUGCGCGUUUCAUCACCGAUGAUGUCCUUCCGCGAUAGACUAGCAAGCACCCACCAGGGCGUGGACCGUGCAACAGCCUACGAUCCGUACGUCCUUUUCGACGGCCAUUGUUUAGUAUUAUCAGAUUAGCUGGUAGAAGCUUCGUUCUUGGCCCUCUCGCCCUCGCCAAGCCGCACGUUAGCAAAGCACUCGGGAUUCCUCCCCCACUAAAAUUCGUCCCCCCUCGAAAGGGGAGCCCCCUCGCAGCGUCGACAUCCCGACCGCUAGUCUUUUCUUUGGGAGCACUUAUCAGAGGAGUCGGGCAUGAGAUGAUGAUCGCGACUUAUCGAAGACCAUUCUCUAGAGCCACUAACUUUAACUUUAGCAAAAGGGGACGGGAUCACUACCACGACUAUAUUAUAAAGUAAAUGAUGAGGGAGCUUGGUGGAGCAUGAGAUAAGAUAUGGUGAUAAGAUGGGUGUGAACUAUUGGGCGAUUUUGGCUCCUCUGUGAAGACUUGCUUCCACGCGCACGUUGCCCUCUAGCAGUUUGCUAGAUUACUCUUUUGCGUUUCGUUGGAUGGAAUAAGUCAAAAGUGGAAUCAUCCACGCUUCCUCCAUUAAGGAGAAAGGAGAAAAAGAAGGAAGAAGAAGACGAGAGUAAGAGUUUUCAAUUGGGAAGCAAGCGAAACGAAGAUCUGCAUUGCCCCUAAAAAGAAAGUUAGCUGAUAAGGAUCCAUAUGUUUCGCCAAAAAUGUUACAUUUCUAGAAAUUAGCUUUCGGGAAGUCAUUUUUUCAAUAAAAAUGACAAUAUUCUUUGAUAUAUGGCUAAAAUUUGAGAAACGACUUAAAAAUGUUUGUUAUUAUUUAAAAAGGAAAAUCUGAUUUGAUUUUUUUAAAUAGACAUACAUUAUUUGGGCACUAAUGACUUGUGCACAAGUAGUCAAUGAACCAAGCACAUGAAGUGAGAUCUUAAGUUCGGGUUGGUACUAGGCCUCGAGCCUAGCCUCAAUGGAUCUGAGCUUGAGUGUCAAGACUUGAUCCUACUUGGGCCUUCAUGGACUCAAGCUUGACCACAAGGGAUUUGAGCACCGAUUGGCUUCUUGAGCUUGGGUGUCACGGACCUAGGCAAGGGCUGGGGUCUCGAGCUUAGUCUCAAUGGACCCAAGCUCAAGUGCAUAGAAUUUAAGCACGGGCAUUAUGGUUUCGAGCUUGAGUGUCAAGCACCUGGGCACGGGCACCGAGGUUUCAAGCCCAAUCUCAAUGGAUCUAGGCCAAGUGCAUGAGACUCAAGCCUUGGCCUCAAUGGAUCCAAGCUUAGGCACGGGCACAAGCAUCCGGGGCUUAGCCUCAAUGAAUAUAAGGUAACAUGCUAGGGAUCUGGGCAUGGGAUUUGGGGGCCAUGCCUUAUUUUUGUGGAUUUAGGCUCGCCUCAAUGGAUCGAGGUCUGAGCAUCGGGAACCCAACCAACGGUACUAGAGUCCUAGGCUCGACCUUUGUGGACAUGAGGCGAGUGUCAUGAGCCCCCACCUUUGUUGACUUGGGCUGGGCACUGGGGUUUCAAGCUUGACCUCUUUGGAUUGAAGCUUAGCCUUGAUGGACCUUAGUGAACCCAAACCCGACCCUGGCCUAUAAAUCCAAGCUUGCUAUGAAGGGCUAGGAACAAGUGUUGGGGAUCUCGUGCCCAAGUGCAGAGUUUUGAGUUCGAGCAUUGAUAUGUAUGUUUAAAAAAGGGAAAAAACCACCAAAAAUCUCAAAUUUUGCCCAAAGUGAUAAAUUUACCCCAAACUUUUUUUUUGUGACAUGAAAAACCCUGAAAUUUGCUAAUCGUGACACAUUUACCCAAAACUUUUUUUUGUGAUACAAAAACCCUGAACUUUCAUUUGUAUGACACAUUUACCCUAAAUCAUAGGGGCAUUUUGGCCUUUUUACUCUCUUUUUUUCUUUCUUCUUCUUCUUCUUUCUUCCCUCCACCGGCCAUGGCGGAGGGAAGCCGGUGUCGGGCGGCCCUAGCCAGCCUCGGCGAGGGCGACCCUCGCCUGACGUCAGCUUCCCUCCGUCGGCUCUGCUAUAGCCGGCAGAGGGAAGAGAGAAGAAGAAUAAAAAGGAAAAACAUAAAGAAUAAGACAAAAAUGCCUUUAAUGGAGUAAAUGUGUCACAUUUGCAAAGUUUGGAGUUUUUCAUGUCAAAAAAAAAAAAUUAAGGUAAAUUUGUCACUUUGGGCAAAGUUUAGGAUUUUUGGUAGUUUUUUCCCUUUAAAAACGGACUUCUGCCUUUUAUAAAAACAGAAAAUCAUCUUCUUGAAUUUGAGUAAUUGCCUUUCAACUAAUUUUUUUUUUCUUUUAAAACGAUCCAAACACUCAAAAAUGAGGAAAAUAUUUCCCAUAAAACCAAUGGGCCCUCAAUCUACCCUCCUCAAUCUAAUACUAGCUUAUCUUGAACCAAGUGCGGUAUGGACAACUCUAGAUGGGAACAUGAAAAUUCCCACGAACAUUGGGAAAAAGAAAAAAGAGAGAGAGAGGAGAGAUGAAGUAACAUAUCCAGUUCUUUCACAGAUUUUAUAAAAGGUAACGGCAAAGGUUCUCCGCCAACAUCGGCGAUUUUUACGAUGUCAAAAGUAAGUUAAGAGUUAGGAUAACUGAACAGUUGAGCAUGUCCAUGUGAUGAAUGAUGCUCGUACAGAAAGGACUUCCACCAUCAUUAUUCCCUAGUAGACCUACUAAAAAUCAAUGUCUGGUCCCUCCCUUUCCCCUCGAAUCAUUCCAAGCCUCAAACCGCACGAAUCACUCCAAGCCAGGAGGAUCAGAAUAUUUCUUCAAACCCUAAAAGCAUGCCUCUGCGACCGUCUCACAAGUACGCUGGUGCAACAUUUAGGGCCGCUCUUCCUUUUCUUCACCACUUUAUGAUAAAGUAAUGUAUCGAUACUUCAUACUUCAUGAUAAAGACCAUAACACACUUAUAACCAGCAUCGACACGCGGGGCACAAGUGUAAAGAUAUAAUACGCAUGGAUUCUGCAUCGCCAUCGCAUGUGAUGUACGCAUAUCUGCUCGAUCCUCAAGGCCACGCGAUCACCGACUCAACACUAAGUAGUGAGGUCCUACUGCUUGCGAAUGUUCUGCCACGUAGUUUCCUACGCACAGGUGUGCACACAAAAUGCAUAACACGUACAAAGAUGUAUACAUCUACGAAUGGUAUUUGGUUCACGACCCCAUGCGGCAAUUUUUUAUAAGUUCACCCAUCACUUGCAUCUGAUCUAUCCCGCAAAUAUACCUGUUUGUACAAUUUGAUUUCACAUAAUCAAAAGAGCCACACAGACGGAAGGAGAGAGAGAGAGAGAGAGAGAGAGAGAGAGAGAGAGGCUUACAUAUAUUAAGCAGAGAUAAAAAUAAGUGGAGUGGCCAAUAAACCAGUGGAAUCCACGUCACGCGGGUUCCUCUUUUGGCAAUUCCUUCAAAGCCUUCCACUCCACUUUCGAGAGCCCUGAAGCGAGGAGCCACCAUCCCCCUUUCUUUGCCUUUCCCAUAACCUUUUCUUUUCCAUCGCUCAUCGUCCAAUGCUGGAUACAGUCCUAGCAUUACCACCACACAAAUUGUCGUUAGUAUAAGAGAGGCAUAUGGUGGCAGAUUUCACUUUACAUUUUCCAUUGCCAUAUAAUAUACAAAGCUCCCCCUAUCUCCAGCUUUCAAUGCACAUCGUCAAUUAAAUAUUAAAUUAGCACAAAAGAAAAGGAGAACACGGAAUGGACACGGCGCACUGUAAUCGCAUCACCACAGUAUCGCGAGACAAUGACAGCUGUGCACAUUCCUAAAUAAAUCUAAAACCCGGUACACGUUGUCAAGUCAUUUUGAGGACAACUCCAGAAGAAUGAACCGAGACAACCGCCAAGACCAAAAUAAAUUUGUAAUAUGAGCAAAGCAAGUGCAAAGGAAGUUUAAUUUUAACUUAAAAAUCAACACAAGUAGUUCUUUCUACUCUAUCGGAGCUAUAUUUCACUACUGCACAAGUCGAAAGUACUUUAUGGAUAUUAAGAGAGCACAACAGAUGUCCGUUGGAGUAAGACUAGAUCUUAAUCACGAAAGGCAAACGUGUAAUCAAAACCAAUUUUCAGGCAUUAUAAGCAUAUCUAUCUCAUUACUGAGUUAAAAAGAGUACUUCCCUCACCGACGAGGUAUUAACUUAGAUAGCGAGGGAGUUUGAUUCUUUCCUCGUGACUUUAGCCUCAAGUUUUGUCGGGGGCACUUCAAUAAUUAAAUCUUAAUGCACCGGGCCGAUGCAGAGGAAUGCACUCAUAGUUCACCUGGGGAAGUGGACCAGUUGAGGUGCAGGAAAGCCGGCCCUAGUACCACCGGACCGUUCAAAAACAAAAAGUACUUUACUCAAAGUAGUUUAGAAACGUCGUUUUUCAAAUUCUGCUCUAAACAUCUACAACUACAAUUGAAUUUUAAACACAUGCAUGUCUUCACUCCAACAAGUCUACAGUGACUCCAAAGCUCAGAUAAAGCUUAUCAUAAGCUUUCUAAAGCUUCAGACAGUAUAAACUAGAAUAUUUAUUUAAUUCAAUGUUAAGAGUCCAUAAGCACCUCUUGCCUCAAAAAGAUGCUGGCAUUAGAUAAAGUAUGUCUCAUAUGUUUUUGUACGUAAAUCCAUUUGGUCUUGAAAUCCAAAUGUAAUGCAACGAUCAAGAUUGAGGAAGAGAAGGAGAGCUUGACAAAUGGACAUACAAAAAAGCCAACCAUCCACAAUUAGCAUACAAUUACCUUUUCUGUUGUCAAGUUAACAUAAAUGGAAGUUCAUCACUAUCGACUUUUUUAUUUUUCUGAGUGGAGGUGGAGAUUAUGGAGGCAGUUUUUGCACAAACUUUACAUACUAAAUGGGAAUUUUGAUUAGUGCCACUACCGAUAGUAGUAUAAUGCAAAUGAGUCCACCAGCGCAAAAGAAUCCACCUUUUCAGUGAAUCUUCUGGGAUAUACAACGCAAUUAGAUUACCCUCCAAUUAAAUAAACUACUUGCAGCUUUCAGGGUUUUAAAUUCUCUUCGACUGACUGAAUGCCUCAGUAGCAAAGUAGCAAUUAAACUCUAAAUAAUUUAGUCAUUCAUAUGACAUAUUUUACUAGCUUUGUGCAGCUUUAGUUAUUUCACAUUAAGCAUCUAUAGAGAGCAGCAAAAGGCAAUAAACAUUUCUUGGUCCAUGGCUCUUUCGAGUAGGAAGUUCAUUUAUCGUAUGAGGACGGAGUCCAAAAAAAUGAUGCACUCUUGUUACAUGAACAGUCACCUAAGAGACACCUAAGCAGCGAAAUCUUGCUUUGCAAAAUUUGUCGUCUUCUAUCUUGCCAUUUAUCAUUUACUUCACUUGGCUGCUAACUAGUGGCCUUCACAGAAGUCAAGGGACGACAAUCAUUUUCCCAUUUUGAUUUGAAAGCAAAGAAGACCUAGUCCCUUUCAAUUAGAAUAUUGGCUGCUAGUUCUCAGGUCAUGCUAAACACUAGUUUUAAUUCACAGUCUGUUCACCUAAAUUGUUACAUGUCCUCUGUCUAAACUUUCACUCAAGAACCACAUAUUUAGAAAAAUAACUUCAUUCCAGAACAUCACAUCUUCUUACAGGGUGCUUGUAAAAUGUCAACAUUCAUCUCAACGGCAUCUUUGGCUCAAACAACAUUGAUCAGACUCAAAAAGUAGCCAACUGUAUUGUCAGUUAGAAAAGCAAAAAUACAUCCUCUCUGAACCUGAGGAUUUCCACUAUGAAAGCUACAUCAACGUAUCACUUGCAAGCCCGGGUUAUAUAGGCAUAAAUCUGACGUCACAUGCAUAAGGUGCCUAUCAGAAAAUAAAGUGCUUGCACCAGUGUAUGAAGAUGGAAAUAUGAUAAUGUAAAGAAUAAGGGCUAUCGCAUAGAGAUUCAACACUGGAACUUGCUAAUAUAUAUAGCUAGAGGAUACCUAGAUAUCUGCAUACAAAAGAAUACCUAAAGCAGGUUUCCUUAUCAGACAUAAGUGAAAGAGACGAGAUACAAGAGAAGAUGGCGCAAGAAGAAAUCCGGAAGGGUCCAUGGACAGAACAGGAGGACUUCAAGCUGGUCUGCUUUGUGGGCUUGUUUGGAGAUCGACGAUGGGAUUUUAUAGCCAAGGUUUCAGGUUUGAAGGUGGCGGGAGACAAAUAAUAGGUAGGCUUAUCUUGAAGAUAAAGGUUCUUGGAAGGGGCUACCACUGAUAGCAUGGUUUUGAUGUAGGUUUGAACAGAACAGGGAAGAGUUGCAGGUUACGUUGGGUUAACUACCUCCACCCAGGUCUCAAGCGAGGGAAGAUGACACCUCAAGAGGAGAAACUUGUGGUUGAACUUCAUGCCAAAUGGGGAAACAGGUCCUAAGACUUUGUUAUCUAUUCUUAGCUUCAAUUUAUCAGCCAGUAUAUUAUACCGCUCUACAGUUCUUAAUGCAUUAAACAAAUUCAAAAUGUUGCUUAUCUACUUCUUCUAAAGUACAGCACUUAUGUGAUGCAGAUGGUCCAGAAUUGCUCGUAAAUUACCGGGACGCACAGAUAACGAAAUCAAGAACUACUGGAGAACUUAUAUGAGGAAAAAAGCUCAGGAGAGGAAACAUCCCAUUCCGCCAUCAUCAUCAUCAUCAUCAUCUUCUAAUUGCUAUUCAUCCACAUCAAACAAUCCUCCUGCUGAUUUGUUACCCUUCCAAGCAACUGGAGAAGUAAGCUACUAUGACACAGGUGGUCCAAAUGUAUCAACUCCGACAAGAAAGAAGAGUGAAGAAAAAGAAGACCAUGAAAAGGGGGACUCCAUGGAUGAUAUAUGGAAAGAUAUUACUGCUUCAGAGGAGACUAAUGAUAUCACACAGUCUUACAACUGCUUUAGUGAUGAGAGUUACAGUUUCACCUGUCCUCAAAUGGCUUCACCAGCAUGGGAAUUAUACUCUGACUCACUCUGGAAAAUGGAUGAAGAAGAAGGCGAGAUGCUUCUCUCCAUGAGCAAUCAUUACUCUUCCUGGUAAAUACAGGAGUCAAGAGAGGGUCCUUUGUUGGUUGAUAAGAAUUUCAUUAAUUAAUAUUUCUCCAGUUAAGCAGUAUCUUUAUAAGGAAGCACUAACCCGUAUAGCAUGGUUUAGUAUAAGAUGUGAAGAUAGGUCUCAGUCCACAGAAAUGCCUGUCAUUUCAUGCAUGCUGGAGUCCUUCAUCCCUAGAUAAUGUUUUGUUAUAAAGCAGGAAAAAUAACCUCAUUGAUCUUCAAUGAGGUAGUAAUCCCAUUGAUGGGUUUCUUGUAAUAUAGAUUUGCAAUUCCUCUUAUGUUCCUUAAGGGAAUGGUAGCCUUCCUAUGUUAGCCAAUGCUUAACAAAAAGUCGACACGCUUUAACAUGACCAAAUCCUGUCAAAUAUGCCUGAAAUAAUCACAUCUAAUUGAUUUUCCAGUGCUAGUAGCUCGGGCAUCAUUACCACUAUAACCAAAUCCAUGGUCCAGAUAAUGCUGGCAAUAGCUGCAACGUAAAACCACUAAGUAAUUCCAACUAAAGAAGCUAGAGCAAAAUGAAUAUGGCGGGAUAAAGUAGAAUAUCCUACCAUGAAUAAAGAAAUACAUGACUCGACAAGAUAUCUCAAGACCCUUUAUUUUAGCAGGCACAUCCGCUAACAGACACUUUAUUUGGUGUUUCUUAUGUAGAGUAAGUGUAAAACCAUUUAAACAAAGCAUCCCACCAAUAUUAACCAUUUUGAGUGGAUUUUGUACGUUUCACUGAGAUAUCGUUAAAGUAUAUAUUCAACUCAAUAAAACACCAUCACUUGUGAAGAUGCUCAGGAAAAAUCUCCCCUUUUACCCAGCCUGGUCUAUGACAGGCUAUGUGAAGACAACGAUUACUACUCAAUAGACAAAAUAAGGAAAGGGAAAUUUGAGAAGAACAAAGCCAAAUGUAAAGGAAAAGAUAUCUGCUACAUUCAGUAACACCACCUUGACACUAUUUAAUAUCUCUAUGAUCUAUACCAGUAGCCAUUUAGAACAAAAAAAUAAAUAAAUAAAAAGGCAUCUAAAACGGGAAAAGACUGUAGAAUAUAGAUAAUAAACCAUAUUAUGACCUUUCAUGUCUUCAAGGAGAGUAAAAGUGCAAAGUACCUAUUCAAGUAUUUCCCAUGUAAAACCAAGACAUGUUUAAAUCUGUUAGAGGUAAAAUUUAUUUUCAGGCAAAUACGCCACUUAUCAUCAAGAAAUGAAUUAUGCUGGUCUCAUAUGUUCAUAUAACGCUAACUGUGUUUAAAAUCUUGCAUCGCCAUUCAUAAGUGGUGGUGGACCAAGAACUCUCACCCUUGAUGUAUAGAAUGAAGCAUCUGGUGUUGCAACCAAUUGUUUCCUUCAGAAAGGACCCACAGUGCUUUACCAAGGUACACAACUUAACUGUCAACAUUGAUCCAAAAUACCCAUUUAUAAUAACGUGAAUUUAAGAAGAAACAUUAGGCAUCUCUCGAAAGACAAGUUAGACUCCUUCAUAUUACAUGUUCCCCCAUUUGGAUCUGGACUUCCCCUUUAAUCCUGUGUGACAGCAGUUUUAUCAUCCAUGGAAAUCUACAUAUUACCAGGGAAGCAGGAUGAUAAUACCCACUAAGAGAUUAACAUUUUAAUCCGUUACUUCAUUAGAUCAGUCGUGAAUUCACCUAAUGAUUCUUUGCAAAAACCUCAAUUUCCAAUUGGAAUUUUACUGCGAUGAUCUCUGACUUCAGUUUCAUCUUAUGGAGCACAGAAAUUAGAGGUCUACUUCAAUGAUUCACUCAUUUGAGGAAUCUUUGCACCCAAAUUAGAGAAAUAAUUCUUCUGCUAUUGAUCAAGUAUUUGCACAUGUAGAUAGGGACAGCCAGACUGGAAAUACAAGAAUGCUAUUGCUUUAUUUUGGCAGAACGUCUAGUCGAUCAAAUGCUAAUCCCAAGCCAUACUUUUAUCUUUUCCCAGCCUAAUGGAUUUCUAGCAAGAACUGAGGCAGUCUCAUGCUCAUAUAGCCGUAUCUAGUAAAAUCAAAAUUCAGUGUAACUCGAAUCUGCAUUUAUUAAGACUCCAUCCUGUCUUCUCAAUUGCCAGCACAAAAUUUAUGCAUUAAAACCUUGGUCAUUAGAUAUUCAUCAUUCAUCAGACUCUAAUUGGGAGCACAUUCUUCCUCCACCACUCAAUCGGGCAGAAUCCUCUCCACAAUAUCUGACUUCUGGACACAUUCUUUGGCCAAGAAAAGGUCAGAUAUACAUCCACGCAAACUGGCACGCAUAAAAAACUUUAUCCUCUGGAAAGUUGAUUCAUAUUCAGCACAAUCAAGCCAGCAAUGAUAAUCCAAACACGUCACCAGUCACUCUAAAAUAAGUCUACCGAUCACAGAGACCUUAUUCAGGAAGGGGCCCUCCUUCGACCCCUAUCUGGCAUACGAUCUCCGCUGUUAACAACCAACUCCUCCAUACAAUUUGUACCAAAUAGCACGGAACACUCGCUCACCCCUACCGAUCGUGUCCUAAUGCGAUCGCGCCACGAAACGAGUAACUCAAUCGAGUUCAUACGCGACACGGAAUGACAUGGACAUACGUCCGGGAAGACGGUCGCUUAGGUCAGAAAUAGACCCGCGGUUCCCCAGAAAAGGCAAAGGCCCAACGGAGGACACGGGAGAUAGAACUGAAACCGGCGACGAAUCCAUCGAUCGCGACGCGCGCCCGUUCAAAGAAACGAGCCGUCAGGCGCAAACGCGCGCAGCGAACGACCGCCGUACCGACGGCCGAGCCGUAACCGAACGAGAAAGCAAGGAGAGAUCGAAUGGAGAUUACCUCCGCGCGGUGUCCGGAUCGAGAGCCCUAGGCCAGGGCGGUCCGGAGGGAACAAGAGGCGACGCCAUUUUCGCCGGAGCUACGCUCGCCGCUUGCGACUCCGAGGAUCGGAACGGCGGAGCGGAGGGCGAGAACGGAGGAACGCUGUGACGGACGGGAGUAGGCGAUGGCCGUUGAGCUCUCGACAGUUCGGCUUUCGUCGCUCGUUUUGGCGGGCGUUCCGAUCUCGGUUCGAGGCCUUCGCGCUCGGCCCAGAUCGCCGUGGACCGGCCCAAAUCCAAUGAUGAGCGGUCAAAAUCGGACCCGACCCGACCCGACCCGAGCAGCCCUUCGCUGACGGGAAAAAGAGGAUAUUCGGACUGGUGCCGACUUUGAUCCGCCGCUCCUAAUCCUAUGGCAUGCAAAUACGACCGUUCUUAAAACAUAGAAAUCUUGCGCCGGUCGUUAUUUUGCAAUUAGUGUUGAUUGUGGAGUGACUGGCCAUAACUACAGUAGAAAGAGAUGAUCGUGAGGACGUGAUAGUCGGAUAUGAUAAUGACUUUGACUUGCUUGCAACUUUCAAUGAUGCAAAUUGCAUCUCAACGAUCCUAAAUGUUAUUUAGCUUCUCUAAGGAAUUAUGUCAACUCCAUGUCAUUUUUCUCGCCCAAUGUUGACUUGAAAAUAGUUAUUAUGUUUCAUCUUUUUCCUCUCUUUUUGGAAAUUUAAGACGAAAGAGACAAUGAUGACAUCCAUAGAAAAUGUACCCAAAAUCGAGGGCUACCAUUUAAAUGUGAAAUUGGAAUGCGUUUCCCUCUUGACAUCUCGAUAUUUUUGUCAUCAAUUUUGAUGCGCAUAUGUCCGUUGUAUGUAUACAUAUAAUCAAAUAUCCAAUAAGAGCAACCCCAAAAAUAUGUAAAUUCUUCUAUUUGGUGCAAAUUUCUUUUUACAAUUUUUCAUGUUCAAACUGAUUUUGGCUAGUCUACCAUGGCAAGGUUAUCUUACCAUCAGGUGAAGGUAAAUUUUCACAACACUAGGUUACCAAAUUAUCUAUAGUAAACCACGUUCAUUAAGUUAAGUGGAUUUCUUUCUCGUAAAUUUAUAUUUUUUAGAAUGAAAUUUAGAAUUUAUUGCGUGACAAUGUAUGAUUAUUUUAGUAUCCUCAUAUAUUUUGUGGUAUAGCACUAUCAUUAGUUAGUGUAUUUGGGGUAAACUAGUUUACUAGUGACAACCCUUAUCGCGCCAUGAUCAAUCUUCCUACUUUCAAAAGAUAAUUUCGAAUGUUAAUGAAAAAGUGCAUAAAUUGACAGUAAUUUCUUCUUUUUCAAAUAAAUAUAGCUUUGACUAUUUUCCUCUGUGAAGUAGUCACCAUUAGUCUAUUGUUUUGAAGGCCAAGGCUUGAAUCCCUCGCAAACAACUCUCAACUUGUUUGAGCUCUCUCCUUAUCCCUUUGGCGAUAAUAUGCCCUCUACCCAAAACUCUAAUUUCCUAUACCCUAAAUCUCCAUCUUCAUGGAAGAAUCGGUGCCUCCUCCACCGGAUUAGCCAUCCAUAUCCUUAUUCUUCUAUGUGAUCCAUUUGGAAUGAAAAAAUCACCGCAUCUUUUUCUGUAUCUUUCCUCGUGGCACAACUAGAUGCAAUGAAGUCCCCUCAGAACUAAUUGAAGCUGGAUCUAAUCAUCAAAGGGAGAUUCCUGCACUAUUGAUCCCAAUACAACCAUUAUAUAGAUAGCUACCCCCUAUCCAAAUCACAUUACCUAGCAAAACCUAGUUACAGACAUAUACCCAUUCUCAAACCCAUCAACCACUGAACCCAAAUUUUUGUUGAAUGUGGGUGCUCACCCAUCCCAAAGCGCCCUUCACCAUUACCCAAAACCUUAUCACUUUCAGCCAACCUAACAUAGCUCGCAAGAGAUGGAAGGAGUGGAUGAUAACCAACUUAGAUUGAUUGCCCUAUGUCGGUGCAUGGGAGAUCUGUGGUCCGAAGAGGAUAUAAGCAAACUAGGAGCUGAAAUUCCAGAGAAAGAAAAACAAAAGAAUGAGCUAACUCUCUAUGGGAAGCUGUAUUCAAAGCCAAAUGUCAAUUUCCAGGCAUUUCUUAGCACAAUGAGGAAGCAUGGAAGACAGAUUCAAUCAACUAUAAGUUGAUAGAAUAUGGUUUCUUUUCCUUUUUAUUUAGUUCGAUUGAAGAGAAAAUAAGAGUAUUAGAUUCUGGACCCUAGUCUUUUGUGAGUAACCUACUAGUCCUACAAGAAGGAGAUCUAAACAUACUUGAACAUUGCUAUGAGUUCAUGCAUUAUGUGUUUUGGGUGCACAUUUUGGACCUCCCUCGUGCUAGAGUAACUAAAGAUUCAGUGCAUCUUAUUGCCUCUAAAGUCGGGAAGUUGAUGAGGUAAAACUUGAGGCAAGGAACAAUAAUUUGCUCAAAAGCGAAAAGGAAAAGGUGUGGCUGAACAUGUCUUGUCCCCUUAAAACAGGAAUGAUUAUCAACGUGGGUGAAAAAAAUGGAAAGACUUUAAAUAUGAAAGGCUUCCACGCUUUUGUUAUUUAUGUGGUUGUAUAAGACAUUAUACAAACUUCUAUUUAGAAAUACCUUGUGAAGAAACAAGACUAGCCUAGGAUAAACCAGGUCGAUAUGGCUUGUGGUCAAAGACAUAAGUUAGAGAAUUUAGUUCAUAUGGAGGGCCUUUCAUGGGAAAUUGAACUUUUUGCUGCAAAUGAAGAGAUUGUGCUGGAAGCUCCCACAAUUGUUAUCAAAGAGCCCUUGAGAACAGAAGAAGCUGAACAUAAUGAAAUGGCAAUUGUUAUUGCAAAUUCCAUUGAAAAUGAGUUUAUGGAAGACUCGAGAAAGGCAUAAUAUGCACCUAUGAGCAGUGGUAAAAAAACACAACAAAAUCCAGUAUUACUACCUUAUUCAGAAAGCAAUUAUAUGUAUACAGGGAAAUCCAAGAAAGAAAAGGUAGUGUACAAAAGUUCAAUGGCAAAGAAACAAAAACUUGUCAGUCUCUAUGAGAAAAAGACCUCAUUGAUCUUCUUAGUGGAUGAGGAAUAACUUUUUAAUGCCCCAAUUCAAUCAUGGGAAGGGGUCCAAACACAAGCUUUGGGGCUAGCCCUAAUAAGCCACCAAAAGAAAAAAAAAAUUGAACUGGAACUGUUAGGGGUUGGGCACAUUCAUGACAGUCUAGCACCUUAAAGCCUUAGUGGCUCAUGAAAGGCUCAAUUUGGUUUUUCUUUUGGAAACCAAGAAUAAAACUAAUGUAGUUGAGAGAGUAAGGAGACGUCCUUAGCUUGAUUAUUUUUUUUUUUUUUAUCAUUGAGAAUGAAACAUGUAUUUCUCUUGAAAAUGAUGAUAUUGAAUCCUUAUUCUCUGCUGAUGAAGAGUCAUCUGAACAAACUCUUUGUGUCAUCCCCUCUUACCAAACUUCCGGUGAGACUGAGUCAGACUCAGAGUCUGAAGAUAUUUUCCAUAUAUCAUCCUCAUCUCCAGAACCAAACCUUGAUAUAUUUUCAAGUCAAACUCACCGUCCCCAUUUCCCUGUAAAAAUCCUCACUUCAAAGUUUGCAAAACUCAUCACUGUUAUUGCCCUCAUUGACACAGGAGCAAGUUGUUCAAUAUUGGACACCAAAGUUCUUCCGCGGGAGGCGUAGCACUUAUGUGGAAUGGGGAGGUUAAGUGGAAGUGGAGUUUUGUUCCAGGAAGCUUAUUGAUAUUUAAUGCAAGGACCUAAAGAGUGGCAACUUAAUGCAUGUAUCUUUCCUACAUGAAUCAACCAAUUUUCCCGAUAGAUUAAGGCUAUGGCAGGCUGUGUUUGGUUCAGCAUUUCCAAUGGACUUUCAGGCCUGAAAGCCCAUUGGGGAAAUGCUAGACCGUUUGGUUUAACUUUGAAGCUGGCUUUCAGCUUUCAGCAUUCCGCCGAAUGCUGAAAUUAUUUUUUCCCUUUCAAAACUAUCCUCACUAAUUUUUCAUAUUUCUGACUUUGCCCCUGAUUAUUAUUAUUUUUAAUUGAAAAAGUAGGCAAUCCUUUGCCGAACUGGCAGAGGGCUACGGUAAUUGGCGAGCCAGAUUUGGUGCCGGCGGCUGUCGACUGAGGUUGCUCGAGGUCGAGCGACCUCCGGCGAGGGUUGCGUGCUCAAGCCGAGGGCCGCCAGAGGUCGCUUGACCUCAAGCGAUCCUUGGGCGAGGGUUGUUCGACCCAGGGGCCAUGCGACCCAGGGGCCGUGCGACCCAGCAAUCGCCGCCUGGGUCUCGCGGCCGCAGGCAGCCUUCACCUAGUCUUCACGAGGGUUGCGUGAUGGCGGCUGAAGUGUGCGGCCCUUGGUCGAGCAACCCUCGUCAAAGGUUGCCCGAGGUGGGCGACCUCCAGCGGGCCCUCGGCUGGGUUGCGUGACCCUCGCCCGAGGUCACCCGACCCAGGGGAUGGUCGCUUGGAUCAUGUGGCCUUUGGGUCGGGUGACCCUCAGUGACCCUCGGCUGGGUCGCGCGACCCUCGUCGGAGGUUGCCUGACCUCGGGUGACCUCAGCUGGCGGCCAUAGCCCUUCGCCGGUCCGGCGAAGGGUUUAGUUCAAUUUUCAAAAAAAGAAGAAGAAGAUAUAUAUACAUACAUAUAUUAUACCCAUCACCCAUUGCGAAUUUUUUUUUUUACCAAAUGCACAUUCAACUCAAAGUCCAUUUACAAAUUUUUUUUACCAAAUACAAUUGCAUUUCCUCAAGUAGCUUUGGGCUUUCAGCAUUUGCAUUAGACUCAAAGUCCUUUGCAAAUGCUGAACCAAACGCAGCUGCAGUCCUUGAAACUUAGCAAUUUAGCCGAUUCAUUUCCUUGGUUAUGCAUAGGAGACUUUAAUGAAUUGUUAUAUCAUUGGAAAAAGAUCGGGUGUCGAGAGGUGAAUCGUUAUAAUAUUGUAGCUUUCCAAGAGUUUCUGAAUACUUGCUUGGUGAUGGACAUUGAAACAAAGGUUGUGCUUAUACAUGGUCAAACAAUAGGGAAUGAAAUAUAUUAGUUAAUAAGAGAUUGGAUAGGGCAAUUUACAAUCUAGAAUGGCAAAUUCUUUUUCCAAAUGCGGAGGCCUUUGCACUAUCGGCAAUAGGAAUGGAUCAUAACCCGAUUCUACUUUCUCUAGAUCCAAAUGAAGCAAGAAGACAUUCCGGUUUGAAGCAUAUUAGCUGGAGGAUCCUGAGUAUGAAAAGGUGGUCAAGCGAGCUUGGAAUGAGAAUAGAGCCAACUAGACCAACUUUGCAAACAAGGAAAGUAGUUGCUGAAUUAAGUAAAUGGAGCAGGGAAAAAUUUUAGAAUGCCCAAAAAUAGAUCAUUCCGCUCAAAUUAAGGCUCAUGGAGUUGACUAAUGGUGCUGAAGAGGAGGAAAAUAAGGAGAAAUUUAGCAACAUUGUAACAAUAAUAGAAGAAUUAUGGAAUAAAUGUAUUGGUGUAUGCGGUGUAGAAUUAACUGAAUGAAAUGAGGAGACAGAAAUAUUGAGUACUUUCAUGCCGCAACAGUUUAAAUAAGACAAUGGAACAAAAUAUUUAUGCUAUAAAUCAACGACCAAACUUGGAGUCAGGACCCUUCAACCAUCAAGCAACAUAUCCAAAGCUUGUACCAAUCUCUAUUUACCUCAGUGGGGAGUAGAAACUAUCAAAUUGUAUUAGGCCAGUAUUAACUAGUGGUCAAUGAAGAGAUGAAUGAAACUUUGAUUAAACAAGUCUCUAAAGAGGAAGAUAAAAUUGCUAUUUUUUAGUAAGGGCUACAAAAGCGCCAGGUCCAAAUGGAUUUAAUGGACUAUUCUACCAAAGUCAUUAGCCCAUAAUAUAUGAAGACAUCUUUAGCAUGGUUGAGUCUUUGUUUAGCCAAGGUACGUUCAAUCCAGAGACUAACAAAAUUUAUAUUACUCUCAGUCCUAAAGUAACAAAUUAUGAGGAUAUCACCCAAUUCAGACCUACUAGUUUAUGCAAUUUUAAUUACAAGAUUAUUACGAAGGUGAUAGCAAAUAGGCUGAAACCAUGGCUUCUGAAGAUUAUCUCUAUGGAGCAAAGUGCUUUCAUAAGUGACCACCAGAUACAGGAUAAUAUCUUUUUAGUUUAGGAGGUGCUUCAUCAAUUAAGAGUAUGAAGCAUAAAGCGUAAAUUCCAGGUCAUUUUGAAAUUAGAUAUGUGAAAAACUUAUGACAAGGUCGGAUGGGACUUCAUUUGUGAUUAUAUGUUGAGAUUGAACUUUAAUGGGAAAUGAGUCAAAUGGAUCAAAUAAUGCAUCUCAUCGGUUUCCUUCAGUAUCCAAGUAAAUGGAGAACCUUCGGCUGUGUUUCAGCCAACUAAAAGAAUCAGGCAAGGUGAUUCUCUUUCCCCUAUCUAUUUAUCAUCAUGGCUAAUGUCCUCUCUUCCCUCAUGACCAAAGUAGUAGAUUAGAGAAGUAUUAAGGGUAUUUGGCUAAAUCCUAUCUAUCCAACACUCUCACAUCUUCUAUUUACUGAUGAUGCAAUCUUUUUCCUAGACGGUACAAUAAGAGAGGCUUAGAACCUAGCUAAUAUAUUGAAUCGGUACUAUUAUGUGUCAGGACAAGUUACAAAUCUUAACGUGUUAAGCCUCUUCAUAGGGAGAGACUGCCCUUAGGGUCUCAAACUGAAUUCAACUGCUGAAUUAAGAGUUUCAAUUAUAGAGAAAAUAGGGAAUUAUCUUGGAAUACCCUUUGACUGAGGUCAAAGAAAAAAACAAAUAUUUGCUUGGAUUCUUGCUAAAGUUGAAAGGAAACUCGAAGGAUGGAAGGAGAAGUUGAUUUCAAAGGCAGAAAAUGAAGUCCUAAUUAGGACAGUUAUUCAAGUUUUACCUCAAUAUGUUAUGUCUAUUUUCAAAAUUCUGAUAUCCAUUUGCCGUACCAUUGAGAAGAGAAUAGCUUUGUUUCGAUGAAAACAAAAUUAGUAAGGAGGGGCAUUCAUUAGAAGAAUGGGAAGAUCUGAAAACUAUAAAAUAUUUGGGGGGGGGGGGGGCUAGGUUUGAAAAGCUUAGUGGAUCUUAAGAUCUUAAUAAAACAAUUCUAAGCAAGUGAGCCUGGAGACUUGUCCAAAUACCAGAUGCAUUAUGCAGUAGAGUCCUAAAAGUAUUUACUUCCCUAGAGGUAUUUUUGGAAUGCAAACAAAAGCUCUCGACCUUCGUGAGGGUGGCAAAGUUUGUUGAUGGGAAGAGAUGUAAUUGAACCUGAAACUAGAUAGGAAGUUGGAGAUGGAAAAAGGAUGAGAAUCAGAGAAGAUGAGCAGCCACCCUCAGGUGAGAUAAUUGGCCCAACAAAUCAAGACGAUUCAUACUUUGUUGCCAAAUUAAUUGAUCAAGAAUCUAAGGAAUGUGAUAGUUGACAACUAAAUGACUUGUUUGGGGAAAGUGUAGUGAAAGAGAUAUUAGCUACUCCUCUCAGCCUAAAUCUCGAUCUAGAUAUGCUUUUGUGGAUAGUAAACAGUUUGGAUUCCUCUAAAGUGAAGAGCGGCUAUAACAUAAUCCAUAAGAUGGGAGACUUCCCAAUAGCAAAUAAUCCAUCAAUAUUCUACUAGACUCCUAAGUCACUAUGGAAUGAGAUAUGGAAGCUCACGUUCCCAAAAUCCAAUUCCUACUAUGGAGUAUAUGCAGCAACGCACUUCCUACUAAGGAAAAUGUUCAUAAGAGGAGAAUAUUACUUGAUCCAACAUGCUGACUAUACGGGGAAGUAGCACAAACAAUAGAUCAUAUGUUACCUGGCCGAAUCAAUUGCUUGGUUGUGUAGAAACAAUGAAGGGCUCAUCAUCGACGGCUUUACCAAGCAGAUCCACGCUCCUUCAGUUUUGGUGGUCGAAACCUUAGCUGUGCGAGAAGCAUUGUUGUGGUUGAAGAAUAAAAGAGAGUCAUGAACUGAUUUGGAACAAAAACUAAAGUGUGGAACUAAUCUACAAGUGCAAUUAUUAUCGGACAACUUAUUAGUGACCGAGUGCUUAUUAAGCCAAGCGGAUCUUCCAUGGGCGGCCUAGUCCAUUGUCAAAGAUUGUAAAGAAGUUUUGGCCCAACUUAGUGGAGUUUUUGUGAGCUAUGAGCUGAGAGAAUCAAACCAGACCACGGAUUGGGUCGUCAAGUCCCACCAAGCCAACUCCCUCCCAUUGAAUUGGAUUUCUAGUCCUCCUCGUUCUCUAUGUUUAAUUUUUUAUCUGGACUUUGAAACUAUUGGUGUCCCUUUUGUGGGUUAAUAAUGAAAAUCACUAUCUUUUGAUUAAAAAAAAAAUAGAAGUGGAUUUAGACUUGUGAGGAACAAGUUAUUUUUACCACAAACAACUUAUAUUUACAAAGAAUAGCUUGCGUUAAUGAAAACUUGAGUCCAUCAAGGUCAACUUGUAUUUACUAAGAGCAACUUAAAUUUAUUGAGAAGAAGUUACAAUUAAGAAAUAUAGAGGUGAACAUUACCCCUCGGUUUAUGCAAUUUGUCCUUUGUAAAUCCCAAGCAUUCUUCGUAAAUAUAAGUUGACCAAAAAAAUUAUAUUUAAAUUUGGUGAAAAGUUUUAUGAGUUAAAUUUAUAAUUGAAUUGACAUCCGAUAUCUGUAUAACAAAGAGGAACUUGUCCAAUUAGUCCUAAAUCUAUUAUAUAGGUGACAAUUGAGUCUUAAAAUUUUCAAUAUUUUUAAUUUAAUCCUAACCCUUUACAUAAAUUUCCAUCUAAUCAUUUUUGGUCAAAUUUCGUUGAAAAUUGCCAAUGUGACAAUAUGCCACGUAAAACGGUAGGUAAUAAUUGGAAUGGUCAGCAAUUUUCGACGAAAUUGACCAAAAAAAUUUAUAUUUAACUUUUGCAAAAAGAUAAAAAAAUUAUGAUUAAAUUGGUAUUCGACAUUUGUCCAAUAAGUUUAGAAUUGACUAUCGAUUUUACUUCUUAUUCAUAUCUAAUUAUUUAUGAGCUAGACAAUACUCUCUUUGUUGUUACAUACUCACCUACUUCUUUUCAUUUUCAGGGGUUCAAAUUGUUAUAUUCGACGCAGAGGUUUUAGACAGGCUUUGCUCUUAUUCUCGAAAUCGAAACAUGCGAUCAAGAUCCCAAAAUUUUUCAACGAGAAAGCAAAAUAAAUCGAUUCACUUGCAACGGGAAUUGACAAAAACAGCCAGAGGUACAGAAACAAGACUCACGACAAACCCACCCCAAUUUUUUUUUUUUUUGGUCGUGAAACCCACCCCAAUUCAGAAACCCAAAAAAACACAACUUCCACGUCAACGGCUCGCGACCUUAGAAUUCAGUGGUGGGGAGCUGCUCGUGGGUCUGGUUGAUGAAGAACAGCUCGUAGAUGACGGCGGCGAUCCCGGCGCCGAGGAACGGGCCGAGCCAGUACACCCAGUGGCUGCUCCACGACCAGCUGACGACGGCGGGGCCGAAGGAGACGGCCGGGUUCAUGGACGCGCCGUCGAAGGCCCCGCCGGCCAAGAUGUUGGCGCCGACGAUGAGGCCGAUGGCGAGGGGGGCGAUGAUCCCGAUGUUGCCCUUCUUCGGGUCGAUGGCGGUGGCGUAGACGGUGUAGACCAGGCCGAAGGUCAUCACGAUCUCGAACACCAGCGCGUUCCACACGGUCACGCCGGAGGACAGGGAGAAUGCGGAGGUUUCCUGUAAUAAUUUACAUGAAUGCAAAAUUGUUAAUUUGCUUUUCUUGUUUAUUUUUUUAAAGCAACAAUAUUGAUAAGUCGACAGUUGACUUUUCCCGCAAUGGACCAGACCGCAUCUUUCCAUUUUUCCUCAAACUUUACUAUUUCCUUUGGCGAUUUGACCUUAUGAUAUUUCAUUUUCUCCCUUUCUUGAUAUUUUGAUUUGAAUUAGGACCAUUCAUUGGCGAAAUCAUCUUACCAGUCCACCGGUGGCGAACUUGAGGAGCAAGCAAGCAACCACCGAUCCGGCACAUUGGGCGAUCCAGUACAUGACACUCCUGGCCAAGGUGAUGUGGCCGCCCACGAAGGCGCCGAAGGUGACGGCCGGGUUCACGUGGCCACCGGAGAUGUUCGCACCGACUGAAACGGCCACGAACAGCGCAAAGGCGUGAGCCAGCGAUGCUUGCACGAGGCCGGCGGGGGUCGUCGACCCAUCAUCAGUGACCUUGUCUGUACAAAAAUGAGUCACACGUUAGGUUCUAGGUUCUUAAGGAUAUACUAGUGGAACACAUGGUUGCUCUUUUGGCAUGCUCAUGUAUUAUUGAACGACUCCUCGUAAAAAAAAUAGUCGACAUUUUAUGGUCUCUCUAAUAAAUCACGAUUAAAUUGAUGGAACAAUGAGUCUAAAACUAACACACAAUUCAGAAUUCGUUUCAUUGAAAUUUAUUGAGAGAGAAAUCUUGGAUUUAAAGCUAAUGAAAUGACAAAGAUGCUAGCAUGAGCAAGGCUAUCGUGACAACAAUGUUUAAAGGGACGGAGGAGACUUACUGAAGGCCAUGCCCGCGCCUUCGCCGGCGAAGACGAAAAUGAGCAUCGAAAUGAACUCAGCCAGAGCCGCUUUGAGGGUAUCGGCCUGGCCGACCUCGGCCGGAGACCCGACGGCGAUCCUGGAAAUCGGCAUUCUCGGAAGAUUCGGUUUUCGCUUAGCGCUUCGCUAGAGUGCUUAGAAAAACCAAAUCUGCUCGUUCACUUGCUCUCUCACUCACUGCUUGCCUCAAAAGCGAGCGAAGCCUUUCCCAUAUAUAGCGCGCCCAAACGCCCCCCCAUCGCAACCGGAAUAGCCGGUCUCCAUCCGGUCACAACGAAUGUUCAAACGUGGGGACCGGGAUGGGCCCCUCCUCUCUUCACAGCGACGGGCCUCCAGUUCGUUCCCGUCGCGACACGUGUAGGGCGAUGAUGUGACGCUGACCGACUAGUAGGCGAGCAUCACCGCCCAGUGACAAUGGGCUUUGCGGUGGGGGGUGGGGCCCCGCGCCAAUGAUGGCGUUGUUUUCAUUUACCUCAGACCGACCACGGGAUUUGUUUAUGGCGGGCUGACGUGGACCACGGCGCGGGGUGGUUAGCUGGCGUUGGUCUCUCGUUAUCCCUCGGCCGCUCUAAUCUAAUAUAAUCAAAUCGAUUGAUGCGAAAAAUCAAAAUCAGCUGCAAUUUCGGCCAUUGUUUAAGUCCUGCAACGGGACAUCGUGCGCGGUCGUGGACCGCGCGAAGGACACGGGCGCGGGGUUCGAGAUCUUGAACCCGUGAUUUGGUAUGUGGAGCUGCAUGAACUCUCUCGCCCGUCGUUUCGGAGUCCGAUGGGGUACGACUGAAUGCUGUUCACGUCCGCAGAAUGAAAAUCUCUUAAGAUAUACGGAUGGGGAUUUGCUUGCAAUAUUCAUUGUGGAAUGAAUUCAUGUGACAGACGAGUCGAUUUUGUGAAGUCCGGAUGGAGGGUGCUGUUGAAAUAAGGUCGGCACAAGCUUUUCACAUUUAUGCAUGUGGGGAUUCAUACCCACUUGAAGAAACUCUCGAAUUGCCCCUUUCGAAAUUAAAGAUGAGAGUGCCUUGGUGUGACUUUUUCUUUGGAAAACUUAACCCGUCUCUCGAGGAGAGCCUUAUUGCAAAACGAGAAGGUUAAUAUGCCACUUGAUUAAAAUGGGUUUCAUGUGCAAUUAGUAAGGGGGAUCGAAAGGGAAUUAGACCCAAGUACAUAGCACCACUUUUGUAGGGUGAGAUGUAGGCUUUUGACGUGGCAGUAGCCUACUCUGUCUUUUCUAGCCAGCAGCACUGUUGGGCAUGUGCGUUCCUGGCUCCAUUCGGAUCCAAUGCACAUGCUCUUUUUCUUCUUUAAGUAAUAAAUUGCGCUCUCGGUAACCGCAUGUUCUAGGGAGCUUCUGCACCUUUCUAGAGCAACAUGCAAGAUCAUCACUUCUUCGGGAUAAUCUAAUUAAGGCAAGAUCUGCUAAUUCCUCUGCGUGCAACGCAGUUAACAGAUCAUAUGCAAUGUUGGAUAUUUUCUUCUUCUUCUUUUCCUCAUCGUAUAAUGCUGGGUAUAGACAUUACAAUCACUUUUAACCCUAAGUAUGUUACACCGGGAACCGAGUAGAAUAAGAACUAAAAGUUCGUUAAGAAGCACUUGUCGCAUGAUCAAAAUCCCUUUGAUGCUAAUCAACGUUCGAUUAAGUACGAGAUCAAGUUCAAAAAAAUUGCACCUCCUUAAACGUCACUCUCUUCACUGUCACAUUCCCAGGACAUACAUCAUCGUAUGAUGCAAAUGACUGUAAUACCAAAGGACCAAAUUCAAAUAUAAUCAUCCAAUCAUUCACGAGGGGGGUCAAGUCAACAAAACCCCACCUUCUCCUCGUCACGUCCAUAUAAUGCGAAAUUCGCAAGCAAUAAAAUAAAUGAUGAUGCCAAAAUUAUGCUAGGACCCUACUAGAGUGACUAGCUAAUGACAUAAGGAAAAACAACCAGGGUUUGAUAAUAGGUAAAUGAUUCAAAUGGUCUCUUCAUCUUGAUUAGAUGUGCAAUGCAAUUGCAGUUUCUAAACUUUAAAUUUGUUCAAAAUGUGAUAUGUAUUGUUAUUCAUAAAUUUUUAAUUAUUCAAUGUGGUUUCUAACUUUAGAUAUAUGUUCAAUUUAGUCCAUGAACUAUAUGCUCAUAAACUUGAAAUAAUGAAAAGAAAACAUUGAAUAUUUCAUAUAAUCUAUAGACUAAAUUAAACAUGAAUCAAAAGUAUACGGACUACAUUGAAUAAAUUAAAACUUUAGGGUGAUAUUGCACAUCGGGUUAAAGUUCAAAAACCAUAUUGCACGUCGAGUCAAACUUCAGAGAUAAUUUGUGUCAUUAUCCAUUGGAUAGUUAACGAGACUUGGCCACAUGACAUUUUAGUUUUAGUGGCCUCUAACUUAGUUUAAUUAAUCAAAAUUACGUGGUGCCAGAAAAGCAAAGUGAGCUGUGCUAAUACGGAUUAAAAACUGAGGGAGUAGUUGAUUAAGGACAGUCCCGGUCACGGUGGACUUUUGGGUGCAUCUGGAAAUUGAAUAAUUUGGCUUACGUGGCCAUCUCACCGACCAGAAAAAACAUACCAAUUUUUUUCCCACAAUCGAACAUAUAACAUAAUGUCCAGACCCAAAAAUAAAAAAUAAAAAAUUGACAAAACGGGAUCUGAUCUCAAGUUGCGCUUUUAAUUAACACUAGCCAUCAUUUGUAUUCGUCUUGUCUAGGGAAUAUUGAACGAGCGGGUGCCAUCUUCUUUAAUUAAAUUAACAUUUCCCGGCACAUCUCUUCCCUAAAUCUUAAUGUUUUGGCAAAUUUUUUAGCUUAUCUCGCGUUGCAUUUGUUUAUUAUGGACGGCUCAGUGGUUUUCUGGCAAAAUAGAUGGAAUUUGAACAAGAAAAGAAAAGAUUAUGGGAUGCCUAUCCGCUUCCUGUUUAAUUAGUAGUUAAUGACGUUCUUUGAGGUCUUACAAUAAUAGCUUUUUUCGCGUAUUGCAUGUUAAACGGAUCUAAUAAUGAUGCCAAGAUAAUAUACCCUCUUGUAGCUCUACAUCGUAAGAGCUGUGCGAUCUAGUAACCAGCAAGGAAAACAAAUUUUUUUAUUUAAUGGAAAAUGCUUAGUAUGGACCCAGUUUGUUAGUCGACCGGCCGUCAUAGUCGUUGACUGUGCAUGUAGGCCCCCAUGGGGUCCCAAGCAAGACCCAUAUGGUGGAUGAUUGUAAUGAAUCCGAUCCAUAUAGAUUAGAGUCUAGAUUAGACGGAUGUUAUUUCAUUUGUAUUUUCAUUCACAUCCUAAUUACCUUCGGUGACAUAAAUCGUUUUCACCUGUAAGAGUAAUAUAUGAUCACACAUGCGAUUGGACCAAUUUAAUAUGAGGACCCGAAGUAAACAUAAUCAUGGAAAACGACAAGCAAAAUGAAAAUGAUGAAUAAUAAAUUUAUGUUAUGAUAUUAUCUUAGAUAAUUGUCAUUUUCUAGGGUUUAGAUACAUAGUCAAAAUAUAUUAAAUAUUUGAUUAGAUCUUGACGUAAGAUCAAACAAGGGAAGAUACCAAAAACAUUAUUCACAUCUCCCCCAACAAACCACUUUAGCACAUUUAUUUUUAUAAAUACCAUUGGCACACCUCUAUACAAAACUCACAUUGAAAAUAUCAAAUUCCUUCUCUUCACAAACUCCUCGUUAUCUUGAUUAAGAUCUGGGUGGUUUGUCUUUGAAUGUUUUGAGUAAGUGUAAGAAUUUAAGGUUUGGGGAUGUGAAUUUUUUUGUUGAAAGAAAAAGGUGCUUUUGUAAAUAGUAGACAUAACUAAUUGAGGCAAAGAUGUAAAGUGGCUUCUAAAAGAUAAAACUCAAGUAUAUAUCCGGUAUUUUUGGAAGUGGAGGAAUGUAAAUGACCACUGCAAAAUGAUAUUGGAUUGCUAUUUACAUACAUCUUUUACUCAAGCCUAAAGACUAGAGGCAUCAUUAUUUGUAGGUACAUAUUUGGCACAAAACUACACUAGCAUGCGCUAAAUAUUGAUGGCGUUACCGAAAGUGGCCAAGCAUUCGCCAUGAGUCCGUCAAAAGUAUGAGGUUAAAAAAAAUAUUUAUCGACAGUCGACUUCAUCUCUCUUGUUUGCGAGUCAAUAAAUUGCUAUGUCAAGCUAUCAAUGCUUUUCGGGGGGCUCAAAAAGAGACUAUAUAUUCCUCGAUUUUGCCCCCUCCACCACGAAACCAUCAUGUCAUUUUCAUCUCCUUUUCCCAUUAACUUUUUGACAUAUGGUCGAACAGGUGAUGGGCAUCUCAUGUCUAAAAAACAAGGCAUUGGGGGUUUGCUGACAUCAACGACACUAAUUUAAAGUUUUUCGACCGACAAGCUAAAUUCAUGGAAGCAUGUUAUUUUAACUUUAAAUCAGCAUAAGUCAAAAGAGUAAUGAUAGGAUGCGUAACUUACGAAUAAUUUUGAUAAGCAGCGCGGUAAACUAUAAACGAUGGGCCAUAUUCAAAUAUUUAAUGAGUGUCUCUCAUGUCAUUAUUUUAUAUACUGUCUAUCCUACUUAACACAAUGCCGCAACUCAACGCGUUACGAAGUAGAUGUAUCACCAAAUCUUAUUUUUCCUCAUGAAAGAAGCGUAUCAUGAUAUUCCGAGGAGAGAACAAUCAUGUUCAUUUGACAAUCUCGAGUCAAGGGUAAGGCGAUCCAUUGAUAAUCUGUUAUCGUAUGCACUGGUCGGGCAGAUAAAUUUUGAUGGGUGAGUUUUGAUUACACUUGGCCUUAGAUCAUCACGAAAUAUUUCAAAGAGUUUGCAAAUACUCAGCUUCUCAAUAGUGGCUCUCCCUUCCUCUCUCUUCUUCUCUUAACCUUUCUUGGUCGCUUCGACUUCUAGGGGGAAGGCUUUGAGUCAUUUGACUUAGCUCUCUCCCUCCCCUCUUAGUUGCUUUUCCUUUUAUUUUCUUCUUACUCUUUCGAUCUAGUUUUAGAUUUGUAAGCUUUGCAUUUUCUUUUUGAAAUAAUUUUUGAUUUUGAAGUUUUAAUGAAUAAGUACUUCGCCAGUUUCAAUGAUGUUCACGGUAGUUUCGAUGUCAAAUCUAUACUCAUUCAACGUGUUUUAGUCAUAAGUUUUGGUGCUUCGCAUUGGCUACAUGGCUUGCUCUUACAAAUGUUAGAUCUGAAAAUUUUCAAAAUAUUCAUGUGUCUCUGUACAAUUGAUGAUGUUGGGGACAUUGAAUCUAGGUGCACAUUGUCAAAAAGCAAAGACAUAACUACAAAUGGAGAUCCCGAUGCGUGCGUAUCACUAAUGAUGCUGUGUGAGGCCAUUGAUUCUUUCGCUUAGAUGUAGUCCCAUAUUUUUCAUUGAAGGAUGGGCCUCUAAUUCUUUCGGCCAACCAUACUCUGAUGGUUACGCCUUGAUAUCUGGUUUUUAGUUUGUUUUGGAAGUCUAUGGUCUCAUCUUGUUGCUGUGAGUUUUGAAAUUUUCUAUGACGUAUCAUUUUGAUAAUGAAUGGAGAUUUCUUUUGACAAGAAAGAAAUAGUGAAUAUUUGUAAAUGUCGGUGAUGAAAUGGGAAGCAGGUCCGGAAACUGCGCGAGUGCCUUACAUCGUAUAAGGACUAAAGGAGUCGGCUCCCUCGGAUAAAGGGAAUCCCAACCUGAGGUCAAGGCAUGCCUAAACUCUGUCACUUUAUCGUUGUUGUGCUUGUUUACAUUAAGCACCUUUAUUAUGAUCUCAUCAUUAUCACGCAUGUGUCUAACUUGAGCGCUAGAUGUUGCCCUCUAGGGGCUCAUCAUGCUCCUCUUGUGCUUUUAGGUGAUCGAUUUGUGGUACUUAGAAUCAGAAAUCAUACUAGAUCGGCCUUACAAAUUGGUCUGGUUCCCGAUUCUAAAGAAUUUGGAACUGGUGUCAUGCAAUCUAAUUCUUACUUCUCGGGUGGAAUCAAACUGAACUAGACAGAGAAAUAUAGAAUUGAAGAAUCAGACCGAACCAAGGUAACCCUAGAAUCAAUAGUAUCUAUGAUCUUUUCAUCGACUUCCAUACUAGUAUUAUCAAACUUUCACUAUCCGGAACACCAUUUCACUAAUGUUCUUUCUUUACUAGGAUUCGUUUUAAACUUGCUCUGGCGUCGAUGGAAGGUAUGUAUCCAUUAGAACCCACCCGCAGCAUAAAUGUAUAUCAUUUUCGGGUGACAUAUCUGCCAACCGAAUGCUUCUAUUAUAUCAAUCAUCCGGUAAGAUUCAAACUCAAUCCAAUCUAAUGAAACAUAAAUUUACAGGAACCACACCCGAAUGUCAAGCUCCAGCCCAGUAAAAUCCAUUAGGCUCGCUUAUCCUCUCAGGAAGUGUGUGGGCCAAAUUUGGCCCAUUGGGCUUGUUAGGACCUGAACGUUGAAGGGUUGUGUGGUGCAGGCCUAGCUUAGCCCUUGCUGCUAUUGAAAAAUUUCCGUCAAGUCCAUGGUCGAUCCGAAUUUCACAAUCAAGUCCCUCCCACCGACGCCUCUCGUCGCUCCCUGUGCCCAAUAACCAGUGCGACGCUAUGGACGAAUCAUGUGGCGCCACGUCAUCCAGACAGAAAAAAUCUUAAGAUUGCACUGAAGGCUCGCGUGAUCCCCGUGCAUGGUAAUGGUGUACUUUUUUUUUUUGGUUUUAGAUUCCGUUUAUUUCAUGAAAACCGAAUAAUUUUUAAUAUUUUAAAAUGAUUAUUUAUAUCACUUACAAAAAUGAAUGAACAAAAAAUACUUUCAUUUUUAUUGUUUAUGAAAAUGUUUAGAUGUAAAUUAUCGUUGAUAAUAAAAAUAUUUUCCAUUGAGUGAUUAUUUUAAAUUAUAUAAAUGAUUGUUUUUAGGAAAAUAUUAUUUUAAAUAAUUCAUUUUUUUUAAAUAAAUUGAACGUUGAAAAAAAAUCCAUGAGACACAGCCAACAUACAUGUAUAUGCGCCCUUAACAUCUACCCAACAAAAAAAAAAGCAUCCAUUAUUUGGCAACAUAAUAAUUUUAGAGUAAUGGUGUGACCCGUCUUUAAAUAAUUUAUUUAAUAAAUAAUGUGGCAAAACUCAGAGACUUCAAUGCGUUCACUAACUUCAAUAAUCACUUAUAAACUAUCUGAACUGAUUUGGUUCGCAAGUUUUAACAUCCCCGAUAUUAGUCUUAAUCUAAACACCAUAAAAUUUUCAUGACGGGAAGGCCUUGAGUUGUGAACAUAACACGGACGUCCUCGUGACUGUCAAGGGUACUUCCAGUUCCAACCGAUUAACUUGUGUUAACAUGCAAUCUUUAACACGAAAAGAUAUAUGUAAAAAUUUAUGGAACGAAAAGGAAAACCAAAUUUCAAUUUAGUUUAGCAAUUCUUAAAUUCCAGUCUCAAUCAGGUUCCUUAACCCAGCUGAUUAACCCAUUCCCAUGGGUCCCCCAAGAUAGGUUCAGCCCUUGCCGGUCCGCCUAGCCGCGACAAUCUCCUACAAUCGCCAUCAUCGGUCGAGGGGUCUCUGGUUAGGCACCUGCACUAAUCAUGAUGAUGGCGAUUAUGUCGUUGAAAGGAACUCGGUAUUGACUUUUGCCCUUGACUAGAUUCUCUCUCUCUUCCGCGUGGGGGAGAUCGGCGUCGGCAGUUGUGAUCUUGAAAGGCGGAAGGAGACGGAUAUCGCCAAGUCUUCGUUCAAACUCUAGCUUACCUGUUUCCGAAUGGACCCAAAAGCCAAAAAGCUCCUCUUUCCGUCGACUCAGUCAAAACUAGACACAGAAGAGAGAGAGAGAGAGAGAAAGAGGGGAGAAAGCUCAUUGAGAUGGAAGCUUUGUCAACUGUCCAUUUACCCCUUUAUUGCAAAGGGAAAGCUCGCUUUGUGGCCAAAGAGAAUCCAAUGGAUCUUCCAUCUUUGCCUUCUGCUUUUGCCACCAUCUUCGAUCCGCGGGCGAAUAAAGAUUUGAUCCUUAGGUUUCUUUCCCUCCCUGGAUUGGAUGGUGUCGUUGCGGUCUGGAAUGAAUUCUCUUGAUUCAGGGACGGUAUCGAAAGCCGAAGAGGGUUGAUGGCUUUCUGCUAUAGAAAACAAGUAUAUGUUGCAGCGAAAAUUAUGACGACAAAGUAACGAGUUGUAAAACGUGCAAACCCUACAUCACAUGGAAAAACACUAUGAUGCGAUAUAUAAUGUCAUUAUACACUAUGCUCUUUAUGAGCAUAGAAGAGGUCUGUAGUUAAUGGCGAGUCGACCCAAAUACUCUAAUCUUUGAAUUUCUUCCGGUAAGGGCAUAUUCAGUUCAUUCUUCUUUCCUGGAGAAAUCAUAAUGAACCCGAGAUUAUCAUAUCUCCCCACCAAAUUCUACGACCAGCUAGCCGCGUGCCUGUUGAAAUGGAAUCCAAAAGAAAGAGAAAAUGGGUGGGAAAGGUCGUGCAGAUAAUGGCUAGAUUCUCUGACCUUUAAUGGUUGCUAUUUUUCCAAACCUACGGCAACCUAGAUUUGGCAUGUACAAGGUAAAAUCUAACCGGAACCAGGGCGGAUGAGCAAAAACUUGUCGCCAGUGCAACCCCACAUAUACCUUGGAUGGUAAUAAGCAAGGUAGAAUAUGGAAUAUCUGGAAUUUCUGCAAUUGGAAUGUCUUGAAUAAAUGGAUUUUUAUAUCACUUGACGCGGACUUUCCUUUUAGAUAUGGACCUUAUCGCGGGCUCCAAAGCCAUCGCGCUCUACUGUUGUCUUUGUUUUGCCUCGUCGUCUAUAAAAAAGUCAAGCGCUCACAUUUCCUGAGCGCUCUCUCCUCUUCCUAGUUUCAUCGUCAUUUCUCUCCCAUGGAGGAGCUGGGCUCUCUUUGGAGUCACCCACAUGUAAGUCCCGUUGCAUUCUCAUCGUCGCCGAUCUUCCUUGCUUUGAUGUGUCUUUCGAUGUGCGUAUACCAUUAACUUCUGCUAGAACUGUUCGUCUCUUGUUUACAUGCUUCUGUUUUCCGGCCGACUAUUAGGACGCAAUGCCUUGUUUUGUCGGAAACUCGAAUGUUAAGGAAAAAUGGCGGACUUUCGACAGUAGUUACAUAGGACUAGGAUUUCAACAAAAGGGAAGAGGAAGAGGAUAUUUAGAGUGAAUUUGCUUCUUCUAGCUUCAGCCGAAGCAUCUCAUUCAUACAAUUUCUCAUGCAUACCUCAGUUUCUUAUGGCGUCGUCGUCCUGUGGCAUCAGUUUUUGCUUUAUAUUUUUCUGUGGCAUUAGUUGGCAAGGUAGGACGCGUUCAUUUUUGUCUCCGUUUAUUGAGGUGAGCAACCACUGCAAAAUUAGCCAUAAGAGAGUUGGAUUUAGACAGUCGAGUCUGUACUGAAACCUACAUUAAGUACGAAAGAAAAUUGCCAAAUGCAAUGUAGUCUGCUCAUCGCGACUCGAUCUGCCUGUCGAGUCAACCAGUUUCUCCGAAAUGGAGUCUCAAUUGACCACAAAAGUGAGGAUCUGAAUGCAUCGAUUGGCCGUUGCAACAUACUACUCAAUCCGAGUUUGAAAUUGUAGUCGCAAGAGUAGAUAUUUAGGGAACUCUCGAUCCUCGUUGCAGAAUCUUAAGCAUUUCAAAGGGGUCGGUCGGGGUCCCUAUCUUGUCUGCAUGUUUUUUUCUGUCAUUGGUUGAAAGCAUUGACUUUUAGUUUGAUAUUUCUUUUUUGUUGCAAUAAUUAAGUAGUUUUUUUUCUUUCUAUUUCUCUGCAUGUCUAUCUUUUAUUGUUCUUUAUCUGUUGAAAUCCUGUUUCCGAUAAUGCAGUGAAUAGAGUAAAUCAGGAGGCAGAUUCUUCGUGAUGAAUCAAUCUUCUUAUGAUCCUUUAUUCAAUUACGCACAGAAGCUAACGCAUUGUUUCCGUCUUUCAUAUUUUUCAAUUUGACAGAGCAUGGAUGAACUGAAGCAGAUGAUCUUGUAUAACACCACUGAACUCGAGUCUGAGAAAACGAAAGCUUUCGAGGAAAUGAGAAAGAACAAGGAGAAUCUGAUGCAUCUGCUUCGACUCCUGAAAACAGCUUACCAGGAAAGAGAUGAAGCAAGAAAUCAGCUGCAGAAACUCCUCAGAAACGUCACUCCUAGUCCUUGUCCUUCAGGUCUCCAAUGGAGCUUCCUAGCACCACUAAAAGCGAACGCAGUGACAAGCCGAACCCAUCACACCCCUGAAUCAAAUGGCUACUAUCUACGACACCACUCUUCUGCCUCUCAUUUUCCACUCGAGGCGACUCCUCUGUCGGAUUUCUUGAAUGCCGACAUGGCCAGUUCCAGUAACGAUCCGUGCAGCGUCUCUUGCACUCCGGGUUUUUUAAAUUCAGGAAAAGCCAAUACUCUCAAUCGAGCUUCGGAUGUGAUUGACGAUCUUGUUGUGGGAAAAGCACUUCCUGAGAAAGGCAAGCUCUUACAGGCCGUGAUGGAAGCAGGUCCACUCCUGCAGACGCUUAUUUGGUCCGGGACUCUUCCUAGGUGGAGGAAUCCUCCUCCCCUGAAACCCUUCAGCAUUCCACCAGUUAACAUCACUGGUUAUGACCCCUUUUCGAGCGUGCAGGCUCACAUUUCGGACUCUAGUCGCGCGAUUCAGAGAUUCACGAGCCCGUCGCCAAAUUUUGAAGCACCAGAAGUGGCUCCUGGGACUCGCUCGGGGUCAAUGCUUAAUUUUAUUGGUAGUUAUUCUGGUUCGCCCCAAGGGAACAGCCAGACUUUGUCAGCGGGUGUUAGCAUUACGACCAACAGCCACUUACGAACUAGCCAUAAACGUCGGAAACUUCAAUGAAGUCGCUGAACUUUUUUCUUGAUAGGAAAUAUUACCGAAAUUUGGUAGUUAUUUUUCAUUAGAUAAACCUAAAAGGGCCCCCCUUCGUGCCUUGAGGUUUAGAACUGUAAAUGCACUAAUCAAUUGUUAUAGCCAGUUUUAAAGAUAGUGCUGGAUUCGUUGUGCUUCCUGCUUCAUACAAAAAGCAAACAUGUUUAGCACCGGCUGUUUCGUUUCUUUUGUUUCAAACCAUAUGUUAAUUCCCCAAUUAUGUGAUAGUAAGUAAAUCAGGAAUAGCGAUAGCAGGAUCCUGACACACAAACUAGAAAGGCCUAGGCACAUUAAUGAAAUGAUAAAAUGAGUAACCUUUUCUAAAGGGGCCAACUAGGAGCACAAACAUUACCCCUUGGUUAGUGAUGGAACAGCUUUUGUCUGAGUAUAGUUUGCUUAACUAUGACUAGGUUGAAAUGCUCCAGGCAUGACAAAAUUAAUCGGUUCACUUCAAAGCAAUCAAACACUAAACACUUGACAGGAGAAAGGAUGGAUGGACACCAUCAGAAAGCGGCAUUCGAGUUGAGUUAAUGUAGAAGAAACAUAUGCACUUACGACUGAUUUGCUCAAUGCAAAUCUAAUCACUCCACUUCAAAUCUGAAUUUUCAGAGCGCCAAAAAUAUUUUAACUAACAGUAGCAUCAAAUUACAAAUAAGUCCAUUCUCAACUCCUCAACAAAAUUGUCUUAACACUAAGAGAAGAAUGGUGAUCAGACUGAAAAAACAAUUCCAACUUAGAUAAUGCCGAUUUUGUUCGCCACAUCCAGAGCAUCAAAGUCCGGAGUAAGCCUAACAUAUGCCUUCUUCGUACCAUCAGGCCUGCAUCACAAUAAUGAUUCACAUUAGUCCCGUUAUUUUCAAAAUUAAAAGGAACAGAGAACAAGUCGCACUACCAAAAAGCAAAUUGAAAGACAACCAAAAACUGGUUUGGAAGAUAGAAGAGGUAAACAGAUUCUUACUUUGAUGGAUUAAAGCAGUUCAUACAAGAAAACUGCCUCAAGGCAAAACGAACACUCAUAGAAUGGCAUAUGAACACAGUUCAACACAUCAAAGACGGACACAAAACAAUAGGCUUUGACACAAGCACAUAAAAUCCAUAGGUGAACCAAAAUGGUCUACUGCUAGUCCAGUGGGUAUUUUUACCCCCUUCAGUGAAAUGCAUGUCCACAUUCUAUAAGAUUCAGAGAUAUUUAUCGAUAAAAUCUAAGUUAACAGAAAUAUAAACAAUCACAACAACCAUGCCACAUUAAAGUUCACACAAAACCAUAUAGCAAGAACUUAAAAUUAACGAAGAGAUAGACAACAUGAAUAUGUGUUUAUGUGAACCCAUGUAGCCAGCUCUUAUUCACAUUAACAACUACCCAAGGAGGAAUGCUUUUAUUCAUUGGCAACAAACUAACAUAAACCAAUUUAUGCACCUAUCAAUUAUCUAGAUAAACUUCACGAUACUUAGGUAGGUUGCCAAGCUGAAAUGGUCGUACAUACAUAAGCAACUACGGAGGAAUUACCUGAUCAAGGUGUUGACUUUCUUGGCCUGAAUAUCAUACAUUUUCUGGACUGCAUCCUUGAUCUUUUUCUAUCAGCUCGGAUGUCUUACAAUGAAAACCAAAGUAUUGUUAUCCUCAAUCCUCUUCAUCGCAGACUCCGUAGUGAGGGGAUACUUGAGGAUCUGAUAAUGGUCAAGCUUGUUCCUCGGUGGAGCGCUGAUGCGAGGAUACUUGGGGUUUCUGUCCUUCUUCAGGGUCCUUGGCCUGUGAAAGGUAACUGAAGUCCGGAUCUUCUUUGCCUUCUUCUUAAAGGUUGGUCCCGACUUGACUGCCUUCGCAGCCUUCAAGGCCUGAGCCUUCGGAUCAGACUUCUUCACAUUGUCACCUGCAGGUGACAAGACACAUAAGAUGGGUUCCUAAGGUUGAAAUCACAAUCAGAAACCCUCAAAUAGUCUGAUAGAGAGCAUGUUUGGCGGUGAAACGCUCCAACAACAAACCAACUAUCCCCAGACAAAAUUACACGACAGACAUGGUCACUUUCAGUUCAUGUAGCAAUGACACAGUCACAAGUUGCAGAGGGGAGCUUUUAGCCUCAAGAACAGCAGGAAUUAUAGCUCCCACAUCCGCCACAUAUCCGAAUCAAUCUACCCGAUAAUUUCAAAUACCAAGAACCGCCAAUAUCUACCAAACGACAGAAGCCCAGAAAUCCACAAUCAUUGGUAAAAGGCAAAAACCAAAACGAGCGUGACCAUAGGGUAAAGCGACCGGGUCAGGUGCACUUCACAGACACCGGGCGACGGCAUCUUGCGAUUGGCCGAGGCAGCGAAGGAACCACAAACCAUCGUGGCAGUAUUUCCAAGCUGCGACACCGGCGAAUGUUCCCAAACCCAACGCCCUCUGCCGAGCUAAAUCGGCACUACUACGGAGCCGAGCUAAAACGCGGCACGAGGCGAAAUGUCGAUCCGUGCCGCUAAAACAUCGUCGCCGGUCACGACAGUAACGAAGCUCGUUCACUAGAUAUCGAGCGACGCCGCGCGCAUACACGCGGAUAGACGGGGAGUACGAAUGGGGGAAUUCGAGGUACCUUUAGGAGGGGCCAUGGCGGCUGGAUAAGGUCCUUCUGAAACCCUCUGGAUCCUGCGAAAACCCUAACGACAAAUGCAAGACAAGAAACCAUCAGUACAACUUCCAUCGGCGUGAAAGACAUUGCUUGCGAGAGAAAGAAAGAGAGAGAGAGACCUACGGCCGGUGGACUGGUUCAGAGAGGUCGCCUAGGGUUUUUCUCGGAGGGAGAAGAAGAUGGGGAUUAUAUAAGAAGGGGCCACCCACUUAUUGGGCCGCUUGAGCUUUUCGGCCCAUUCUAUUCGGCCCACAUAUUGGGAGCUUCGGUUCGUGCACGUUAGAGAUCCAUGCUGCUCUCCCUUGACAGUUGGGAAAAACAUGAAAUUGAAUUCCGCGGUAAAAAUAUAGUCAUAAAACAACAACAAUAAAAGCAAAAAAAAAAAAAAAAAAUUGAUUACCGCCUCCAAACAAUCUGUGUAUCGUAGAUAUGUUCAGCACUCUUAUGAUUUGAAAAAGAUAGGAAAGCCAUCGGACAUUUUGGUUUUCCUUACUAUUUCUAUGUGAACAUGAAUUUUCUUGUACUCAAAUUCGCUAUAAAACUUCAUGAUUUGAAUUGAAACAUUCGGGAAUUGCAUCACAAAAAAUUUGUCGACCAAUCUAGAGUGAAGCUAGAAGAGAAAUGGCAUCUAAGAUCUAUGACUUCUUGUUAGUAUGUCGUGGCUCAGAAACUUAUGCAAACUGGUAUGUUCUCUGAUUGAGGCCUUCAAGGGAGAUCUUGAUGUGAAAUUCACAUCAAAUGAGCAACAUUGAGCAUUGGAUAUUGACCAAGGCAUACGUUUCAAAGAUAUCUUUAGAAGUUAGAACAUGUUCAAAUGUUGGCAUUUGCUGAUCAGAGACACGAAACAUAAAAGAAAAGACGGAAGGAAAAAUGGGAUUUUGAUAAAUGAGAGUAUAAUUACAGAUAUGUACGUAAAUAUAGAAACUUGCGUUUUCUAUGCUCAUACAUCAAAGUGUGCUUUGAUUGAUCACCCCUAUCCAUCCUCCAUCGUCCGUAGUUUCAUUGAAUGCCUAAGCAGGAACAAGCGGUCGAUGAAUUUCGUCGCCGACUCAAAAGUUCCAGCUCUUUAAGAUAUGGACGAGCACCUGUCGGCAUUAUCCAGGCCGUGUACCAUUCAUGAAGACCCCGUCGAGUUGUCGUCGCCCAUAUUCGGAUCGACGAAUCCGGAAAGCGGUUCCUGAAUGUCGGACCCGUAGAUAUGGCCCAUUUUCAUGCGCUUCGUCUCCAGGUAUCUCUUGUUUUCCGCCGUGAUGGAUGUCAGCACCGGAACCCGGCCGAUGACAGCUAAUCCAUAGCCCUUCAGGCCGGUGAACUUGGCCGGGUUGUUGGUCAUCAGCCGCAUGGUCCGGACUCCAACAUCUCUCAGGAUCUGAUCCAUUUUCAACGUUGCAGAAUUUAGAGAAGCACGGUGAACAGACAGUACAUGGCAUGGCAAAAGUAUAUAAUCAAUUGACUUGCAAAUCAAAGGCUAUUCCUUUCGUAGGUGAUCUGUAGAAAGUUAUCUUUCGCAGUAUGGUUCUUAGUUAGAAGAUCAGCAGAAAUUGCAGAUGCUUCAGUAUCAUCUUCCUUCUCAGGUUAUAUCAUUUCGUAUCACAUGCAUCAAUCUAACCUUGCUAAUGAUGUGACUGAGCUAAGAGGAGGAGGUAAAAUAUACGGACCUGGGCACCGAUGCCGUAUUCUCUAGCAUCGAUGGCUAACCCGAGUUCUAGAUUGGCCUGAACCGUAUCAUGGCCUUGGUCCUGCAAGUUGUAUGCCUGCAGCUUAUGUCCCAGGCCGAUCCCCCUUCCUUCGUGACCUCGGAGAUAGACUACGGCUCCCCUCCCGGCCUUCUCUAUCAGCUGCAUUGCCAACUCCAGUUGGUUCCCGCAGUCACACCGGCCCGACCCGAAUAUAUCCCCCGUUAAACACUCAGAGUGAACCCUCACUAGGACGUCUUCCCCAUUACCAAUGUUCCCCUGAUUAUCCAUCGAGCAAAAGCAUUAAACCAAUCAACGGACUAGGGAAAACAGAGGAAGCGAACUUAUAACUCGCAUGCUACCUUUACAACAGCGAUGUGUUCUGUCCCGUCGAGCUUGGAGCGGUAGCAGUAAGCUUGGAAUAAUCCCCACUUAGUGGGCAAACGCGAUAUGGCAGUUCUUUCGACCAGUUUUUCCCUCUUUCUUCGGUACCUGAGAGAAGAACCCCACCACCAAUCACGAGUAUUAAGGAAAAGGAUGAUCUCUCAUUACCGGAAAACAGAUCAAAUUACGUUGUCUCCAAGUUACUGCAUAUGCAGUAGAUUAAUGUCAUGAAAUUUUGACAGUUUGAAUGAUAGCGAAUUCCAAGCAUCAUCCGGUAAGUAAGAUGAGCUCCUAUAUAAAAAAUUUCAGGCCGAGUCAAUGUUUUUGUGUAAAAUGUUAACCUUUCUAUAUGGCGAAUUCUGCCGUUCAAUCUCUUUCGGGCAAUUUUGUCUCAGCAAAGGAAGAUUGUGGAUGUGGUAGAAAAGAGAACUUUGGGUAAAUUGAAGGGACAGACUAUUGUAAGGAAUGAUGCUGUCACCUGAUCAAAUCUGUUAUCGAAACAACUGGAAGGCUGUACUGCAAUGCCAGCUUUCUCAAGCUGGGAAGCGAAGCCAUGGAACCGUCUUCUGCAUCCAUUACGGCCGUAAGAAGAGAAACUGGUCGCAGGCCGGCAAGCAUAACUAAGUCCACUGAAGCCUCGGUAUGACCGGCCCUUCUCAGGACACCCCCAUUUCGGUACUUGAGGGGAAACACGUGGCCCGGCCUUCUGAAGUCUUCUGGCUUGGACUCGGGAGAUGAAAGAGCGAGAACCGUCCUCGCCCUAUCGAAAGCAGAAACCCCUGUUGACGAGCCCGAUUUCGCAUCCUGCACAGGCACAAGACGUAACUGGCAUUGUCUUUAUCGUCGUUAACUACCUUCAACAGCUUUCUAAAGUGGCAGAUACAGUCAAUGCGUGCAUAGAAACUCAAGAAUGCUGCAUGCUUUAAGGCGAUACCACAGUGAUCGUGAAGGUGGGAGCAGACGAGUCCUCUUCCUCGGUCUCAGGCGACAUAAGAGGAAGCUUCAGUCUCUGCAGAUCCUCCUCUUUCAUGCCGACAGAGAUUAUUCCAGAACCGUGCCUCACCAUGAAGGCUACAUCGCGAGGACUCGUAAGAGUGGCUGCCAUGACAAGGUUUCCUUCAAUAUUCCCACUUUCAUCAUCUACCACAAUCACAAUCUAAGAACGGGCAAUGAUGGUCAACAGUAUGUUCAUCUUGCUCAGGCCAAGUACAAAAAGGAAGAAGAAAAGGUGCAUCGAGUUUGGAAUUUAACAGAUAUCUCUUCAUAAUUGUGGAAUCCAUUACAAAAUUUUGUAAGAUUUACUAAUAUUGUUCAUCUAAUGUCUGUCUUCUUCAUUGACAACAAGCAUCAUGCAUCAGUUGCAGGCUCAGGGAUACGAAUAGUUAACUUUCUUCUGCAUAAACUCUCUAGUGGUAGAGUACUGAAACGGAAUCUGUGGAAGCAAAGCGAAGCAACUAGCGUGUUUACUGACCUUUCCUUCGCGCAAAGAAUUAAUCGCCUGCUCGAUCGAAGAAUACCCUUCUGACGGGCUAUCGGGGUCACCCUCGGCAUCACUGACGAAGAAAUCAAUGGUCUCCUGUGUGAUCUCGGCCUCCACAGUCCCGAAUGGCACUGAGGCCGAGCCGUCGAGGGCGCUCAACAAAGAACCAUUUUCACUUCCCUUCAGCGAGCUCUUGCCUAAUAGGUCUCCCGAAUCGCUUCGGACAGCCCAACAAGCGGAGCUCAACCCCUGCCGCUGGUACCCUCGGAUCCUCGUGCUCUGAUGAGCUGCGAGAAGCACACGAACACUGCAACAACAGAACAAGAACCCCGACAUUAUCGUCACAAAAGGGUGAGCGAAACAAGCCGUUGUUUGAGCAAGUUCGACCUCGACUUGACCGCGACGUGAGGGGAGAAAGGAGGCGGGAACAGAAUGCAUUCCAUGAGCCGCAACAGAAGCUCAGAAGACGUGCCUUGAAGAUUGGAUCUUGCUGUUCUGUCCGGUCUCUCGAUGAACUUGCCUUCAUAAUUUCGCGUGUUGCGUGCAUAUAACGCAGAAAAGUACGGCCUUUGGUUGUGGAUAUAUGCUCGUGGACGUCGCCGAGACCGUUAUCCGGAAGUUUUAACUAGAACUGUACGGAUAGAAUCACCAAUGCAGUACAAGGUUUAACUAGCUUCUCAAGUUGUACUUCUUUUCUCUUUUCCGAUGCUUCGUGUUUUUUUCCUAAAGGAUGAUGACGGCGCUGAAUUUUUUUUUCAAUGUUGAAUGUACUCCUAAACAUUAAUUUUAAUUUGAUCUAGCCUCUUAAAUCUUCUAAAUUAAUUCAACGUAGUCCUUUCGUCAAAUGCAUUUCCAAUUUCGUGCGGUAUUUCUUGACAUCAUUGCCAUGUAUGCUCAAGUGGCCCUAGGGGUGUGCAAAAUACCCGAGAACCGCCCGGAACCGGACCGGAACCGCCCGGAACUGGCGGUUCUUGAGGGAACCGGUCCGGUUACCGGUUCCAAUUUAUGGGAACCGGUGGGUACCGGUCCGGUUCCCGGUUCCAUGGGCAGAUCCGCCCGCCCGCCCACCUGGACCGGACCGGAACCUUUUUAAUAUUAAAAAAAAAAUUACUAAAAGAAAUCCUAUAUCUCAUCUCACUCCCUUCGUCUUCGGCUCCUAAUCCUAUCACCAUUUCGUUGCGUUUACUUCUCCCGCCGUCCGCAUCUCUAUGUACUUAAAUUUGGUUUUUCUUUCUUUGGCUUGCUUUGAUGUCAUGUAAUUGUUCUAUGUUGAAAACCAAAAUUGUUUCGCAUCAAGAUCGGUUUCAUGGAUCCACCCAGGAACCGGAUCAGACCGACGGUCCGGUUCUCGGGUGGAUCCAUGCAGCAAACGGGUGGAGCCCGGUUCCAAUUUUUCGGAACCGGUCCUUAGCGGGUGGUUCUCGGUUCUAGGUCGGGAACCGCCCACCCGGAUCAUGCACACCCCUAAGUGGCCCGGUCCAUGUCGUUGUGGGUUAAUUUCUUAUUAGGAUUCGUCAUAUAAUCACAAAGAAAAUAAAAAGCAAAAAUUUGAGAUGCAAGAUUUAAUCAUUAUUCACUCUUAAAUUAGGAUUAUAUGCAACUAAAGAUUCCAUUAGAAUUAGUAUCUCGAAACUCUAUAAUAUAUUUUUUAUUACCAAAAAAAAAAACUCUAUAUUAUAUUUCUCAAUUUAUAAGAGAAAAGAGAAUAUAUAUAUAUAUAGUAGAUAUUCAUGGAUUCAAAUCCAAACUACGAAUAAAAUAUAAAUAUAAAUUAUAAAAACCUCUGGCGUCACAAGGCAUUGCUGCUGCGACUUAGCCAGGGUAGCUCCAGACCCUCGCGCCAUCCUAUCCAAGAAAAGUAAGCCCCAACAUUUCCAAGCACUAAUAAGAUCGUGCCGUGCAUGUGCAUUUGACGUCAUUUGCUAUUUUAAAAAACAAAUUUAAUGCCACGAACGUAAAUAUAUUUGUUAUCAAAAUUGAUUUUCGAUUACAUCAUGACAAUCUCAAAAUUAUCAUCCCAACCUCGUAAUAUCAUGGAGUUCUGUAAUGCUUUGAGUCCCAUAUCGAUCGUCUUAUAAGGUGGUUUAUAAGUAAGACGUACUACUAAGUACCAUCAUCUUGAGUACUUUUGAAGACCUUAAUCCAUGCGUCAACAAGUUAGGCCGUUACAUUUAGGCUUCUCAAUAGUAUGUUUUCCUUUUCAUAAUAAUGACUCGAACAAGGUACGGGUUACGGGCCACAACAUAGAGGUCCAACGCACGCUCGGCAAUGCCCUUAUUGCAUCAGAGAUGGAGGUGAAUCUGAUUCUUUCCAGAAUCGAGGUGAAUCACCCAAAAAAAAACAAACACAGUCCCUACUCUGUCCGAAUCAUACUCACCAGUCACCACGAAAUAAUCUGGUUGGGAGAAUCCAAAAGCGCCUGCAAUAGCCAUUCAAGGCUACCCACAAUCUCUAAGUGCUCGUUCCGAUAUAAAUAGUUACGUUUGGCAUUCAAAAUAAAAUUCAAAUAUCAUAUCCUUCUCUUGUUACCUACUUAAGAUAAAAUAAAGUUUGAUAUAAAAGAAAUAUAGACCGGAUAAAAUUAUUUCAUAGGUGAGGUGAGAUAAAGAUGUAUAGGAUUUUUAAUAUUCAUAAUAGGAAAGUUAUUUUUUUAUUAACAAAAUUAAAAUUAUAUUUCAAUAUAGAGGAUAUUUGAAUUCUAAUACAAUAAAUUCAAAAUAACAAAAAAUAUCGAUUUAGUUAUUUUAAUUUAUUCUUAUUUUUAUUUAUAUACUCAAAUUUAAUUAUAUUUUAUAAUAUAAAGUCAAUAUAUAAAUAUAAAUAUAUAUUUAUAUUUUUUACAUAUUUUAAAUAUUUCAGUUUCUAGGUAUAUUGGUACAGUUUACUAUUUAAUAAAAUUUUAUUAUAGGAUGAUAUGUUGGAAGAUAUGAAGAUAUGAUUUUGUAAUCUCUUGUAAUAGGAAAUCAAAUAUACUCAAAUGUACUUUAGGAUAGAAGAAGAUAGGCAAAUAUAGAAUUACCUUUAUUACUUUCCUUCAUUCUAAUUAAAUACAGAGUUACAUGUACAGAAUCAUUCAAUGAAAAGAAGAUAAUUGCUUCUUCGCCUUUGCUCUGUCUUCCGAAUACCUUCUUCUUCUUCCUUUUCUGACAUGGUAUCAGAGCCUCUCUGGUUCUGAAUUGAUUUACUUCCGCUUCCGAUUGCCUCAUACUCCAAUCUCGAAUUUUCAAAAAAAGCGUUGCCAAAGGAAUCAAAGUCCUUGAUUGCCUGAAGGAACUGCAUCUGCAAAGAGGAGAUAAUAGAGGAAUCAAAAUUCUUUUUCAACAUGUCUAUACCACCAGAUCGCACCUUUACUCCCAUUGAUGAAUCUUCAUCAGAAGCUUCGAUGCGAGCCUUGGGAGACCAAGAUCCAGCUGCUAUAGUCCCUGCAUCAUAACGGCAACAACAAAUUCAGGGCCAACCUCCGCACGUGCCAUGGCAACAACAGGCUCAGGCAAUUACAGGGCAACCAUUCGCAGGUCACCCUUACCAAUGGAUGCCAUAUCCAUGGUAUCCUGGGCCUAUCCCCAAUGCAUCAUUGCUUGGCUACCACAGCAGCGCGCGGGCUGAAGCAGGUCCACCAACCAGUGACGGGGCAAACCCUAGCAUCAGCCCGGAGCAGACGGGCGGAUCACCUAUACCAGGUCAGGGAUUUCAGAAUGCGGACUACGGAUUUGGCCUCAGGGGUUCGGGUCAGGGAACGAAUCCCUACCCAACUCGUGCACCGGGUUUCUCCCCGUAUCAGUUCCUCACUACCAGUGGCCGGCCGGAACCUGGCGAUCCAUUAUACACAACAAAUGGCGAUGGCCCAAAACUGAAGAUUAUAAGUCAACAAUUGACAGGUGCAGAUAAUUAUUCAAGUUGGUCGCGCGAGUUCCGGCAGGUACUCAUAACAAAAGACAAGGAGGUUUUCAUCGACGGAUUGUUUCCGAUUCCGUCCAACGAGAGAAUGGCACGAAUCUGGAGGCGAUGCAGUCAACUGGUAAGAACCUGGAUUGGGAACUGCAUCGCAACCGAGAUCGCGGCCGGGCUUCCCCCGACGGAGGAUCCGAAAAAAAUGUGGGAAAACAUUAGGGAGAUGUAUGGAAAACUCGAUCAAGUGAAAUUUUUUUACAUAACACAGCAAAUUUCAUAUCUGAAACAGGGGAACAUGAGCAUCGCAACAGUAUACAACAAGCUCUCGAGUCUGUGGAAUGAGUUGGAGGCAGCCGAGGAAAAAUUCGACUGGCCCGAUAACAUCCAACAACAAUACAAGCAGAUGCGAGAAAGGGAGAAAGCAACGAGAUUUCUUCUCAUCCUCAACGAAACUUACAUGUCUUUCCGAUCUCAUAUACUCACCAUGGAGCCUCUACCAAGUUUCGGCCGGAUCUAUCAACUCGCCAUACAAGAGGAGAGCCAACAGAGAUCGGCGGACCAUGGCAAAGGAGGAGAUGGAAUUACUCUGGCUGCGAAGACCCAUUUUUGUUCGACACAGAGAGGUUCGGGGAGGAGAGAGACGGAUCUAGGGUUUGUUUUCGAAAGCAAAAACCCUAGGGCCCUUAUAAAUAGAAGCGCGGACGGUGGAGAUCAAUUCCACUACCAAUCGGACGGUUCGCGCUCGAUCCAGGGGGCGACAGGAUCGGACGGUCCGCGUGGGAUCAUCUCCGCUUCAUCCGACGGCUCACGUUCCGCUUCAUCCAACGGCUCCCGCAGCGCUUAUCUAAUCGGAUCAGACGGCUACCGAUCAACUGGCACCAAUGGGCUAGAUGGCACGCGCGGCCCACUUCUUGGAGGAUCUGACGGCCCAUAUGGGCCUAUUUCGGCCCAAACUUUUAGGCCCAAUCCAAAUACAAAAAAUAAUGGGCCGAAAGGAAGAGGUAAGAUGUACUGUGAUUAUUGUAAGCGCCCGCACCAUACAAUUAAGAAUUGCUAGAAAUUGCAUGGAAAGCCAAGGGAAAAAGAAAAAGGGAAAUUUUCCUCAGUUUUUCAGGUGACAAGCCAGCACAUGGGAAAAUCAAUUACCCAUGAACAAUAUCACGAGCUAAUGGAAACUUUGAAGAAAUUGGAUCCCUCGGAUAAAGGAGGCAGAUUCACAGGUACAUCCUAUUGUUUGAUGAAUUCGAUUUCAAAUGAUGCAUGGAUUAUCGAUUCAGGUGCUAGUGAUCACAUAGUCUGUGAUAGGAAUUUACUUUCAGAUAUUACAAAAUUAUCUUUUCCUAUAUCAGUACAACUCCCAAAUGGAAAUACCACCAAAGUCACAAUGACUGGGACUGUAAAGCUUAGCUCUCUUGUUACUAUUAAAAACGUGCUUUACGUACCCGAUUUCCAUUUCAAUCUGAUCUCAGUUGCCCGAGCCUGUGAAGGAAAUUCAUGCCAUAUUAUUUUCCAUUCUGAUAAAUGUUUUCUUCAGGCCCGUUCGACUGGCACACUGAUGGGUUUGGGUAGAGUCAGCCAUAGAUUAUAUUUUUGGUUGGAUUUUCCACACUCUUUUAAGUCAUCUCCUGUUGAAUUCAAUAAAUCUCUAUGUAAUGCUACUGCCAAUGGCAUUAAUUUCCUUAAUCAUAAACGUUUGGGCCAUAGUGCAUUAUUUCCCUAUCCCAAAUGUCCCAUUUGUCCCAUGGCAAAGCAAACACGUGCUUCUUUUCAGAAUAGCAAUUCUCGAGCAGCAGAUAUUUUUUCUCUUAUUCACGCUGAUGUUUGGGGGCCUUAUCAUACUUUAAAUCAUGAUGGCUCUAGGUUCUUCCUCACUAUUGUGGAUGACUAUUCUCGUGCCACAUGGAUUUUCCUUAUGCAAUCAAAAAACCAGGUCUUUUCUCAUUUAAAGACAUUCAUUUCCUUAUCCAAAACUCAAUUUCAAAAACCAAUCCGUAGGAUACGUACUGAUAAUGGAAAAGAAUUUUUUAAUGCUGAAUGUACGUCCUUAUUCACUUUACAUGAGAUAUUGCAUGAGAGCUCUUGUGUUUACACACCCCAACAGAAUGGAGUUGUUGAGAGAAAACAUUGCCAUCUUUUAGAAGUGGCACGUGCACUUAAAUUUCAAGCAUCUAUUCCCAGAAAGUUUUGGGGAGAUUGUGUAAUUACUGUAGCAUACCUGAUCAAUCGUAUGCCAUCAUGCAUCUUAAAGGGAAAGACACCUUUUGAAUUAUUAUAUGGGAGAAAGCCGGAUUUAUCUCAUCUAAGAGUUUUUGGGUGUCUGUGCUAUGUCACUACGGUGGGCCAUAGAGAUAAAAUGGCGCCAUGAGCUACUCAAUGCAUUUACAUGGGCUAUCCAACUUUGCAAAAGGGAUAUAGGCUUUAUGCACCAUCUACAAGAAAUUUCUUUAUCAGCAGGGAUGUUGUUUUUCAUGAAGAUGUUUUUCCCUUUUCAUUAACAUCUUUACCAGAAGAAGAAAAGACAAAUUGCCAAUUCCUAUCAGAGGAAAGUCCUCAACUGGAGGAACAUUUAUUGUUCCUCCUGCUCCAAGAGAAGUUGAUGUCUUGCCUACAACACCUCUUGUAAGUCUUGCUGAAAAUUUCAUUGAGCAGCCAUAUAUAAAAGAAUCGCUGCAUGAAGAACCAGCACAGUUGGAGGAUACUUCAGAAACAACCACUACUGAAGCAGUAUCCACCACACCAGAGGAGCCGCAGAGGCGUUCUCAUCGAAUCACUCGACCACCAACUUGGACAAAGGAUUAUAUAUGCGGUUCUUCACAUUCAUCAGGUACUCGAUACCCCAUCUCUUCUUAUGUCUCCUUUGAUAGAUUGUCGGCAGACCAUCUAUGUUGCAUAAGUCGUAUUUCCGAAGGUCAAGAACCUUCUAGUUAUAAUGAAGCCAAAGAUGAUCCUCGUUGGCAAAAGGCCAUGGAAUCUGAAUUGCAUGCAUUGAUGGAAAAUCACACUUGGGAUGUUGUCUCCAUUCCUGCUCAUCGCAAACCUAUUGGAUGUAAAUGGGUAUAUAAAAUAAAAUAUAGAGCAGAUGGUUCUGUGGAAAGAUACAAAGCACGGUUGGUGGCAAAAGGCUUCACCCAGCGAGAAGGUUUUGAUUAUCACGAAACCUUUUCUCCUGUAGCAAAGAAUGUCACGGUUCGUACUUUUUUGUCUAUUGCUGCUCUUCGUGAUUGGCCAUUACACCAAAUGGAUGUCCAUAAUGCUUUCUUACAUGGUGAUCUGGAUGAAGAAAUAUAUAUGGAGCUUCCGCCCGGAUUACGGAGACAGGGGGAGUCGAAGGUAUGUCGUCUCCGUAAAUCUCUUUAUGGCUUGAAACAAGCCUCCCGACAGUGGUAUGCUAAAUUCACAAGUGCACUCUUGGCUGCUGGGUUCAAGCAAUCCAAGUAUGACUAUGCCUUAUUCACCUGGACAAAAGAUAUGUCAUCCAUUUACUUGAUGAUCUAUGUUGAUGAUAUUCUUAUCAUGGGGAAUGAUGAUUCUGCUGUUAAAAAACUUAAAGAGUAUCUGCAUUCGACCUUUCAUAUCAAAGACUUAGGGUCGCCUAAGUAUUUUCUUGGAAUUGAAAUAGCUCGCUCAGAUCAAGGCAUCUUAUUAAGUCAGCAGAAAUUUGUGAUGGAGAUUAUAUCAGAAGCAGGUUUAUCAAGUUGUAGACCAUCAGUCAUUCCUAUUGAGCAAAAUGCUAAACUGACCUCUGUCAACUAUGACACUGGCAUAUCCUCUUCUUCUGAUGAUCCUCUGUUGCAAGAUCCCUCAGGAUAUCAGAGACUAGUAGGGAAAUUGAUAUAUCUCAUCAUGACUAGGCCGGAUAUUUGUUAUGCAGUACAGACUCUUAGUCAGUUUAUGCACAGUCCGAAACAGUCUCACAUGAAUGCAGCCCUGAAGAUUGUGAGAUACUUGAAGACUUGUCCAGGUUUGGGAAUACUUCUAUCCCAAAAGUGUAACAUGGAAAUGAUAGCUUAUUGCGAUGCAGAUUAUGCCACAUGCCCCAUGAGUAGAAGGUCUAUUACUGGUUUCUGCAUUAAAUUUGGGGAAUCAUUACUCUCAUGGAAGACAAAGAAACAGUCUACUGUAUCUUUAUCAUCGACUGAAGCUGAAUACCGGUCUAUGGCCAAGACUGUAUGUGAAAUAGUCUGGUUAAGGGGUCUACUUCUGGAUCUCGGAGCUCCUGUUAAGGGCCAACUUUACUCUUUUGUGAUAAUGAUUCGGCACUCAAGCUUGCAGCAAAUCAUGUACUACAUGAGAGGACAAAGCAUAUAAAAGUUGAUUGUCAUUUUACUCGGGAAAAGAUUCAAGAAGGAAUUGUCGAGACAAGAGGAAUAAGGACUUCGGAACAGCCUGCUGAUAUAUUCACUAAACCUCUUUGUCAAAGACAACAUACAUAUCUUCUACACAAGCUAGGAGUCUUGGACAUAUACAGACCACCAGCUUGAGGGGGAGUGUCGGAAGAUAUGAAGAUAUGAUUUUGUAAUCUCUUGUAAUAGGAAAUCAAAUAUACUCAAAUAUACUUUAGGAUAGAAGAAGAUAGGCAAAUAUAGAAUUACCUUUAUUACUUUCCUUCAUUCUAAUUAAAUACAGAGUUACAUGUACAGAAUCAUUCAAUGAAAAGAAGAUAAUUGCUUCUUCACCUUUGCUCUGUCUUCCGAAUACCUUCUUCUUCUUCCUUUUCUGACAUGACAGAAGGGAAAGAAAGAAAUAAAAAAAGAAAUUAAAUAAAAAGAGAGGAAAAUAAAAUAAAAAAUAAAUAAAAAUAAAGUAUGCAAGAGUAUCGUAAGUUUUUUACUAUUUCUAUGUGAAAAGUUUUUAGUUCAUUUAUAUUAAUAUAUCAUUUAUAUCAAACAAUGUACAUGAUAUAAAUAUAUUCGACUUUAUUACUGCAAUUACCAAAUAGUUGAUAGGAUAUAACAAAAUCCCUCAAUUUUAAAUCAAAUCUUAUUUAAUCCUAUCUUAGUUAGAAAUUUAGACCAGCAAACAUAGCCUUAAGGAAUUAAUGACACUUUAUGUCGUUUAUGGUGCAUUUGAUAAUAUUUCUAUUCUAAUGAACAAUUUCUUUUCAUAACAUUUCUUGGACCAAUUUCUCAGUAAAACAUUACGUAUGAUAAUUACACAAAAUUUUCAUUUUAUAAAUAGAAAAUGAACAAGAAUGCAUUUGAUACGACUUGCAAAUUUUUUUGUGCUGUAGAAUUUCUUUUAAUUUUUUAGAAUUUUCUUAUUUCUUUUCUAUUUUCUUCUCUCUUUUUUCCUCUCUAGGCGGCAAUGGCGACUAGUGGCUUGGGGGGCAAGUUGGGGGGGGGGAGGGGGGGAGCGAGGGCUGAUGACUGAUGGUGGGUAGCGAGUUUCCACUAGCCGAUAAAAAGAAGAAGAAAGAAUAGAUUUAUUUUUAGGAAUUCUUCCGCGGAACAAUAAAUUAUUUUUUUCUAUUUCUUAUUUCUGUUCGAAAUUUAUUUUAUGGCCACUUUUAUAUUUCGAGAAAUAGAAAAAUUUAUUGACGUUACUAAAUAGAUUUUUAUUUUUUUCUACUUUGAGAAAUAAAAAGAGAAACAUGAAACAAUGUUACCAUGCAUACCGUUAUCGUAUCGUCAUCACGUGAUAACGGGGUUCGUACACAAAAAAAGAGUUUGACUUUAACCCCCGCCCCUAGAGGAUCGCACCGUUCGAGGUCUAGGGUUUGACCAAUCUCAGGCCGCUCGUUCGCGUACGGGACCCGCCACCACCCGUUUGAAUUUGUUCCCGAGAAACGGAAAAACACACACAAAAAUGAGAAAAAGGAGUUGGAAGGCGAAACCGAACGGAAGAGAAAUAUAACAGGCGUACGAAGCAGAGCGACUCCCAGAACCAGAAAAAAAAGGUCAAAAAAUAAAUAAAUAAAUACAAAAGCAGAGCGACAGCGAAGAAGACGAUCGUCGCCGUCGUCGCAGGUUACCUCCUCCUUCGAAUCGAAUCGGACUUCGCUCGAGCUCCUCUCCCUCCCUCCACGCGCGCGCGCGCGCGCCCCAAUCGGAGAUCCAUCGAUCGGUCGUUCGUCGAGGCUUCGACUUCUCGGCUGCCGGGCAGCCGCGAGAGGCGUCGGGCUUCGAGGUUUUCGUUCGCUGGCCGGAUGCGGCAUUGAGAGCUGCUGAAUCGUCGGGGAGGGAGAGGAUUUUUUUGGAUGGUUUAUGGCCGAAGAAUCGGCUGCACCGGCGGAGAGGGCGAGCGAGGGCAAGAGCAAGCUAUGGAAGGGCGUUUUCGCCGUCGCCGGCAUCAUGACGACUCUCGUCAUCUACGGAGUUCUGCAGGUCUCUUAACAUCGCGUCUUCUCAAUGCAUGCAUCUUGACUUGUUCACUCCUUUUUUCAUGGGUGGAGUUGGAUUUUCGGCGUCGGUAGGGAGAACAGAUCGGGCAUUUCUCGUGAACGAAAUUCUUUUGGCGGUUCUUUUGGUUUUAUCAAUGAAAUUUUAGCUAGUUGGCUAGCGAUUUUAGAUUAGAAGUGGAGCUGGAGAUUCGCUGGCUCGAUUGUUGGAGACUCGCUAUGUGGAUUGUGUCGAUACUCAGUACUCUGACCUAGUUGUGUUAGGAAAUGCUGAGUGUCUGAUAUUUUAUUGCAAGUGUUGAAAAUUUCUUUUUUUUCUCCUUUUUUGUUGGGUCUUUGAGCCGACCACUUUGAACUGGCUAAUGUGGGUUUUGCUCUGGAAGGUGGGUUUGCGGUAGCAUCCUUUGAUGGCGAAUGGCCAUGAUAUGGCAUUAUCUAGCUCGAAUAAAUUUGCAUAUAACUGCUUAUGUAGAGCAAUUUUAUGCAGGGAUUCUGCUCAGAGAGCUCUGAGAGCAGUUGCAAGUGUAUGGAAUGCAUAUAUAUAUCUAACCAAUUCUACAUGGGUGAUACUCGUAAACUGGCUUUUUUGCAUAUUCCAGAACUAGCACAGUUUGCUUCAGGGGUCCUUAAAUUAUUUUGUUUAAUCUGUUAUUUUUUAAUGGCUAUACUUAUCUAGCCACUGAUAAUAAAUGCAAUCUGCAAGUGAUUAUGCUGAAAUUUGCACCUUUUGGAAUUGAAAGGCUGCCUUCCUUUCCGGAAGUUCCAAACUAUUUUCUCUGUUUUAUUAAUGUUAUCCUCACUGCUUCUGUACCCCUUUAUCCUUUUCCUUUGUCAUCUGUAGUUGCUUAUUGUCUUUUGAUUUGUUUAAAGUCCUUUCAUGCAGGAAAAGAUCAUGAGAGUGCCUUAUGGUGAUGGGCCAGACAAGGAAUACUUUAAGUAUUCUCUGUUUCUUGUGUUCUGCAACCGUAUCACUACAUCUGCUGUUUCUGCGGGUGUUUUGCUUGUAAGUUGAUAUUAUCUGCAUGCUGCUACCUUAUAUAAUCUGUCUAUGGGGAAUAAAUUCCUGUUGAGAGGAUACGGAUAGUAGUUGGUGCAUAAACCUUUAUCAAGAUGGAUGUUACUUAACGCAUGAUAAUACAAGAGUAAGCAGCCGGAUGUCUAGGCUGGUUGGUCAAAAUUGUUUCUUAGGCAUUUAACAAAUCAAAUUUGAUCAAUUUUUCAUCUUUGCUGCCAUUUACGAUAUAUUUUUCAUUAUUUUUAGGCAAGUAAGAAGGCCUUGGAUCCUGUUGCUCCGAUUUAUAAAUACGGCCUCGUAUCAAUAUCAAAUAUCCUGACAACGACAUGUCAGUAUGAGGUAAGAUGUGCCUUUUUGCUUAAUUAUGUUAAGAUCCCAUAACUUAUAACAAUUAGCGUAUUAGCUUUAUCCCAAAUUUUCUAUGCAAUAUGAAUGCAUUAGAUCACAUACAUAAAGAGAUAUACAUAUAUGUGGACAUAUCUGACGGCACAUGCUUUCUGUAGGCACUGAAGUAUGUCAGUUUUCCUGUUCAGACUCUGGCAAAAUGUGCAAAGAUGAUACCCGUCAUGGUGAGCUUAAUGUUAUCAACACCUUAAGAAAAUUGGUUAUAAAUUUUGCUUUUCACAACAAGCAUUUGCUGUGGAAGUUUGCGUUUCUGUAAAUCAUUUAUGUAAUAGGCGGGAGACAAAAUAUGUCUGAUUAAUAUGGUUUUAAAGUGCAAUGUCCUUAUGACUUCAGUUGUAUAGAUCUGCCUAGGUGCAUGGUGCUUAAGUGCAUCCACCUAACAGUAUAAUUAGCACCUUACUCCUAUUUUUACUUAGGGGAAUGGAGGAUUUUGAAACUUUGCUAAUUGGACAGUUUAUUGCCGCAUUUUAAAGACACAAAGCUUUGUCUUUGGAGAAGAUACGAUCAAGAAUUAGUCAUGAAUGCAGAUUGUCCAUGACCUCUAUCAUUGAUGAUCAAUAUGAGCUGUUUUUAUUCAUCACCAAAUGAAACAUUGGCUAUUUUCCUAUGCUGUUUCCAGUUAAUCCGGUAGGUCCACUAAAGUUAAUAAUCAACAAGUUGUUUUGGGGUGGAAAAUAUAAUGAUUUUUACUUAAUUUGUGAAUUAUUACAAGCUUUGUCCACGUUUCUUCUAGAGCUAGAAACCUUAGUGUUAUAUAUGCAUGAUACAUGCUUUAUCUUGAGUGGUUAUUUGUAAACUGUGCAUUUCUGUUGAUUCUCUGCAGGUUUGGGGGACUGUAAUCAUGCAAAAGAGAUACAAGGGUCCGGACUAUUCGAUAGCUUUUCUUGUGACACUGGGGUGCUCGAUAUUUAUUUUAUAUCCAGUGAGCAACAUGGUCCCAACCUAUUUUUUUGACCUUUCUCAGUUGUGUUUUGAAUUCACUACCUCUAUGUUCCUUUGAAUUUCUGUACAAUUUAAACGGAUGGAAUAUGUGAGCUUCCAUUUUGACUUAAGAUAUAACUAGUUUGCUGGGAGUUUUCAUACCAUCUACACUAAGUAUUGCAGCAUAGUUUAGAAGCAUCUUUUUUUGAAAAGAAAAGUAGUAUUCUCUGCAUUAAUUGAUUUGAGCUCUAGAUUUGUACUUUUCAACUUCUUUAUCAACCUGCUUAUAGUUGCUAAUGUGUUCUAGAAGUUUUAAUAGGUAGUGUCUACUUUACCUAUUGAACUUCUGCUAUACAUUAGUUAAGCGUUAAAUUAGUUUCUAUGCGUAUAUGUUAUCACAUCCAAGAUAUCAUCUUUUCUCCUUCUAUUGGUACUCAUUUUUAUGCGUUGUGUUAGGUGUCUUAGCCAUAAAAAGAUCACUAAAAUACACAAAGUACCUCAGGCUUAAAUGACUAUUGUUAUCACUUGCCUAGCAAAAAAAAAAAAAAAAAAAAAAUUUCAUGUUGUUAGUAAUUCCUCUCUCAGUAUUUAUUUCAGAUCUUCUUGGACAUGCCGCAGUGUUCUCAUCCAAUCUAAGCUCAUUUUCUAAGGUGUUGCUCCAUAGGGCACCAGCAUCCACCUCAAUUUAGCAAAACAUUCUAAUAACAGUUUUCCAAGUUAGGUUUAUCGUGUCCAUUGUUCUACAAUUCUGUGACCAUUGUAGUAACCCCUCAAUUUCUCCUUUUUACUAACCUUUUUGAAAUUCUUGCUUCAUAUUAUGGGAAAUACUUGUUAUUUGGCAUCUGAAAGCUCAUAACAUCUGAGGGAGUGAUAUAAACCUAUGAAUGUUAAGCUUAAGAACUUAAAUCCAUGUUGCCUGUGAUGGGAUAACUUCAAAGAACUAUUUCUCUACUUCGGCUGAUGGUUUUUCUUUUUGCUAGUCACUAAGGUCGAAAGAUACUCAGCGCUGUUCUUGUAUGGUUAUUUGGUAGUUCAAUUAUGCAAAUUUUUUCAAAUCUUAUACUUUCUUUGCCGGAUUGAAGUAGAUGUACCAUUAGCUUUAGAUUUGGAAAGGAAGAAGCAGAUAGAAGGUGAAGUACUAAUAUGCAUUGUUCUGAACAUUCUUUAGUUGGUGUGGAGGAGAAAUAGAAUAAUUCCAAGUUUAGAUUAGAUUUCUAUUUCAUAGAGGAUAGAUGGCUCCAAACUCUCAAUUUCUAUAAAAUACUGGAUGAAAUAUUCAUGAAUAUAUAUGCAUUUUUUCAGUUGAUUGAGAGAAUGAUUUGGAUAAGUGCUGGAUACCCCCCUCGGUGCCUUGUUUGAAUAUAUUGUUUACUUAGAUGUCUUCUGAUCCAGUUGCUUUUUCCUUCUCUUUGUAGGCAGGUCCUGACAUUAGCCCAUACAGCAGAGGAAGGGAAAAUACUGUUUGGGGUGUUUCCCUCAUGGUUGGUUAUCUUGGGUAUUUAACCAUUCCCUUCCAGCAUUUCUCACAUAACUUUAACAAUUUCAUUUAUGGUUUUUUUUCCUCAUACACUUUUUUCUGAGAGGUGUGUAUUAUAUUUCAUGCCUACUAAGUGAGAUUUUAUGCUUAUUGGGCACAUACUAGCUUGGAGAAGUAGCUCUUUCUUUAUUCUCGAUUUUUUGUGUUUGUGACUUGGACAAUUAUCUGUCGUUUACUAGGUUUGAUGGCUUUACUAGCACAUUCCAGGACAAGUUAUUUAAGGGCUACAAUAUGGAGAUACACAACCAAAUUUUCUAUACAACAAUAUGUUCCUGUAUUCUCAGUUUGACAGGCAAGUUCCUAUUUUUAUUGAGUUUAACAUCUUCUUCUGGUGGUGUUUUGCAUUCUGUAUCUCUAGUGUUGAUGUUUAUUCGAUUCAUAUAUGUGCUUUCCGUGACAUUGAUUAAUGAUUAGUGAUGUUCAAGUAUGAAUAACAAAAUCAUAUGAUCUCAUACUGAAAAAAAGUUCCUUGACGGUUUUAAUCUAGGUCUUCCAAACAUUUUUGAAAGAGAUGGUCUUUAGAAUGAUGUGUCAUGACAAACUGCAAAUUCUCUACCCUUAAUAUUUAUUGAUUGCAUGCAGUCGUUGAACUUUUCUAAUUCAAUCAGGUAUUAUAUUACAAGGACACCUUCUUCCAGCCGUGGAUUUUGUUUAUCGGCAUAAUGAUUGUUUCUUAGACAUUGCCUUGCUUUCUACUGUAAGUGAUUUUUUCCAUUCCUGCUGUAACUUGUCUAGUUGACUUCAGUGUUUUCCUCUUAUCUUAUACUUUGUGCAACAUCCUGCUUUACUUAUCAGGUAGCAACAACCAGUCAAUUUUUUAUUUCCUACACUAUUCGGAACUUUGGAGCUCUUACAUUUGCGACAAUAAUGACCACAAGACAGGUAUUAUAUCUCUGACCCCUGAAGUCAUAGGUUCAUAAAGGAUUCUUUUGACUUCAUUUUUUUUUUUUUUUUUGGUUGUAGUUGGUCAGCAUUUUGCUGUCAUGUGUAUGGUUUACCCAUCCUCUUAGCUGGGAACAGUGUAUUGGAGCGGUAAGCGUCUACCUGAUUCUUUCCAAGCAUUUCACUAAAUCGCCUUUGACCUAGCUGACUCACUUCUGUUGCGUUGAACAGGUUAUUGUCUUUGGCUCCCUUUAUACAAAAACCUUCCUGCGAAAAGCACCUCAAGAGGCAUCGCUCCCCGAGCAAAUGCCAAAUGGAGCUGCUGGUGCUGGGAAGUCUUGAGAAUAUCGGUCACUGCUAUCAGGGAUUAGUCUUCGGUUAACGAGGUAUGGAGCAGCAGCUGUUAGUCUAGAGCUGCUGUAAGUCUAAUUCUGUUUGAGUUUAGUCUGCCUAAUCAACACUACAAGAAGCAUAAAUUUACAGGACAAUGAGUUACACAUUAACCAAAGCAAGUAGAUAUGUAUCCCAUUUUUCUGAUCUUACGAACUAAUUUUCAGUUUUGAGAGCAUUUGCUUGUCUGGAAUUUUGUAUAACUCAGUCAUCAAAUACUUCUUCGUUUUAUAGAUAGUCAUUUUAGAGCCGAAUCUUAUCUCCUUGAGCUCAGCUUCGUCUUAAAAGGCGGGCAAGUGAAUCACUUUGGGUAUUGCGCUGUUGUCCUAGAAGCUACCGUAUCCUGACCGAUAUACGCGGGGUCCAAACGGUGCAUGAGGCACUCAUGUUGACCAUCGCAAUCAAAUGAUCGUUGCUAUGGAGUUUCCUGACAUAACUAAUGCGAUGUUCAUCGGCACUUCGUGCACGCCGUGGAGAAUAAGAUGGGCCUGACAAGUUUAUUUUGUAACACCCUGACUACCUAUGAUAAUACUUCUGGUGUCUCUAGUUCCACAGCCAAAAUGGCCAGAUUCACGGCGAUUUAAUUUGAAAGACGAAGGUACAGACGAAAGUACCCUCGUGUUUCAGAUUUUCUUUUCCCUCAUUUCCCAAGAGAAUUCGUGGCUGCGUGGGAUCAUGUUCCAGUUGGGUUUUCUCCUUAAAAAUUCCUGCGGAUUCAGUUGUGAAGUCUCGUCCCUGUUUGACUGACUUUGCAUCUGCUGCCAUCAGUUUCUAGCUUGAUGAAUGAUCGAUCUGUCACUUGGAAAUCUCGUUAUCAUAAGCUCAACAGAGAGAGAGAGAGAGAGAGAGAGAGAGAGAGAGAAGAGAAGACAAGUCCCACCCACGCACCAAGUAAUCUCUCUUUGCUAGAUCUAAUCCCCCUCCCUCGAACUCAUAAAAUGAGCCACAAGCCCCCCUCAAAAGACAUUUUAGCGAAAGUUAGAUACGAUUUAUGAUAUAACACGUCUUGCUAUGGAUUUUUAGGUUUUGAGAACACACUUGAGGCUCAAAAGGGUUCUAGUAAGGAUGGUUCUUUUCAUUUUGACUGCCGAUUUCGCUUCCUUUCAUUCGCCAAGGGAUUCGAUUGAUUGAAUCUCAUAGGAUGAUUCGAGGAUUCCUAUUUGAUUUAUAGUAUAAAUUUGAAGAUUAACCUUAGACCUAUGGAAACAUGUAAUGGAUAGGAUGUGAUGAGAUUAUUGAAGUAAUGUCUUGAUUAUGGAUGAACACCUCUUGGCAUGAGCUUUAGAAUGGAAAACUUCCGGAAAAAUCACGUCUAGCACUUGUAGGAUUGUUGCUGGCUUGCUGGCCGAGACCUCUCGUGUUCACUUCUCCAUCAGUCUGAUGUGAUUUUAUGGAUGAGAUCUUAUUGACGUCUCAAUUUGUUGAGUAGUUUGAAUUUAUUCAAUUCCAAUGCAUAUUCGAAGAAAAUUGGUUCAUGUUUGAUCAAGCUUGUUCAUGAUGUUAUAGAAUGCUAACUAGGAGUGUUUUGAGCUUGUAUAAACUUAUUUUGAUGAUUAUAAUGUAAGAGUUUUCCUAAUAUGGGUUACAUUAAUUGAUAUUAUAAUUUACCGUUUUACGGUUAUUGUAAAAUGGGAUUGGUCUAAGGUGAGACAGAAAAUUUCUUAAUUAGUCUAAUAUGGGGCUGGUUAGUGUAGGUUGAGUUGAGCUUAGCUCGUAAUGAGGGGGUUUGGCUGGAAACUCUAUGAAUAGUGCUCAAGUUUGUCUUCUAACCCUAAUUCUCACAUAUAUCCUCACAUAAGGAGCGUUAACCUAACGCUAAAGGGUGAGGGGGCCGUCUCAUUGAGCUAGUGAUACGGAAGGUAAUAGAGGAAAAUGACUUGCGCAUUGAACAUUAGUUUUCCGUUUCUGCUUAAAAAACGAUGGAUCUUAAAACAGAUACAUUAAUCUUUCUAUUCAAUUAUACAUGUUUUUAUUCUGGUUAUGAAGAUCUUGGGAUUGUGCAAUUGUGCAUCUUACAUGUGGUAUCAGAGCCUCCAUAACCCUAGAACUUGAACGUAUAGGAUUUUGUUAUAAUUUGAGAUUUUCGUGAUUUUCCGUACAAUAAAAAUAAAAUAAAAUUAUAUAUUUGGACUGAGCUCAUUGAAAUGAGCAGAACCAUGGGCGGCGCGUUGCUGAGGGACGUCGCACGCACCCCCACGCGCGGGGUGCAGCUAGCACAUGCGUUGCACGCAUGAGGCUGACGUCAUGAUGACAUCAUUGACUGACCCGUGACCAUUGACCGACCCGACCCAACCGACCAAGGAUCCGACUCGACUCGGUCAACCGGACGGCUAGACUAGACGGUCAAGCUGGGAACCGGUCCUAGUCGGACCGGUCAUAUUUGUUUGCGCGUGAGCUCCACGUGCCGCCCACUUAGGGGGGCGCGUGCGGGCGUGUGGAGCAUCAGAUCGGUAUGUGGUUGGCGGCGUUGAAUUCGUAUGCCGAUCCUCUAUCUUGUGGUGUAUUUAUUUUAUAUGUUUAAUGAUUUUAUAGAUGUGAAAAUACAUACGGAAUCCUAAAUACGUGUAUUUUUAGUAUACUUUCACGUAUUUUUUUGUAUUUUUCUAUGAUUUAGGAAAUACAUGUGUUAGGUUACUGGUAUAUUAUUAUGUAAACAUUAUAAAUGUGUGAUUCAUUAAUAAAAUCAAACUUUAUUAUAAAUUAAAGUUGACUUAAUGAGAUACAACCAGUAUGGGAUAAUAUUUGAGCUAUGUAUUGAGGUGAUGAGAAAUAGUAAAUGUUAUGAAACUUUUGUUGCUCAAGUAUACUCAUUUAUACACUGGUAACUUUUGAAUGAUAGACGUCUUAAAAACUCUUGACCAAACUAAUUGUACUGAUUAACAUAUCUGCUGAAUGUAGAUAAUACAUGUCAGUUAAGUUAUUGCAUAUUGUACUUAAAGUCAUUUGGUCACUUGUUAAUGUCCAUCAAGUUGAAUAUUUUUUAUGGUUAAAGAAUAUGACAACAUUUACGCAGAGCAAUAAUAUCUACUGUUAUAUUUAGAUAUUUGGUUCUGUGGUUUGACUCAAUUUAUAGGCCACUGGUUGAUGCAAUGAUAUUUGUUACUUAAAAUUGGCUAAAAUAUCAGCUGUUGGCAUUGGAGUCAUGUUUUGCCUUAUGAAACUCAUGAGCUAUAAUGGAUCAAUCGUCAGGCUUGUUGAUCUUUGAUACCUUGUAUUGCUAUUAAUGUUAAUUUGUAAUAGAUUCUCUAGAUCAACAUUUUUUUUAUGUUCUGGUAAUCUGUAAUCGGGGUUCAUAAGAGAUGCUAUUUUCUUUGUUAUGAAAAUUUUUUUGUAUUACUAUUAUUGGUGAUCUCAUUAGAAUCUGUCUUUCAGGUUAUAUAUAUAUACAGAUGAUUGAUUUUUAUUAAUGAAUAAAACAAUAUAAUUAGCAUGAUAUGUGAUUUUAGUGAUUUAUUACCCAUAUCAUUAAAGUUAAAAUCACACGUAUAUGGUGUAUUGAGAAGUAAAGUUUAUAUCCUUGGUAUGAGAGAGUUUCAAGGAUUCAAUUAAGUAGUGACCGCCAAAGUGGCACGCUUGAUUGGAUUUGAGAAAUACUAGUCUCGUAUAAUGAUUGAGAUGUCUCCUAGUCUAAUGCAUGGUCAUACUCUCAAAUGAGGUGAUUGCGUAUUAGUUCAUGGAGGGAUACAUGAUAGUGUUGUGAAGGAGUGACUGAUCCUAGUGGUUCAUAUGCCCAAAGGUGAUGUAUUCACAAAGAUUGAAAUAUAUUAUCAUAACCAUUAUCAUGUGGGGAGUGUACAACUGCAUAUCAUGUAUUCUGUCCAAAGGUGAUUAUAUGAUUAUGCGUGUAACUCUCUAGAUGUGUACUUGUACGUCAAGUUCUACAGUGCUUACAUGAUGCUAAUUAUAUACAUUACUUGUUUUUUCAGUCACAUUUUCUAUAAUUAAUAACCCAAUUUUUAUUGAGGUUUUUACUGUUUCAAAUUUUAAGUAGUGAACAUAUGAUUUGGCUAUUUGGGAUAAUAGCAAUAAAAUUUGCUUACUGUCCAUGAAGCGUUUCAUUCAAAAACACUUAAAAAGUUAUUUGUUUGCGGGCUGCAGUAGGAAGAUAAUAGAAGCUUUAGUGGCUUGAAAUUAUGUUUUAUUUAAUACAUCUGCAAGAAUUGUGGUUAAUUCCUAAUGAUAUAUAUGUCUCAUAUAAGAUUGAAAAUGUUGUUUCCACAAAUUUUUUGUUUAAGGAAUAAUUAAGUAAAAUGACCGAGAUAAAAAAUAAAUCGAUUAGAAUUAGUCUUAAAAGUUGUUGAGCUUAAUAGUGGUAGUGAGUAUUUUGGCAAGUAUGGCAAUAAGGAAUAACUUAAAGGGUCAUUUGUCAAAUACUUGGUAAAUUCAGGAAUAUUAACUUAAUUUACUAUACUUGAAAAUCCUGACAAAAUGAUUUUGCUAAAAGGCAUAAUUACCCUUACAAAAAAAAGAGA
rnacentral:lncRNA from 1 species